CAUAAAUAGUGAAGCUAGUAACUAGUGUGUGUAUAUAUAUAUAUAGAGUUGGACUGGACUACUAUUAGUAGCAAAAUUCUAUUAUUACUAUCAGUUUUUUAACCUUUGGAUAAACUCUUUUUAUUAUUUCUAACCAUUAGAUUAAAUACUAUAACCCAGUGGGGACCACUCAACCCUAGGGGACCACUCAACUCUAACCGACUAAUAUCAUCCUGACCCUACAAUUUUUUAUCCAAGGGUUAAAAACUUGAUAGCAAAAAGAGCGUUUUACUAUUAAUAGUAUUCCAGUCUAAUUCUAUAUAUAUACAUAUAUAGAGUCCGACUGGGGUACUAUCGAUAGCAUAAAGGAUUUGGUGCUAUCGAGUUUUCCACCGUUAGAUUUAACCUUUUGAUUAUUUUUACUCGUUAGAUUAUACUAUUCAACCAACCACUCAAUCAACCUAGGGGGCCCACAUCAUCUUAACCAUCCAUUUUUCAAUCCAAGGGCUAAAAAAUCAAUAACACCAGUAGGUUUGUGCUAUUGACGGUAUUCCAGCCUAGUUCUAUAUAUAUAUAUAGGCUAGGGCUACUAUACUCUUAUGAGUAUAGACCCUCUUGUAAUCAUAAAUUUUUAACCGUUGAUUGAUGGGAUGUGUGGUUAGGAUGAUGGUGGUCCUCACUUAGAAUGAUAGCGGUCCCCUAGGGUUGAGUAGGUAGUUGGUUGAAUAGUAUGAUCUAACGGAUGAAAAUGAUGAAUAGAAUAAAUUUAAGGGCCGAAAACUUAUAAGUAUAUAGGAGCCAAUACUCAUAAAAGUAUAGUAGCCGGACUCUCUCUCUCUCUUCUCUCUCUCUCUCUCUCUCUCUCUCUCUCUCUCUCUCUCUCUCUCUCUCUCUCNAAAAUUUAGAAAAAAACUACAAAUACAAUCCAUAUAGUUUUGAAUUUUUUCAUUUUAGUAUUCUGUGGUUUAAAGUGUAUCAAUUUAGUAUUCUGUGGUUUCGCACUUUCUCACUUUAGUACCUUGUGGUUUAAAGUGCAUUAAUUUAGUACUCUGUAGUUUUUUUUUUUUUUUUCGUUGGCUCCUCUUGUUAAUAUUUCGUUAAAUUAUAUACAAAACUUCGGAUACCCUACCUAAAUUUAUCGAAUAUUUAUUUUAGUACCCUUUAGUUUUAACUUUGUCACUGAUUUUUUUCUGUUAAUAUUUCGUUAAAUUAUAUACAAAAAACUUCAAAUACCCUAUCUAGAUUUAUCGAAUAUUUACUUUAGUACCCUUUAGUUUUAACUUUGUUACUGAUUUAACGAAAAAAAUUAAUGAAAUGGAUAAUAAAAAGAGAAAAAUAAAUCUACAGGGUACUAACUUGAUACAUUUUAAACCACAGAAUAUUAAAGUGAGAAAAUGUGAAACCACAUGGAGGUAUUUGAAGUUUACCAUAGAAUUUACUAUUUAUUUCUAAAAGGUUAAGCUUUUAAAUUGUAUACCCCUUGAUUUUCUUUUGAUUUGUUAAAAAGUGCAUAAAAGUUACUAUACUUUGUUGAAUUUAUUGGUGAAUUAAUUUAAUAAAAUUUCUCAUUUGAUUGGCCAGAAUUACUCAAUUUAUAAAAUUUAAAGGUUGAGGAUCUGACUAUUGAAAAACAUUGAGGAGCUUCCAAGACAAUUUUCUCCUUUUUUUUUUUUUUUUGCCGAAAUGGUUACUAGUACUAGUCUAGAAGUCAGGAACUAGAAACUUUUUUAUCUAAAAAUACAUGCAAGUCAGUCUUGAAAUCUUUUGCCAUCUAGGGUAUAUUUUGGUAUUGAGAGCCACCUAACAUUAUAAUUAGGCGAAAUAAAGUUGAGAUAAAAAUAUAUAAAAACAUAUAUGCUUCUUUGUUUUUGACUGCAAUCGAUCACAAAAAUGAUACCCCUAUCAACACAUUGCAGCAUACUCAAUGUAAUACGAAAACGAAUAGAAUAUUUUCUUACCAUCUUUUUUUAUGGCACUAAAUUUAUUCUCUUUCUGCAAUCCCAAGCGUAGUCUUGGAUAGCACCCGAGAUGACGACGGCCCGCUACAAAAAAAAAAAUAAAAAUAAAAAAUAAAAAAUAAAAAACUUUCACUCUCUCAUAACUUUAUCCCUCUUCUGGGGCUUUACUUAUGUCAUGCUAGUGAUGCAAUUCAAUUAAUGUGGGUCACCUCUUUAGUGGGGAGUCUAGGUAGAGGGUGCAGGCCUGGAAUUUGAGAAUGAAAAGAACCUUUUGUUUUGUAGUUGUGAGAAAUAUAAUCCCAACAUGCAUGAACCUACUAGAACAGCAUCCAAAUUAUUAUAUAUUAGAGAUGAAUCUUGGUGAAAAUUACACCAUUGGCCCUUCAACACCAAUGUACUUCAAUUUAUUCUGUGAGAAAUGAUUCGGUACUUUUAUUUUAUAAAAAAAUAAAAAUGAUUUUAACUGUUAAUCAAUAGAGGGUAAAAAUAUAAUUUUAACAUUUAGCAGGUAAAAGGAUUACUUCAUUCGAGAUUGUUUUUGUAAUUAAACUAUACAAUAUUUAAAGAAAGUUUUAAUUGAUAUCCAGAAUUUAGGCAUUAAUUUGUACUAAUUUGAAAAAUUGAUUGAAUACCUAAAUUUAGACAUUAAUAUAGGCAUUAAUUUAGGCAUUUAUUUUAGAAGUUUUAGUGUUUCUCAAAUUUAGGCAUUAAUUUAAAUUAUAGAAAUUUUAGAAAUAGUUCUAUUUCUAAAUACGCUGAAUUUAAAUAUUUAAUAUUUAAUAUUUAAAAUUAAAAAUUUAAAUUUAAGUUAGAGUAAUUUAAUUUGUAUUACUAUUUAAAAAUUAUGUAAUGUUGGUAAAUAUUUUAAUCCAACAUAUUUAAUAUGCUUAAGAAACUUUUAAAUUUCUAUAGUUUAGACAUUAAUUUUGUAUCACUUAUUUUAAAAAAUUUGAAUGUAGGUAAAAAAAAUUAUCAAUUAAAUGUAUUUAAUAUGUUAAAAAAAAUAGAAUUGUUUUAUUUUAGACAUUAAUUUUGCAUCACUAUUUAAAAAGGAUUGUAAUGUUGGAAAAUAUUUAAAUUUAACAUAUUUAAUAUGUUUAACAAAAUUGUGAAUUCAUCUUGUUUAGACAUUAAUUUUGUACUACUAAUUUUAAAAAAUUGAACGUGGGCAAAUAUUUAAAUUCCAAAAAUUUAUUAUAUUUAAAAAAAUUUAACAAUUUUUCUAAUUUAGAUAUUAAUUCUUUAUCACUAUUUAAAAAUUUUAAUGUGGAUAAUUGAUUAGAAAUAUAGGGUAUAGCUCAAAUUUAUUCUUAGGAUAGAAUUGUAUGGGCAAAAUUAAUUCAAAUUUUAAUAGUAAAAAUUGAUCUUUUAAAAUAAUAAGAUCAUGUAUUGUAAUUUAAAAUAUAAGAUGAAAUCAAAGUAAAUUAAUUUGAAGUUUAGAACCUAAAAAAUAUACAGAAACGUACCUCCAAUAAAUCUAAAUAGUAUAGUACAAUUUAAACUUACUAAUAAAUAAAUUUGGGCUAUAUAAUUUAAAUUUUAAGUUUAUAAUAAAUCUCCACCAUAGAGUGUUACUAGAGUAAACAAAAUUAGAAAUAUAGAUAAAUUAAAUAAAUUUAUGUUGAACAAAUCUAAGCUAUUUGUAUAUUUUAUCAAUUUGAUCAGUCGAAUUAAUUUGAUUUAUUAAAUUGAUUUUGAUCUUACCUUUAAAAUUUUUCAGAUUUUAGUCAAUUUUUUAAAUUUUAGUUCCUUACAAAUUGAAUUUGUAAGGAAAUAAAGAGAGAGAAAAAGGAAACAAAGAGAAAAUAACGAUUUUGAUAAUGUAGUAGAGGUAAAAUUAUUAAAUUACCCAUGUAUUAAAAGACAAAAAUAUCCUUCUUUGAGAUACUUGUUAACCGGUACGUCUCCCAAAGUGACCUGUUAUUGUAGGUUAUAAUUUAAAAAAAAUUAAAUUUGAGCUGCUAAAGAGGAGUGAAUGAAUGGUACCGAAAAAUAACAAGUAUAAAAGUACUACUACUCCUAUUUCUGUAACUAAGGUGUUAAACUUUUGUUCAAUCGCCAAAUUUUAGUUAGUUAAAAACCCAGUUUUGAUUUAUUUCAAGUGCAUGAGGUCACGAUAAACAUUAAGCUAAUUGAAAGAAGUACAAUACCUAAUUGACACUAAUUGUAUUUUGAUGGCUUAAUUAAGUCUAACUUUACUAGAAAUUCAGCGAUAACCAACUAAUGGUUAAUUUAAUUUAUCCUUUAAUCAUGUUAUUCGUAUAUAGUAUGUUAGAGCUAAACCAUAAGAUCCCAUUUGAUUCGGGAUAAAGUAGGAAUAACGAAAGUUAUCCCCGCUAUCCCACCAAAUUGUAUGUUUUUAGGCCGGGAUAUUUAUUCCGGUCAAAUAUUGUUAUUCCCGGCUAUUCCGAAAUAGCUUGGGAUUUACUAUUAUACCAUUUUGACGGAAUAGUGCUAUCAUAUGAUUUAAUUUCAAGUUUUAUUAAGAUUGAAAAUUGAAUUAAAACUGAAUUAUAUAGACAUAAUAUGUUAUAUAUUAUAAUAUAUUAUUUUUAUUAUGAACUUAUUAAUUGUACUACUUAAUUUAUUACGCUAAAUAUUUAAUUAGCCAUUUGAGUAAUUAAUUUAUUAUUUUAAUUAAUUUUCUAAUUAAAUAAUUAAUUAUUUAUUACUAUACUAAUUUAUAUUGAUUAAUUAAUUAUUUGACAUGACCAAUUUAUAUUGAUUAAUUAAUUAUUAAUUUACACCCUUAAAUAAUUAAUUAUUUGACAAAACCAAUAUUUGUAUUGAUUAAUUAAUUAAUAUUUUGACUAAUUUAAUUAUCUUACUGUUAUUAACUAAUUUAUUAAUUAAUUUAUUAAAUUACUUCUGGUUAAUUAAAUUAUUAAUUACUAAUUGAUCUAUUAAUUAAAUUUAGCGUUAUUUAGCAAUAUUCAUGAUUAAUUAGUAAAUUAAGCAAGUUGAAUUAUUAUUUAAUUAAUAUUUUUAUUAAUUAAUUAGAUAAAAUAUUAUUAUAUUAAAAUUAUAAUUAUUCUUAUCCUUACUAUUCUAAUCUAACCAUCCAUACGCCAUUUUGCUUAUUUCCAAGAAAAACUUAGUUUUUAUCCAAACGCAAAAUUGAUUUUAUUCUUACUUAUCCCAAGAAUUGUACUGUACCUGUCCAAAAGAUAGCCUAAAAUAACUUAUUCCCGAACCAAAUGAUACCUAAAACACCGAACUUAGUGAAAUUGUAUAAAAUUGGAUCCAUUACAUAUGUAGAUCGUGCUGGCUAAACAAAUCCAUUUUGAUCCAUUAUUUAGAAGAUCUAGAAAAGUUAAAAUUGUUUCGGCCUUUUCACUCUGUUACUUAAAAUUGGAGUUGUUAAUUUUUUGGCCCUCUAAAGCAUCAAAUAACAACAUAUUCCUAAACUAGCUAGGCUAGGCUAAAACAGCCAAAUGUGGCAGCAAAUAUUUUGAUAUACAACACUAUUUCCGCGAUAAGUAAUUAAAUCCACGCCAGAGUUUUCACUUCCCAUGAAACCAACUCAAUGGAUGAUGAUAUAUUAAUUAUGACGGUGAUGAGAGAGUAAAGGAUCACAGGAGGGAGAGAUUCUACUAUAUAUAUAUAUAUCAGUCACACUAUAUUAUUUAUAAACAAUCAAUCAUAUUAUUCCUCGAGUUAAAAGUAAAGUAAAAAUAUUUUUUUAAUAAUUAGAUUGGUUUGUGUUGCUAUAUCAGUAAUGUAACUGAUAUAUAUGUUCUAAAAAAUCUUCCAUAGGAGGACCCUUGGGCCAGCUCCAAUUAAAACACACACACAUACACAGCGACUUGAUUCGAAGUGAAGUGACCUCUCAUGAGACCCCUUAGGUGGUACAAUGAGAAAGUAUACUCGAGUCCAAGAGCCAAUCCAUUCUCUUCCCUAUACAAAAGCACGGUCACUUGUUGGAGAAAAGGACUUUCAUAUACACCUCUUAAAACGCACUCUAAUAAGUACACACACGCAAAAUGAUACAUUCCAAAAGUUUUUACACUAUAACGGGACUCCCCUUUAUGGUGAGAGAACUCCACAAGCAACAACUCUCUUUAGAUUCCACCCCACUCGUUAAGCUUUCUACCAUGCCACAACUCAUCCGCACAGCUCCAGAAGCUGCUAUCGCCAACACUAUCGAGACAACUAUUACUACUCGCCACACUCACACCACAAUUGGUGCUCGCAUAGCCGAGAAGCGAAGACGACGAUAGUGACGCUAGGUCCAACCCAUCUAGCUCUUGGUGGUAGUACCCGUGACUGCUGUGCCCGCCGAGAAGAGCGUCGAAAGCGACGCCGUUGAGCUCGUCGGUCGGGCUCGACGGGAAUUCGGGGAAUUGCGGGACUUGCGGGAGCGCGGUCGACCCCGAGGAAGUGCUCGGGCUAUAAUUCUCCGACCCGGAGAUGUCGUACGAGCGCGAGCACUCGAGAGGGUGCGGUACGAUCGGAUCGAGGAAAGGCGGAUGAUGAACGUGGUGGCGGUCUUGGCUGAGCGAUGAGGCGUUGGCGUUGGCGGCGGCAGUGGCAGCGGCGGCGGCGGUCGGGGUGGUCGAAAAGGGAUCGUGAAGGGAUCGAGAGGUUUGAGAGCCGAUCUUCUCGAGGAGCCUCGGCAUCCAGUAGCACCGGAGCGCAUCGCGGAACAUGGUGCUGUUGGCGUCGAUCUUGAGCUGCCUCGCCUGCUUCUGCACCCUCGUCCUCCAAUAAUUCUUGAUCUCGUUGUCUGUCCUCCCCGGAAGGUGCUGCGCGAUCCUAGACCACCUACAUCAGUAUAAUAAAAACUCCGUAAAUAAUCGAUCGUCACUUGAUUGUAACUAACUAAUUAACACGCAUAUAUCGAUCGAUCGAGCUUACCGAUUUCCCCACUUGGAAUGGAGCUCGAGGAUGAGGAACUGCUCCUCGGGGUUAAAUUUCCGCGCUUGAUAUCGGGCUUCAAUAAUUCAGCCACCGCAUCUGCAGCUCUUCCCGGUCCUCUUCAAUCCUACAGCAGCCGGGUAAAGGAAAGGAAAUCGACAUCACCAAGUACGUACUACAACAUAGCUAGUGACUAAACAACAAGCAUGGCUUAUUAGGAUUGAACUAAAUAUAUAUAUUUAUAUGUAUAUGUAUACCGGAGCACCAGCAAGGAGAUUCCAACGGCCCUCGCCGUGGUACGCAAUGUAGCGCAUGAGGAGCUCGUCCUCUUCGAGCGUCCACGGCCCUCGCCGUAGCUCCGUUAUCUCCUCCUCUCCACGUUGUUUAUUGUUGGCCCCUUCUUUUCCGACAUAUCUUGCCCCUGGCCUCCUUAAAAUAAAUUUUUUUUAAAAAAAAAAGAAAAAUAAAGGAGAAAAGGCUCUUCUUGGUUGAGAACUGAUUAGCUAGGGAGAGUUUGUGAGGAGGCUACAGCUACAAGGUAAGGAAUGAGAGGAGGGUAAGUGAACAUGCUUAUAGACCAUUUCCAACAAAAGUCCAAAGCCUACAUCUACUACUACCAAUAAUGGGUUGUUUUGAAAAAGUGGCAACCUUAUUGCAUGGUAAAAAAAAAAAACUUAAUAAAUGAACUGCUGCGGCUCACAUCAACUUGGGCUUUAGUGGACACAAGCAAACAAAAAAAAGGAGGAGAAAAUAUAUAUCAUUGGACUCAAAUUUCCUUGUGGCGGGGGGGUGGGGGGGGGGGUUGGUAAUUAAUUCAAGUGUAUAUCCUUUUUGAGGAGAGGCUUCAAUUGUGGAAGUGUACAUGUCCUCUUUAGAUUCUUUUUCUACAUGAAACGUGUUUGACCGAACAAUUUGCACUAUUAGGCUCAUGUUUUGAUUGCUAUAGAGAGAGAAAGAGAAAGAAAGAGAGGGAGAGAGAGGGGGGAGGGGGUCUAAUCAGAGUUUGCCUAAUCCGGCGGCAAUUUAGGUAGCUCCUGGAAUUUGUAGUGCAAUUGUAGGAACAUGCUCCUUUUAGAGUUCACAUUUCAAAACUGUGUCCACUAAAAAAAGCAAGCAACAACAACAAAAGCUGCAAAAACAAGGAGAACAUUAAUUAAUUAAUUAAGAUCAUGUUAAGUCCCGUAAACACUUUACCCCUCCACGUACAACCCACUAAGCCUUCCAUUUUAGGGACAGCACCCUAAGUUGUAAGCACAAAGUAGGCAUUUAUAGCUCUUCCUCCCUCCCUCCCUCUCACUCUCUCUCUAGAGUACAAACUUUUAGGUAGCUUGAUACCACUUUAUUUCCAAUGAUUCUCAAACUGCAAUUGUCUCAGAUGAUAUCAAAGCAAAGAAAAAAUUUAGAAUGCACUGGUUAUAUAACUAAUAUAGCGUCUUCAACCAAUCAGAUUGUUUUUCUUGGAUUCACCUAUUUGCACGAUCAUGAUUAUUAAAAAAUUUUUUUAUUGUGCAUACUAGAUUUUUUUUUUUUCCUAACUGAGAGCGUGGUUUGUGUACAUGUGGAUUGCUCUAAAAACUAGCGAAAUCAAUUUUCGAUGUGAAAAUUACGUACUUUUCAAGCUAUUUUGUUAACCAUAAAAGUAAAAGUGAAUCAUAAAAGUAUGUUUCUUUUACUGACCAUCCCUAGAGCAAGUAGCAAAGGGCCUUGUGGUUGGUACCCGAGACUGAAGUUUGAAUCCUAAUUGAUUCAUAUUUCCAGCUAAGUUUAUUUCUAAAUGAAAAAAAAACGAAGCAGAUAGCGUACUACCUAUCUCUCAAAAAAAAGAAAGUGUGUUUCUUUUAAAUUUAAUACUUUUACAGAUUUGAGAAAAAUUAGAUCUUUUCAUUUUCUGUUGAAACUAGCUGAAAAUUAAACCUCAGGCCACCAAAAAUCAUGGCAUAUUCGUGACGGCAAAAAAUUUAGCGCAGUCCACACAUAGUAACAGAGGUUAUUGCAUAGACUAGAUGUAUUCAUAUAUUUAUGUACACCACAUUUUCAUCCACCAUUUUUUUUUCUUUUUUAAUCUUAAUCUGUAUAUACCAUUUUGUAUACAGCAGUUUCUUUUAAUUUAAAAUUUGGAUAGUUAAGUUAAUUAAAAGUAUGAAUGAAUUGGCAGUUUUUUGAAGCACGGUGUGUGGGUUCGUGGGUGCACUGAGUGCACAAAUAAAUUUUUUUCUCAAUGGAUCUCCACUAACAUUGUUUUUAUAAUAAUAUGUAUAGUAUAUAAAAAUAUAAUUUUACAUGAAUUUAAUUUAAAAAUAUAAAUUAUAAUAAUAUUAUAUGUAGUAUUGUAACUAUUAUAUAUAAAUAAAUAAUAUAUAAUAUAUGUAAUAAAAUAAAAUAUAUAGCAUAAAAUAAUUUUUUAUUAUCUUUUUCUUUCAAUACAAGCAUGGUAAGAAAACUAAUUUUUAUUUUUUUUCCCAUAAAUCAAACACUAUGGACGCAUUUGGUUCGCGUUAUGUAACAUUACAGAUUAUUUCGACAUAUUUGUGUAUCUUAGAUUUCUGAAUGAGAUUAUUACUGAUAUUGUAUUAGCACAUUUGAUUUAAAACAGUAAUAUAAUACUAGAUUACAGUAUAUAUAGUAUUACUAUAUUUGAUUCAGUUGAUAAAAUUAAGUAAUUCUGACACCAAAGUGUAAUCUAUUCCAAAAUUACUCUCAUAUCGGCAAAAUUCUUUUACUAUUUACAAAUAAUAAUUUUUUAAAUAAAUUUUAUUUUAAAUAAUUUAAAAUUAGAAUUUACAUUUUAUUUUUUAAUUUUAAAUAUUAAAUUUAAAAUUUNAAUUAAGUAAUUCUGACACCAAAGUGUAAUCUAUUCCAAAAUUACUCUCAUAUUGGCAAAAUUCUUUUACUAUUUACAAAUAAUAAUUUUUUAAAUAAAUUUUAUUUUAAAUAAUUUAAAAUUAGAAUUUACAUUUUAUUUUUUAAUUUUAAAUAUUAAAUUUAAAAUUUAAAAUCUGAAUAAAAAUAUAAAAUUUAAUAUUUUAAUUUAAAAUAUAAAUAUAAAAUUUGAAAUUUGAAAUUUAAAAUAUAAAUAUAAAUUUAAAAUUUUAAAUAUAAAUUUAGAAUUUAGAAUUUAAAAUCUAUAUUUGAAGUUUAAAAUUUAAAAUUUAAAAUUUAAAACUUGAAACUUGAAACAUGAAACAUGAAACUUUAAAUUUAAAAUUUUGAAAUUUAAAAUUUAAAAUUUGAAAUUAAAAUUUGAAAUUUGAAAAUUAAAUUUUAAAAUAUAAACCUUAAUAUUUUAAUUUAAAAUUUAAAAUUUAAAAUAUUUAAUUUAAAAUUUUAAAAAUGAUGUAUUGAGAGGGUUUGAGGUUCGGAGGGAUAAACUUGUAAUUUUACAUACAUGCAAUAUAACACUCAUCAGUAAUACGAGAUACCCAGCCCUCGCUCGGUAAUAAUUUCAGUGUAAUUCCGUACAAUUUGUAAUGUUAUAUUACUGACCAGAUUAUAUUCUGGAUGAACCAAAUGCAGUAAUCUUGGCAGAAUUGUCUGUAAUCCUGUCAGGAUAACCCGAACCAAACGCACUCUAAGAGAUUUUGUGUUUGAAUCCCAACAAACUUGUUUGCCUUUCAAGUGAUCGAGAAUCAUAAUCUCCAUCCAUUUUAUUAAAAAGUUCAUCUUGAACCUACUAAAAUCGCAAGUCGAUCAUAAAUUCUUUGUGCUAAAACAUAAAAUACCAGAACAUUUUUCUUUAUUAGGUAAAUAUUGUUCUUUGCAGGCCGUGACUUGAAUAAUCCUUUUUUUUUUGGAAAAUUUAAUUGUUCUAAGUUCACACCAUAGCAGAAGAUAAAAUCUUUCAAUUCUCUUGUCUAAUCAUAGCGCACAUUUAAGCAGAAGAUCUAGAGUUAGAAUCCACUUUGGGCAUGUAUACUAUUUCAUUACAUGACCUCUACAUAAUUGAAUUGCAAUCUAUGUUAAUUUGGCUUGUUAAAAGUGUUACAACAAAAGAUGGAAACACCCAUUUAGUUUUUCGGGUAUGAAACACUAGGGGGAAUCGACAAAUAGAGAAAAAAAAUAAAGUACACAAACAGUUUACGUGGUUCAACCAUAAGUCUAUGCCCACAGGUAAAGAUAGUGCAUGACGUUUUACUAUAAUCUGUAAGAGUAAUACAAAAGAUGCCUUCUCUUAGAAACUUCUAGGUUUUAAAUACAGCCAACACUUUCUUUCUCACAUGAGAACCCAUGAAAAAAGUACUAGGUUAAAUCACAAGAGGAUUGGUAACAAUCUCACUUAAAUUAGCUCAUCAAAGGAGAAUAGAAUUAAGAAAACUUUGAUCCUAGUGUUACAUUUUGGUCUUCGCUCCAAAAAAUUUCUGAUCACGUCAUGAAGUGAGCCGAGCCUGAGAAAUAUUCAAGACAUAUCUAUCAACUCCUCAACAUGGGUUGAAUUCUCUAUCUUCUAUAUAAAACCCUCAAGGACUUUCUGGUGUGUUGCUAAGUAGAUCAAUCGUCACUAGAACAAAAACGGUCUAUAGCGACAUUUUUAAAUGUCGGUAUAGGUCAAAAAAAGUGCUGCUGGCUAAAUUACCGACACUUUUAAAAAGUGUUACUAUAUGUGGGGUCGCUAGGUAUAUAGUGACAGAUAAAGAGUGUCGCUAUAACCUAAAAGAGUGCUGCUAAUUUACCAACACUUAUUUAAGCAUUUAGCAACCGUCGGAACUCUAUUUCGUUGGCUGCAGUGACGAAGGAGGACGAAAGGAAGGGAUUUUCGUCUAGAAUUUCAGUAGAUUCAGUGAGAAGAGAAGGGGAGAUGGUAAUCGAUUUUUCUUUUUUUUUUUCUGUUUGUAAUCGAGCCGAAUAGACUGGGUGGGGUGGGUUGAGUAGAGUAACCUUUUAUUUUUGGUUGAAUUGGGCUUUAUAUUUAGGCAUUAGUAGAUUUUUUGUAAGUUUUGGUAUAAAUGGGACACUUACACAAAAAUGUCCCAAACAUGUGUCCCUAUAACCUAAUUCUGUUGUAGUAAUCAAGUCCAUGUAAUACUUGAACUUGGUCACUGAAAUAGAUUUACUUAGUGUAUUUGCCCAACCUUCUCGCCAGUGAUAUCAUCUUAUGCUACCACAUCACGAACGAAAUAUUAUGUACCUAACACUAAUAUUCUUUGUCCUCCUUUGAAACAUUUGAUCCGUGCAAAGAUUUAAAUGUGGUAUUCUGGCUGUGGCAAUGGACAAUUAAUAUUUAUCUUCUGGUUAUAAAUGGACUACAAGUACAAGCCUUUCAACCAAAUAUAACAUCUUUGAUAGCCUCCAUCACCAAUGUACAAUGCCUCUCAGUAGUGGAUAAUAUAAGCAAUAAUUAAUAGACAGCCAAAUAUAAAUGCAUGAUUACAUAACCCCCGCUUAUCUAAUUUGACUACGAACAUACGAAUAUUAGCUUAAAAGGGCUAGCAUCCCGUGUGAUGGGAGGUCAAGUUGGGUUGUGUUACUUUCGAAAUGGCGGGUAGUCAAGUUGAGCCAAGUCAUGUUCAAAUAAAUUAGCAGAAGACUGGUUUAGGAAAGUCACAAUCGAGAUCUGUGGAUACUGUAUCUGUAUGCUUUAAGUAAAUUGGUUGCAUUUUUCUAACAGUUCGACCUUUUAGAAUUAAUGGUUAGUGCUAAUGAUCGAACAAUGAGAUCUAAAUUAACAAAAGCAACAACAAAGUCAUCAAAAUUUUCAAACUCUAGACAUACAUCGAAACUCAAUAGAAGUGUGAAUCAAAUACAAUCUCUCUAACUUUCUAUCUCUAUGAAUCUCCAUGCUGAGAAUCUUCGUUGCUCAAUUGUGCACGGGAUUUUACUCUGCCAAUGUCAAGCUUGUUCUUAGACGCAGUAUGCGAUUAUCCAUAUAAAGGAACACAUAAACAGAAGUUUAUAUCAUUCAAUCCUUAGAUAUACAAAACUAUUGUACUUGCUUAAAUUUAUUAGGAUAAAAAUAUAUUUACAGGUCCAAUAGUCCAUAAAAAGAUAGCUCUACUUUUACCAUAACUUUGAAGGGCUUAACAACAUCAAAACUUAUUAAAUCCUCCUAGUAAUUAUCCGCAUAGAAAUGGCCAGUAAAUCCGUAGAACCCAGUAGAAUUCGUCCACUUUAGAUGCGUAAAGAAAUUAAGAUCACUUCAAUUGAAAUUCAAAUGAGCGAAGAUAUGGUUUUCGAAACUUCGAAUUGAUUUACUUUGUUUCGGUCGAUGUUAAUAAGUUUCUCUUACAAAUUGGUUGAGACUUAUUACUGCCUACCAUUAAUUGACUUAUAAGAGCCAACAUUCUAUGACAUCCCACUUCCCAAGGAGUCAUCCAUCCUAGGACUACUCUAACCAUAAUAUUCUUCACUCUUUUGACCUCUUGAGCCUAACUAUGUACCGUCCAUAAUGCCACAGCCGGUUUAAGAAAUUUCGUCAUAUUAUACCUUAUAUAUAUGACUAUUCCAAUUCCUGAGGUUUCACAUAUUCUGCCUCAUGAUGAAGGCUAGGUUGGGCCAACUCAUGUUCAAAAUAUCAGGAUGUUGGGUUGGGCCGAGUCAUGUUCGAAGUAGCGUGAGGCUGAUUAAACCGAAUCACAAUCAAGAUCCGUGGGCAACUGUGUUUAUAUGUUCUAAGUAAUUUGUUUGUGUAUUUCUACUAGCACGAGCAUUUGGGGUUAAUGGUUAGCACCAACGAUCCAGCACCAUUGAAGUCAUUACUUGAAACUUAUCUAGGUCAGAUCUUCUUGGACUACCCAUUAAGAUCUAGUUUAGAUGCUCUUUGAUCACUUAAUUGUUCAUUUCAAUGCAUUGGUUCAUGGAUUAGUGGCUCACAAAUUUUAGCAAUGCAUGAGUCCAAGAAUUUGAAGCUGGGGGUUGCCGUCGCAUAUGAAUUUGGAACUUGGCCAAGGGCGUGCGACACAAAUAACACGAGCUUCUUGGGGAUUUGAUUGACGAAUCUGUAGAUCCAACAUAACUCAAGUAUAGUGGUGUUGGAGGUUCCCUGAAGUGUGGUUAUUUUUUCAUUAUUUGUUCUGAUGUAACCAUACAUGCUGAAAUUAAAUUUAAGUAUUCUUUUUUUAUUUUGGUGUAACUUAAUACUAAUGUAACUAGUUUUUUGAAUUCUAUUAGUUCUUUAGAUGUAAUAAAAUAAAUCCAGUUAUCUCCUAAUAUAGCGGUAACUUACCUCCACAAAAUCCAACAUAUAAAUUAUUAAAUGCUCCAUUAUUAUUUAAAGGUAAUUCUAAUCCAUUGUAAAGUAGAGUUUGGAGUUUUAAUAUUUAAUUAAUUUUUAAAGAAGGUUGAGUGUGGUGGAAUUGAGUUCAGUAUUUAAGAGGUGGAAGUCAAGAGUAGAUGAAAGGAGGUUUAACAUAACUUGAGUUACAUUAUUUUUUAACUUAUACCAAACAAACGCCGAAAGUGAUAGAAUUUGAGUUCCGCUCCUCCACUUACAAACCAAACGGGCCGUAAGUCUUCACAGAUGUCCUAACCACUUUGUUCUCCUAACUAUUUCGGUUAAAUUCUGUUUUUUUCCUUGAUAUUUUUGUGCAGCUUUGGGUCUCCUGACUUUUUCUUCCAAGGGGUUUCCACGUGAUUUUGGAUUGUUGUUCACUUUCCGCAUUUUACUUUUACGGCAUUGUCCUCAAUUUAGUGUGCUGCAAAAUUGAAAUGUUUAGUUGAUCAACAUAUGUAGGGUCUCCGAUGAGCCGAAUACGAGCAAGCUGUGAUUGAUGAAAAAGUUGGAAAAAAAAAAAUAAAAUCUUAAUGUAAUAAUUAAAAUUCACAAAUUAUUGGUCUCUUUAUGCUUGGAAUUGACCUAAAAUCUAAAAUAAGGUAAAUGAUAUAUAUAUAUAUAUAUUAUUAUAUAUAUAUAUAUAUAUAUAUAUAUAUAGAGAGAGAGAGAGAGAGAGAGAGAGAGAGAGUGGGGCUACAAUACUAUUAUGAGUAUUGAGUCAUUCAUAUUUAUAAAUUAUUUUUGAUGAUGAAGUUUCUGAAUUGAUGAACGAUACCAUUAAAAAUGAUAUAGAGCAUUUGAAACUUCAAAAAAAAAUUUUGUAAUUUUUUAAAAUCAUAGUAAAUCCACCAAGCGGGCAUAAAAUGAAUAGUUAAAAUUAAAUGACUUUCUAAAAAUCAAGGAUAGGAUACUUCAAUUUAAUAUCAGAGUUAACGUUAUUGAUCUUAUCUAGAUAGUGAAUAGAAUUUUCUAUCAAAAAUUUAACCUCGAUUUUUUACACUGUUAAACUAGCAAGUAUCUCAUACUGAUCAUUAAAAAUUAUUAAUUUUGAGAUAUUUUUAUCGUAAGGUAAAUGAUGUCAAAAAGUUGUGAAAUUUGAUUUCUAAAAGUUUCGAAUGCUCUAAAUAAUAUUUAACAGUAUUAAUCAUCGAUUGAGAAGCUUUAUUAUCGAAAAUGACUUAUGAGUACUGUUGGCACCAUAAAAAUAAUGCCACGUGGUAGAAUAGUCCGAGCCACGUGAAUGAAUGAAUAGAAGCAAAACAUAAAGCGACACAUGAUACACAAGGAGCUGGAAGCCGCACGCCUAAAACGGAAAAGCGGUUUGGGCGGAAUGUGGUUGAAGACGUGGAUGAAGGAGUUCAUGGCCAAUAAGAAAUAAGCUGAAGCAUGACCUGAGAAAAUAAGGAUGUGGCCGAAUAAACCUCCACGAUGGAAUUAACUCAAAUAACAGCAAGUGGGAUUAUAAAUAAGUGCACCUGAAAGAGGGGUCCUUCACACGAGUAAGAGACUACAACAAAUUUCAAUUUCUUUCUUUUUGGCAUUUACAGCUUUUCUCGGAGUUAGUUUCAAUAGAUUGCCAAUUAGUUGUAGUAGAAUUUUUUUUUGUUAAUUCCCUAUAGCUAAGAGCGUGGUAGAGUAGGGAUAGGGUUAGAGUUUAUCUCCGUAACAACUCUUGUAACCCCACUUUAUCCAUUUUUCGAUAAAUACAAGCCACUCGGCUCAUUCAGCGGAGUUUAUGAAUAGUUGUAGAAGAGCCUGACUGAGCUGAUCCCUCAUCGACCGAAUCGCUCGACUCGUCAGUGGUGCACUCGAGGUCGUCUCAGGAGCUGUCUAACUAUCCGAGCUCGGUCAACGUUUUAAUCUGGUUCGUCUCGCUCCGCAUUCAGUUCCUAAUACAAUAAUUUUUGGCACGCUCGGUGGAACACGCUCAGGUACAUCCCAACCUUUCUCUCAUAGUUGAUGAUAAUACAAUGAACCUCUGAAAUAGGAUCAUUCCUAGGCUCUCAGGGAAUAACUAGGCCAGUAGCGCCGAAAAUGCGAAUGAUCAUCAGGCGAUGUUGCAGGCUGGGGGUGAAAAUAGCAGGCACUCAGGUCAUCAGGAGCCAGCUUGACUCAGGCAUUAGGGCAAAUGACCUGAGUCCAGCAGACAUUGGAUCAAAACAGUCAUCGAAGUAUCGCUUGAUUACACGGUACUGGCCACCAUCAUAGCCUUUGAUGAGAAUAUAGCUCGUAUCAGACAGUUAUUAACCCUGAACGAGCAACUUAUGGGGGUCCAUAAGGGCCUCUAAUCGCGCCAGUGCAGUAGAACCCAUUUGCAUUGACGGUCCCGCAGACACAACCCUAAGUAGCACCUUUUCAGACUGCCUAUAGGCCUGUGACUGUAAACGCCGGCUCUCAGCCGGAAAUUGCAUAGGGUUUACCUCCUCCACCUCAUUUGCCUAUUUAUCAACCCCAAAAUGUGGGCGUAAGGGCCGAGGGCAGGGCCCCAAUGUAGUAUAGGGACUUAAUCCUGCAGUACAAAACUACAUGCUCCCUCUAGGACCAAACAGAAUUUCGGCCCCGAUCCCCGAUCCUCGGAGUAGGGAAUAACUGUACGCUCAAAUAGAAGAGACGAUCUGGAACACAUUCGAUAUAGGAGAAGACCGGCAAUGCGGCCUGUAUUUAGAUCCCCAUAUCCAGCUAAUAUUGUGGAACAUCCGUAUCUGACAAAUAGGAAGAUGUGGAAGUUCGAUAAGUUCUAUGGCGAAAAGACCGAAAGUACUGUAGAACAUGUUGCUCGGUUCAUGGCCCAGUGUAGAGAAGCGGCCGUUGACCCAUUCUUGAAACUUCGCUUGUUUAUCAUGUCGUUUACUAAGAUAGUGUUUACAUGGUACACAAGCUUAUCCGACAACGCCAUCCGAGAUUAGGACGAGUUGGAGCGAAAGUUUUAUGAGCAAUUUAAUAGAUCGGAACCUAAAUUAUCAGUGGAUGUGUAGUAUCCUAGGUGGAAAUUGAGUUGGUAAAAGGGCCUUUUGGUCUUUUGCCAAUCCUUAUCAUUUCCACCGCCUUAUACAGAGGUGACAUGCAUUGGAGGAGCUUUGGGUUGCUUAAUUAAUUCCUCUCUCUCUCUCUCUAGAUUGAAGUGGAGAGCACGGUGAAGACCUCGAGUACGUGGAGUUCGGAUUGACGUUGAUUUCGCGCCGGACAGCCGUUUGAGCCUACGUGCGUCGUGGUAGCGCCGUUGGAGGCCGGGCGAGCGCGGGAUUUCUUCUCCUAUCGACUUCUCGCCGGAAUUGAAUUAGCUUUUGAGGUGGGUUAAUGAUAUACUUACCGAAAUUUUCUGAAUUAUCUCCUAAGCCUAUAUAUGUUGACAGCAUGUAUUUUUAGUUUCGUUUAGCAUACUUAGUAGCUCGAUUCUUUGAUUUGUAUGGUUUUUUAAAUAUGAAUUGGAGCUUAGAAUGUUAGAUAAAUUAUACAUGUUGGAUUUGGAAUUGACUUAGGAGAAAACUAUAGGUUCUACACUGUCAUUUUCUGAAAACUACAAGAUUUAGUUUUAAGAGCUGUAGUUUGUUUGUAUCGCCGCAGUUUGUAGGCGGUGGAUACCCAGAAUAGUGUAAAAUGAAAUUACGCUCAUGCUGGGAUACCGAGUUUAUUUUUACAGUAAUGUAUAGACUGUUUCGGACUGUCGGGUGCUGUUGUGAUUGACGGUGGACCCAGUUUGCUGUUUUUGCAUCGGAUUGUACCGAGGACACUUCAGUUUUGGUUGUUAGACCAGUUAGACCCUUCUGCUUUGACAAUAGCCUGUGAGAGCCUGAUUGAGCUUGGCAGAGAUACGCUUGCAUACUCGGUUGGGUAGCGCCCACGAGUACCACUCCGGAGUCGGGCUUUGUGCUUUUGCAUUGUUGUCGGUUUGUCCUGGUUGGACACGCUCUCCACUGACGAUCCAGCGUGGUGGUAGUUAGUGUUGCUUCAACAGGCGGGAAGGGUGUGUUCACAGUCCCUAGUGUGUUUUGGGUUAUACAGUGCAUUAUCAUAUCUACAGAUUGUCGAAUAGGGAUAGUAUAGUAGCAUAUAGCUGUGGAGUUUUUCAGCUUUCUUACUAUCUUUGAGCAUACAUCUGUAGACUUAGUGGAUGAGCCGUUGAGGUCGGUAGUGGUACCCACUGAGGACUACUUCUUUUUGCAACAGUUCUAACACACAGUUGUGGAUUCUUUUUGCAUAGCCUUCUUCUUUUGCUGCUGCUUUCGCGUAUACUGAUCGUGGAAAGGGAGUCGCAAGCUAGAUCCCUUCCCGGUUGCGGCUGAUCUAGAGCUAUAUACCAGCUACAGGUAGUUGUAGUUUUUGGUUUUUAUACAUACUGAUGUUAGUUCCUCGCUGGAGCGAGCGAUUUUUUUAUCAGGAUACUAUGUAUGUAUGUUAAACCGAUGUUGUUUAUAUUUGUAUUUCUUUUAGCAGCUCUAUACUACUAGUUGUAGUAUUGUAUGAUUAUAAGUACAGCUAUAGCUAUCGCUUCAUAUACAGGAAAAAUUCCUUUAUAUACGACGGGUUUGUCGGCGUGCCCGGGAAAACAUAUAAUCCGGGGCGUGGUAGGCUGAUUUAGCUUUAUACAGACAGAAGUCGGGUGAAACGGUCAAAGAAUACUUGAACCGUUUCAAAACGGCUAGAAACCGAUGUUUCGUGAGGAUGACGAAAUCAGAGUUCGCCAAAAUAGCGUUCAAUGGUUUAUAUUUUUAAAUAAGGGACCAUCUCGAAGAUAAGCAUUUCGCUAACCUGUUUGAUCUGGGCAUUCAGGUUGCCCAAUAUAAGCAAUUUCGAAAAGAAAAUGAGGAUGAUCGGCUGUGAUGGAGCUGAAACUAAGAGGGAUCGAGGACUUAGUUGGUGAAGACGAUGCGACGGAGAUGGUAUAGAACUGCCAGCCUUAUAAGUGUGCGGUACUUAAGCCAGCUAGGGCUAGCGAAUCUAAAGCACAAAUGGCGGCAUACACUUAUUUGAUUGAUAUUGCCAAAACUAACUAAAUAUUUGACCAGUUGCAUAAAAACGGCAGUAUAAAGCUCUAGGAGUGUCAAACAUUGUCCUCUAGAGAGGAGUUAAAGAGAAGAAAGUAUUGCAAGUGACACCACUCAUGGAGUCACAAGACUAAUGAUUGCACAACCUUUAAGAGGGAGAUAACGGCUAGUUUUUGUCGACCAAGAAAAUAAGAAAAUGAAAGUUAACCAAAACCCCUUUCCUACGCAGGUUAAAAUCGAACGACAUCCUAAAAAUAGGUGAUCGGAUCUUUCAAUUUAAGAUCGAAGUUAUUGAUCUUUAUUUAGGUAGUGAAUAGAAUUUUCUAUCAAAAAUUCAACCAAUUCUGAUUCUUUUUCACCGUUAAACUUGCAAAUAUCUCAUACCGGCCGUUAAAAAUUGUCAAUUUUGUGACUUUUCAAUCAUAAGGUAAAUGAUAUCGAAAAAUUAUAAAAUUUGAUUUCUAGAAGUUUUAAAUGCUCUAGAUAAUGUUUAACGGUAUGGAUCGUCGAUUCGGAAGCUCUGUCAUCGAAAACAACUUAUGAGUACGAAGGUGAUCAUACUCAUAAGAGUAUAGUAGCCGGACUUUAUAUAUAUAACUAGGCUGGAAUACUAUCAAUAGCAUCAAGCUAUUGGUGCUACUAGUUUUUUAGCCCUUGGAUUGAGAAAUGCGCGUUUAGGAUGAUGAGGGCCCCCUAGGGUUGAGUAGGGUUGGUUGAAUAGUAUAAUCUAACGGGUAAAAAUAAUCAAAGCGGUUAAUCUGACGGCAGAAAACUUGAUAGCACCAAAUACUUGGUGCUAUCGAUAGCAUAGCAGCUGGACUAUAUAUAUAUAUAUAUAUAUAUAUAUAUAUAUAUAUAUAUAUAGUCCGGCUACUAUACUCUUAUGAGUAUAAUCCCCUUUAUACUCACAAGUUUUUUGCCGUUAGAUCUAUUUCUUUGAUCAUUUCCACCCGUUAGAUCAUACUAUUCAACCAACUACCUACUCAACCCUAGGGGACCACUAUUAACCUAACCCGGGACCACUAUCAUCCUAACCACACAUCUCUUCAUCUAAUGAUUAGAAACUUAUGAGUACAAAGGGGGCUACACUCAUAAGAGUAUAAUAGCCCUAGCAUAUAUAUAUAUAUAUAUGAGAGAGAGAGAGAGAGUUUGACUAGAUUACUAUCGGUAGUAAACGGCUCGGUUUACUACUAAUUUAUUUUUGAUGAUAGAGUUUCGAAAUCGACGAUCGGCACCGUUGAGCUUUUACACACUUUAAACUAAAGGUCUAUCAAAUUAAUCAAAUCUAGUACAANNNNNNNNNNNNNNNNNNNNNNNNNNNNNNNNNNNNNNNNNNNNNNNNNNNNNNNNNNNNNNNNNNNNNNNNNNNNNNNNNNNNNNNNNNNNNNNNNNNNNNNNNNNNNNNNNNNNNNNNNNNNNNNNNNNNNNNNNNNNNNNNNNNNNNNNNNNNNNNNNNNNNNNNNNNNNNNNNNNNNNNNNNNNNNNNNNNNNNNNNNNNNNNNNNNNNNNNNNNNNNNNNNNNNNNNNNNNNNNNNNNNNNNNNNNNNNNNNNNNNNNNNNNNNNNNNNNNNNNNNNNNNNNNNNNNNNNNNNNNNNNNNNNNNNNNNNNNNNNNNNNNNNNNNNNNNNNNNNNNNNNNNNNNNNNNNNNNNNNNNNNNNNNNNNNNNNNNNNNNNNNNNNNNNNNNNNNNNNNNNNNNNNNNNNNNNNNNNNNNNNNNNNNNNNNNNNNNNNNNNNNNNNNNNNNNNNNNNNNNNNNNNNNNNNNNNNNNNNNNNNNNNNNNNNNNNNNNNNNNNNNNNNNNNNNNNNNNNNNNNNNNNNNNNNNNNNNNNNNNNNNNNNNNNNNNNNNNNNNNNNNNNNNNNNNNNNNNNNNNNNNNNNNNNNNNNNNNNNNNNNNNNNNNNNNNNNNNNNNNNNNNNNNNNNNNNNNNNNNNNNNNNNNNNNNNNNNNNNNNNNNNNNNNNNNNNNNNNNNNNNNNNNNNNNNNNNNNNNNNNNNNNNNNNNNNNNNNNNNNNNNNNNNNNNNNNNNNNNNNNNNNNNNNNNNNNNNNNNNNNNNNNNNNNNNNNNNNNNNNNNNNNNNNNNNNNNNNNNNNNNNNNNNNNNNNNNNNNNNNNNNNNNNNNNNNNNNNNNNNNNNNNNNNNNNNNNNNNNNNNNNNNNNNNNNNNNNNNNNNNNNNNNNNNNNNNNNNNNNNNNNNNNNNNNNNNNNNNNNNNNNNNNNNNNNNNNNNNNNNNNNNNNNNNNNNNNNNNNNNNNNNNNNNNNNNNNNNNNNNNNNNNNNNNNNNNNNNNNNNNNNNNNNNNNNNNNNNNNNNNNNNNNNNNNNNNNNNNNNNNNNNNNNNNNNNNNNNNNNNNNNNNNNNNNNNNNNNNNNNNNNNNNNNNNNNNNNNNNNNNNNNNNNNNNNNNNNNNNNNNNNNNNNNNNNNNNNNNNNNNNNNNNNNNNNNNNNNNNNNNNNNNNNNNNNNNNNNNNNNNNNNNNNNNNNNNNNNNNNNNNNNNNNNNNNNNNNNNNNNNNNNNNNNNNNNNNNNNNNNNNNNNNNNNNNNNNNNNNNNNNNNNNNNNNNNNNNNNNNNNNNNNNNNNNNNNNNNNNNNNNNNNNNNNNNNNNNNNNNNNNNNNNNNNNNNNNNNNNNNNNNNNNNNNNNNNNNNNNNNNNNNNNNNNNNNNNNNNNNNNNNNNNNNNNNNNNNNNNNNNNNNNNNNNNNNNNNNNNNNNNUAUGUAUACAUACAUAUAUGUAUGUAUACAUACAUAUAUGUAUGUAUACAUACAUAUAUGUAUGUAUACAUAUAUAUAUAUACAUAUAUAUACAUAUAUAUAUAUAGAGUCCGGCUAUGGUGCUUGUAAAAGUACCAAGCACUUGGUGCUUAUAAAUUUUUUAUCAUUAAAUCUCUGCCUUUGAUCAGUUUUACCCGUUAGAUUAUACUAUUCAACCAACCACCCACUCAACCCUACGGGGCCGACAUCAUCCUAACCGCACAUCCUUUAAUCCAAAGGCCGAAAACUUACAAGCACCAAUAACUUGGUACUUUUAAAAGCAUAGGAGCUCAAUUAUAUAUAUAUAUAGGGUUAAUUUCAUACAGGUCCCUACAAACAUAUUGAAUAGCAGAUAUAUCCCUGCAAAGUUCAACUUUCGUAAGUUAUCCCUGCAAAAGCCCUAAUGUAUUCAGAUAUGUCCCUACCGUUAAUCUCCGUUAGAAAAAUCUAGUUAACCACAGUUAAAAUACUUAACCAUGGUUAGUUAAUAAGGUAAAAUAACAUUUUUACCCUUCUUCUUCUUCCCCUUUCUUUUCUUCUUCCUCUGCUUCUUCUUCCUCUUCCUCUUCCUCUCCUGCUUCUUUUUCUUCCUCUUCUUCUUCGUAUCCUCAUUUUCCUCCUCCUUUUCUCCUCCUCCUUCUUCUUCUUCUUCGUCGUCGUCGAUGAUCCGAUCGUCGUCGCCGUCAUGGUGCCUGCGUGGGCCGUCGUCACGGGCACCUCCGACGGCAUCGGCGUGCCUUCGCCUUCCUCCUCUUCCUUGUCCUCGUUGGCCACAACCUCGACAAGCUCCGCAAAGUCGCUGUCGUCGUCGCUGUCGCCGCCGCCCACAACAUGAAAAGAAAAAGGAAGAUGAAGGGGCAAGGGCAAAAUAGUCAUUUCACAACUUUACUGUUAAAAAAUUAACAGUUCUCUAACAAAUCCAAACCAGAGGGACAUAUCUGAAUACAUUAGGGCUUUAUAUAUAUAUAUAUAUAUAUAUAUAUAUAUACAUCUUAACUCGAGGAUACGAAAAUUUUCGUGGUUUUAAAACCACGAACAUCUAAAAAUCGGUAACUUAAUUCUCUAUACGCCAAUCCUACUACACCCCGGAAUCCCAACUCAUCCACCACGUACCAACUUAUCAUAUUAGAUUACCAACUUUUACUAGGCUCUUCAUCUAGAUUGCCAUUUUUUGAAUGUUCAUGGUUUACGAAACAUGAAAAUGUUCGUGGUAUCGACCUGAGAGAGAGAGAGAGAGAGAGAGAGAGAGAGAGAUAUAUAUAUAUAUAUCUCUCUCUCUCUCUCUCUCUCUCUCUCUUGAUCCGAGGAUACGAUAAUUAUCGUGGUUCAGUAACCACGAUGGUUCAAAAACCGGUAACCUAAUUCUCUACACGCCAAUCCUACUACACCCGGGAAAUCCCAACUCACCCACCAACCAACUUAUCAUACUAGAUUACCCACUUUUACUAGUGUUCCCAUCUAGAUUGCCGUCUUUUGAACCAUCGUGGUUCACGAAGCACGAUAAUUAUCGUAUCAUCGGUCUGAGAUAUAUAUGUAUAUAUAUACCCAAUUAAAGUAUGUACAGGGACGUUUGUAUAACUUAUCGUCUAUAUAGGGACGUUUCAAAUUGAAAAUAUUCAAUAGGAAUGUNACGAUCGGCUCCGUUAGACUUGAUCUACACUAUUAAAAGUAUUUGAAAAUUAAAUUUUAUGAUUUUUCGACAUCAUUUGGCUAGUGAUUAAAAGGUCUCAAAAUUAACAAUUUUAAUGGUAGAUGUGAUGCGUUUGUGAAUUUAACGGUGUAAAACAAUCCAAAUCAGAUGAAAUUUUUAUAGAAAUUUUUUUUUUUACUAUUUAGAAUAAGAUCAGUACCUCUGAUCUUAAAUUCAAGUCUUCUAUCAUCAUUUUUUAUGAAAUUUUUAUUUUUAGCCGUUCAUUUUUAGACUACUCAUUUGAUAGGUAAAUGAUAUCGAAAAAUUAUGAAAUUUAGUUUCCAAAUACUUUCAAUAAUGUAGAUCAAGUCUAAUGGAGCCGAUCGUCGAUUUGGAAGCAGCAUCAUUGAAAACAACUUGGUAGCAUGGAGGCCUCCGUGCUACCGAUAGUAUACCAGCCUAGCUCUAUAUAUUUAUUUGAGCUAUAUCGAGCGAGCUGAUGUAUUCAGCUUGUUUUUAUUAAACUAACGAUCGAUCUCGAGCUUAUUUCAAGUCGAACACGGGCUGGCUGGUGAACAGCAAGCUAGAUUACCACCCGUACACCUAUUCAUUCCUCUCUAGGUCCGUUAGUGUUAAAACUUCUAAAAACUCUUAAUCCAGGGGUUGACAGUCUAAAACUUAUCGCGCGUUUAAUUUGCAAACUUUCUUGGCUUUCAUGUCUCAGAUCUACAAGGGUAAAACGUCAAUAACUCCCACGUUCUAGAUUAAGCAAAGAUGAUCGAGUUCUCUCGUUGCCGUCGAUACGUAAUCCGUCAUUGAAUGAAUGUACAACAAAUUGCUCUACUGGAGUUUUCAAAGUUGCUUUAAUAAAGGCGCUAAACUUCAACUUCUUGGUCAAUUUGAUCACUUAUGGUACUAUUUAGUUGUCGAAUUACCUAGUUAAUUCACAUUAUUGUCGGAUUAUUGACGCUAACUAUUAAUUUCAAAAGCUCGAGCUGUUAGAAAUACGCAACCAAUUCACUUAAAGCGUACAGAUACAGCGCCCACGGGUCUCGAUUGUGACUCGGCCUAACCAGCUUAAUUCACGCCACUUCGAACAUUACUCGGCCCACCCAGCCUUGCACCAUUUUGAACAUGACUCAGCCCAACAUGGCCUCACGCCACAGGGUAGGAUGCUGGCACAUUUAAGCCAACAAUUAUCACUUCAUCAACAAAGAAAAAAAAAAGAUAAUAAUAAUCCGAGUUCAAUCAUUCAUGUCAUUGAAGAAAAUCAAAGUUUAAGACCUAUUAAUUAAUUUGAUUGAAACAGAUCACAUUCAGCCACUAAACGAAGUUCUCACAUAGUUAGUUCAAAAUGGAGAUUCUAUAUGUCGGGGAGGUACGUCGACGCCGCAAUUUGAGUCCACAAGUUGGCUCGCAUGCGCUCAAUGUGCGAAUAGAAUGUCACAAUUAUAGUUAUUUGGAGGUUACCUCCGUCACCUAUAAAGGAACAAUUGUAGGUGGCCCAAGAAAUUAAAACUAGUUAAUAAUAAUAAUAAUAAUGAUAAUAAUUAAUACAUGCAUGUGGUGAGUACAUGCGUGGACCACAAAAGAAUUUAUUACCAUCCCCUAUAAAGAGAAUGGUGGAAUUCUCAGCACAACAUUCCACAAAGUAAUCAAUCGUAUCCAACGCAAGUGGCAAAAGGCUUAUGGUUUAGUUUUGAGGUUCUAAAUUCCAAAUUUAGUUGUCGCGCGCGGUAUAAUGCAUGCUACCUUUCUCUCUUUUGGAAAAGAAAAAAAAAACAUUCCACAAAGUAACGUUUCCAUUAGAUAAAACUAGAGAUGGCAUCUAGCUAUAAGUAAAAUAAUAUAAAAUUGAGGCAAUUGCUUUUAUACCUUUGAAAAGUUUCCUACUUUCUUAUUUAUUCCGAUUGGAAGACUAAUAUUAAAAAAGUACCCUUUUAAUAUUUCAGGUUCUUUUAAAUAUAUUCCUAGAGUUAGUUUCUGUUAGUGAACUAUUAGGUUCAGCCGUUAUCUCUAUAAAAUUUUUAUUUUACCCUUCCAAAUAUAACCUUCUAUGUCACCAACUUUUUUUAUUUGUCUUAAGUAAGGAGCAAAAUGCGUAUUUUGAUUUUUUUUUUUAAUUCUGAUAUAAAUUUAAUCCGAAUUUAAUCCGAGGUAACUUAACGGGUACUAAUAGCACGAUUAUUUUUGAAUAACAGAGAAAUAUAUAAGGAAAUAGUUGAAACAAAAAUAAAUAAAUAAAUAAGAUAUUUCAAAAAUAUAUAUUAAGGGGUAUACAGGCAAUUAUUCCUAUAACUUUCACCUAUGUUAAAGCCAUACCUAUGGGAAAGUCAAGUUGGUUCAUGCAAUCUAGACCCGUACACAUUCAAUUUCAUGUUUAAAUUUGAAAAUCACAAUUACAAAUAAAUUUCAAAAAAAAAUUACAAAUAAAUCCCUUUACCUAAAACAUUUAUAAAAAUCUCAUGGAAUGUAACAUUAAAUAUCUAUUAUAGGUUUACUAUAGUGGUCAAUUCUAAGUUGAAAAAUGAUCUUUUCAAAUGUGCAUUUAUGUGUCAUUACAAAUGCUCACUCUUUUGUGAAGUAACUUAGGAAAUAAUAAUUGACAACAUUUAUCAUCAUGACAUAUAUAUAUCGCAGUACUACAUAAAUACAUCACCAAUUGUCUAACUAUCUAAUUUUUCUCGCAAAAUUAAAAAUUGUCUUAGUUAAUUGAUUAUAUAUUUUCCUAGUAUAUGAUGCUAGAUUAGCUGUAAAAAAUCUCUAACGUUGUCGAUUUUUUUCAUCUCAUAUUUCUUUAAAAAACUAUUUUUAACGAUGUUGGUUUUAUGUUCAUUGACUUAUUUUCUUUAUUAUUAUUUUUACCAUACCACAUGUAAUUUAUGCAAAUACAAUAUCAUUUUAUCUUACUACAAACCAAAUUUGAAUAGAAAGUAAAAUCCGAUGUGAAACCAUUUUACGCAAUGAUCACAAAAGACGACUAAUGCAUCAAAAGGACAACACAAGAAACAUGCUGAUCUCUAGUUGAUACAGUUACAACCAAUCAUCAAUUUUUUCCAUUUUGGCAAUUUGUGUUGUAGGCCCCUCAAUUGGAUCUCUCCUACUUUCAAUUGAACGAUUGAGACCUCAGCAUAUUAACUUCCCAAAGACCCAUUAGAAUUUGAAUUAAGUCCUAUAUAUAAAAUAUAAUGGGACUAAAUGAUCUCUUAACUCGGCUAUAGUAUUUUAGGUAGUGAAUAGAUUUAAAAAGUUAAGCAUGUUAGGACUGGACCCAUUCUAGGUUGGGUGAGCCUUUGAGAAGUAGGGCGUCAGAGUUGGUAUCAGAGUUAAUCAUUAAUUAGAAGUGUGAGAUGAGUCAUGAACUGAGCUAAAAUCAUAUAACGAGCAGAGAGCGACUCCCAACUAUGUCGACUAAGACUAACGAGACGAGUCUCAUAUUGUCUGGUACUUGUGAGUGUGCUUGAACCUGACAAGAACAUUAGCGCUUAAAGAGGAGAGGAAUAUGACACCUCUAAAAUUUUGAAUAAUCUUACAUAUAAGCUAUAAUAGGACUAAAUAUUUUUACCCAACUAUAGUAUUGGUGGCGGUGAUUAGGCUCAAAAGUUUAAGAAGGUCAUGCAUAUGGUAGAGUUAGAGUAGUUUUAAAAUGAAUCAUCAUCCUAGGAAGCGGAGCGUCACAUUCACAAAGAUAGUCCUUUGAAGCGACAACUUCUGAUUAAAUUCGUAGGAAAACCAAUCACAAAGAUCAUAAUCUUUUGAAGAGACUUCUACUUAAAUUCAUAGAAAAACCAUACACUCAACGUUUUUGUUGAAAACAAUCACACCGAAUUCAAUACUUAACAAACAACGAGAAAAUUGUGAUCCCUUAAUCAUGUGGCUUCACCACCUUCUCCUUUUAUACAGAAUAUAUAAGAGCUAGCUAGGAACGCAGAUAAAAACAUAUAGGCUUCGGCCAUUCGACUUGUCAUAGAGUGGACCCCAAGUAGUAAUAUAUAUCGAUAUGCAUCUAGAGGAGAGGGACAAAAGGUACUCCCCAGGUGAGGACAUGCAUCAUGAUCCCUAUCCAAUAGCAUCAAAUUGCCACCCAAUAAUUUCGAUUGUUCUCUGCCCAUUCAUAGCUCAGGAUUUUGGAGCCCUAGUGUAGCUACAGCUAUAUAUAUAUAUAUAUAUAUAUAUAUAUAUAUAUAUAACAUGUCCCACCUCACCAUGUCAUCCACAUACUGUUUAUGAAUAGUUCUCUCAUAAAGGAUAACACAAACUGGGUGGGAGCUACUUAUUUGUUUUGUAGUUGCUCUCAACACCCAUUUGAUGCUGUAUCUUCCAAUUUCUUGGUAGUAGCAUAGCUAUGGAUCUUUAACUGAUUGGAGGGUGCAUGGAGCUUCCUUUUGGACCAUAUGAGGGGCAGGACUAGGUUGAUUUAUGUAUAUAUAUAUAUUAACAACAAUUUGGUGGUUGAGUUGGGUCCAUUUCUAAAAGGGCUUAGGUAAUGGAUUGAUUAUUGAUCAUGGUUAGUUUUGAUCUUAAUUAAUUGGGAGCGCCACUUGGUAGGUGGCUCGCGACGACACAUGGUAGGUUUCCUAUUUGGGGGGCUUGCUUCCUCCCAUCAAUCCGAUAGUGAUCGAAAACGACCGUUGCGAUCGUUCACCCUUUUUGAACUUUCUUUCUUUUGUUUUCCCUUACAUUCACAUAUCUUUUUUCACUUAGUGGAGAUACAUAGUCUAAACCUAUGGUUAGGGUGGAUGUAUGCUAGGAGAUGAGGAGGACGAUGAUGACGACGACGAUGUUGUUAAUUCUUCUGUGAAUUCUUUUGAUGACGACGACAGUGAUGAUGGUGGGCAUCACUAAUUGGAAGAAGUUUGCGUGACCAAACAGCCUCUUCUGCGGAUGACAGAUGUUCACCGUAAUUGAUGCGCAACCUAUGAAUCAAUCGAUUAACCAUUAAAAGUGAGAUAUAUAUAUAUGCUUUAUGUACCCAAAGGUAAAGCUAAACUUACUUUUAUUUUAGAAUUGUGAAACUUUUGAAAUGAUUGAUCAGGUCAAGUCAAGAAUAAUCCAAGUCAAAAAGAUGGAUAAAAUUAAUAAAGCAAAAGGUAUAGCAAACUUGCUCAAAAACGGAACUAAAAGAGCUAGAAUAUAUCAACUUUAGAUCAUGGAGAACAUUAGUUUAUGCGAAGUUGCGAGAAAAAGAAUAGAGCAAAAGAAUAUUAAUGCAUACCACGUAGAAUAAAUUCCGCUAGCCCAAGCCUAGUGUAGUAUAUGCACAACAGGUUUGCAUGAGUAGGAUUCAAAACCAUCUUUUGAUCAUCACUAGCUUUAUAAUAAUCACCAAAUGAUAUCUUACUUAUGAGUGGAUCAUAGUACAACGGAUCGCUUAGUUUAGGUAAUCCUUGUGACCAAUUGACCGGAUUAAUGCGACCACCGCCCACAAGAAAAGGAUGGAUUAACAUGUUGCGUUUCGACGAUGGAGCUUCGUCAUCGCUUAGCAGCUGAGAGAUGUUGAUGUUUAAUGUAAAAUAAUCGCUAAUGAACAGUGGAUUUUCGCAGCAAAAGCUCAUUAUUAUUCUUGUGCUGGCUGCCAGUCAUUUGUCGGGCUUGGAACAGACUGCUUCUGAUCAGGGUGCAAUUUCAAAUACAAAUAAGAAGAUAGAGAUAUAUAAGAGUUCAUGCAUUUGACAUUUACCAUUGCUUUCUAGCUAUAAAGCUAUCUAUGGAUAUAUUUUUUUUUGUAGAAAGAUUUGGUAGUGGGAAUUUUAGGGCAUCAGAAGCUAAAUAAAUCAAACAGCAAUAGAAUCUGCAUAUAUAUAUUCAAAUCAAACAGUAAUAAAAUUUGUAUAUAUUCAAAGCAUAUUGCAAAUUAAUGGCCUAAUUUUUCAGAUUACAAAUUUAAUUAUGCUAUUAGCAUCUUUAAAGUGAUGAAAUAAUAUUAUUCAGAUUAUUGAGUUGUGAUUUUGAUUUCUGCUUGGUAUUUUAAAUAUUACGGGAAAAAUUAAUUGAUCUGAAAAGGAAAAGGUGACAAAGUACUUUUGGUUAUCCAAAAGAUCGGUUUAAUAGAAAACGAGGCCAUAAAUAUAUAUUAAUAUUCUCACUCACGCGCCUGUAAAUAUAUAUUAACAAUCCCACUCACGUGAGUGUAUGAUGAAUAUGAAAUGCACGUAGAAUUGAUAGAAAAGAUGGAACAUGAGAAUUUAACCCAUUAUAUAAUUACUAAAAUUUAAACCCAUUAAAUGUCAAAGGUUGGGAUUGAGCUCACGACCUCACAGAAUAAAAAGAUUUGGAAUUGGCGCUUAUAUAUAUAUCAUGUUACCCAAAAGAUGAAUCUAGUAGAAAACAGGCCACUCAUACGUAUAGUGAGGAUCAGGUAAACUCUGUCACUUAUAUUGGCAGAAAAAAUAAGAAAGAGAUUUUACCCAUUAAAUGAUGAAUGUGGAAAACUAAGUCCUCGAUUUUUUAAAAUAUGUUAGGCUCGAUCUAAUAAGAAACUGUCAAACAUUAGUCCCUAGGCUGCCAAUGUCUGCUCUGUUUAAUAUGAAAACCUCAAUUUGGUUACUUGUGAUUUAAUGCAUUUUUAUUAUUUUGCCACCCUAUGGUUUACAUUUUUUUUCACUUUGCGAGCUCUUAUUUUUCCUCUUUGUAUUUGUGCAAUUGCUGAUGAAAAUAAAAUAAUAUAGGAACCAUGCAAUAUGGUAGUGAAAUACAUUAUUUUAAGUUGCAUAUAUAUAUAUAUAUAUAUAUAUAUAUUCGUCAGAUGAUUUGUAAAUCCUUAUAAUCAAACCAAUAUGGCAUAACUGGAAAAGUGAAACUUUACAAACCACAUGACCUUAAGAAUAAAAAAGCGUUAAACCACAUGAUAAUUAAAUAAAGUUUAUUCUUGUUCAACCUAUGUCAUCAGCAUCGACCGCGCGUCCCUAAAGCAUAUGGCAAAGGACUUGAUAGUUGGUAUCCGAGAUCCCAAGUUCGAAUCCUAAUUUAUUCACAUUUUCAGCUAAGUUUAUUUCUAACUGAAAUAAACGAAACGAAUAGCGUGCUACCUAUCUGUCAAGUCUCGGAUUACCACGUUUUCCCUGGCACGCCAACAGACCCGUCGUAUACAAAAGAAUUUUCUCUGUAUACAACAGACCCGUCGUAUACAACUAGUAGUAUAGAGCUGCUAAACUGAACUGUAUAUAAAUAAACAACAGGUUCACCAUACAUACAAAGUCUCCCUGAUACAACAUCUCUCGCUCCAGCGAGUAACAACAUAAGUAUGUACAUGAACCAAAAACCAUAACUAUCUGCAGCUGGUACUCCUCUAGUGCUGCAACCAGGGAAGGGAUCUAGUUCGCAACCCCCCUUCCACGAUCAGUAUCGGUGACAGCAGCAGCCACAAAAAAAGGCUCUGCGAAAAGGGAUAAACAACUGGGUGUGAGAACUACUACAUGAAGAACUAGUCCUCAAUGGGUACCGCUACCGACCUCAACGGCUCACCCACUAAGUCUAUAGAAAGUAUGCGAAGGAUAAUAAAGGAAGCUGGUAAAACUCUACAGCUAUAUGCCACUAUACUAUCACUAAUCAACUCUAACUAUCUGUAGAUAUGCAUCCCCUGCAAUAACGACUAUACUGUCAAGGGACUGCCAACAGGCCCAUCCCGCCUGCUUCCGAGCUAUACCGCACACCACCACUGAGGUGGCCGGUCCUAAAGCACCGAGCUAUACCGCACACUACCACUGAAGUGGCCGGUCCUAAAGCACCAUCCAAACAGGACUGCUUCAACAACAAAGCAAAAGCACAAAGCCCAACUCCGGAGUGGCACUUGUGGGCGCUACCAAACCGAGUAUGCAAGUAUGUCUCUAUUGAGCUCGAUCAGGCUCUCACAGGCUAUAAUCAAAGCAAAUGGGUCUAAUAACUAAAACUUACGUACCCUUGGCACAAUCUAAUGCAAAUACAGAAAUCUGGGUCCAUCGUCAACCGCGACGACACCCGACAGUACGAAACAGUCUACACACUACUGUAAAAUAAACUCGGUAUCCCAGUACGAGCGUAAACCCCUCCUACACUAAUCUGAGUAUCUACCGCAUACAAACUGCGGCAAUACAAACAAACCACAGCAUCUAACGCUAAAUCUGGUAGUUUUCAGAAAAUGACAGUGUAGGAUUUACAGUUUUCUCCUAAGUCAAUUCCAAGUCCAGCAUGUAAAAUUAUACUACUACUACUUAACUCCAAAUUCAUAUUUUAAGCCUAAUCCAUGAAUUCGAGUACAAGCAAGAAAAUAAACACAUGAUACAUGUUGACGAUAUAAAAACUUAGGAGGUAUUUCGGCGAUUUCGGUAAACUUCAACCCACCUCGAAAAGUUUGUCCAACAACAGCGAGAAGUCGAGAGAAGGGAAAACACACGCUCGCCCGGCCUCCAACGGUGCAACCGCGACAUCCUCGCGCUCGAACGGCUCCCCGACGCAACGUCGACGUCGAUCCGAGCUCAAGCCGUAGCCUCCACCAAGCACACAAUUAAAACUAGAGAGAUGAACAUGAGAUAAUUAAUCUCUCUCAAGUGGAUAAAUAUAAGGGAGUAGGUGGCGUGGAUAACUAUCACCACAAAUGACCACCAUACCCCUUUACCAACUCAAAAAACAGCUAGAGUACCGGUACCCGAUUUGGUUACCGGUACUCGGCCUCUUAGCCCACAAGCUCACACACAGGGUACCAGUACCAGCCCGAUACCGUACCGGUACUCAACACUGAAAUCUUGCACUUUGCGGAUUUCAGCGUCAGAACUCCACUCUCGCCUCGCGUUGACUCCGUUUUGUAUCCAUUUCAUGCCAAAACUUCUCCGACUGGUCCCGAUACUCUCCAGAUGUGUCGACAAGCCUCAGAUGCUGAAAUCACACAGGCUACAGAACACCAGGGAUACUACAUCUUCCUCCACUAUAAAAACUUUGGUCCUCGAAACUUAGAAGCAUACCUCAAACCUGAGUCUCGAACAAGUAGGGAUAGGACUCCUGCAUCACCGUCUCUGGCUCCCACGUCGCCUCACGCUCCUCGUGAUUGCUCCACUGCACUUUUACAUAAGAAAUGACCCGGUUGCGUAAUUCUUUCAUCUCACGAGACCGAAUUCGCACCGGUCGCUCCCCAUAUCUCAAGUCCUCCAGUGGAGUGAAGUCAAUCACGUGGGAGGGGUCGAACACGUAUCUUCUCAAAACUGAGACGUGAAAUAUAUCAUGAAUGCCGGCCAAUCUUGGGGGUAGAGCAAUCCUGUAUGCUACUGAUCCGACUCGCUCCAAUACCUCAAAAGGGCCUACAAAGCGCGGACUGAGCUUUCCACGUACUCUGAAUCUGUGUAUCCCUCGGGACGGCGAGACUUUUAAAAACACACGAUCUCCAACCUGAAACUCUAAGUCUCGUCUCCUGGUAUCGGCGUAGCUCCUCUGUCGACUCUAGGCUGUCAAAAUGUAUCGUUGCGCAACCUUGACCUUCUCCUCUGCCUCUAUCAGAAUCUCAGGUCCCAGAGUGUUCCUUUCACCCACAUAACUCUAAUGCAAAGGGGAUCAACACCUGCGUCCAUACAACACUUUAAACGGAGUCAUCUGAAUGCUCGUUUGAUAGCGGUUGUUGUAUGCAAACUCAACCAGUCUCAAAUGUCGAUGCCACCCUCCUCCAAAGUUCAGGACACAUGGUCUCAGUAUGUCCUCCAGAGUCUGAAUUUUCCACUAUAAUGGACCAUCUGUCUGUGGGUGAAAUGUUAUGCUGAAAUGUAGCUGUGUACCCAAGGCCAUCUUAAGACUCUUCCAGAAAUGCGAGACAAAUCUCGGGUCUCGAUCCGAUACUAUCGAGGUAGGCACACCAUGCAAUCUAACAAUCUUAUCUAAGUAUAGCUAAGCGAGUCUCUCUCUGGAUCAGGUGGUCUGUACUGGUAGGAAGUGAGCAGACUUGGUCAGCCCACUAUCACCCAAAUAGCAUCGAAACCACCCUAUGCUCUAGGUAAUCCCAAGACAAAGUCCAUCGUAAUCUGCUCCCAUUUCCACUCGGGCACUGGCAGGUUCUAAAGCUUGCCAGCAGGCACCUGAUGCUCUGCAUUUACUUGUUGGCAAGUCAGACACUGAGCCACAUAUCUGCGAAUGUCCCGCUUCAUUCCAUUCCACCAAAAGUGUGCCUUCAAGUCCUUAUACAUCUUGGUUCCACCGGGGUGAACCGUAUAAAGUGAGUAAUGAGCCUCUCUCAAAAUCUCCUCUCGGAUCUCUGAAUCCAUAGGAGUCCCUGUACUGGAGUACUCCCGAACUGUCUACUGAAAAGGCCUCCGCCUGUCCCCUCUCUAACUGCUCUCGAAUCCUCAACAAGUGAGAGUCUCUACUCUAUUUCUCCAUGAUCCUGUCCAACAAAGUGGGCUGCAAGACCAUAGACAUCAGUCUCGUAGUAGACCCAGGGGACACUAUCUCAAGCCUCAACCGCUGUAGCUCCUCAAGUAACGGUCUCUGCUAAGUAAUCAACAUGCUGAAGCUCUGCACUGACUUCCUGCUCAACGCAUCUGCCACCACAUUCGCUUUGCUAGGAUGAUACUGAAUGCUAACAUCAUUAUUUUUCAAUAACUCCAACCACCGGCGCUGCCUCAGAUUCAACUCCUUCUGGGUAAAUAGAUACUUGAGACUUUUAUAAUCAGUGAAAACCUCACUGUGCUCGCCAUACAAAUACUGCCGCCACAACUUCAAGGCAAAAAUCACUGUAGCAAGCUCCAAGUCAUGCGUAGAGUAAUUCUUCUCGUAAUCCUUCAAUUAUCGGGAAGCAUAAGCAAUUACCCUACCAUGCUGCAUCAGAACACAACCCAACCCACUAUGUGAUGCAUCACUGUAGAUCACAAAUCCUUCCCCCAUAACUGGAAGGGCAAGGAUAGGAGCUGACAUUAGCCUCAGUCUCAACUCGUCGAAGCUCCUCUAACAAUCCUCACUCCGAAUAAACUUAAUUCCCUUUCGAGUCAAUCGAGUGAGGGAUGUGGAAAGCUUCGCAAAGCUUUCCACAAACCUAAGAUAAAAUCCAGCUAGUCCAAGAAAACUCCUCACCUCAGUCACCGUCGUCGGUCUGAGCCAAUCCCAAAUAGCAUCAAUCUUCUUCGGGUCCACUGCUACUCCAACUGCAGAAAUCACAUGGCCUAAGAAAGAAACCUCCUGCAGCCAAAACUUGCAUUUCUUCAAUUUAGCAUACAACUUCUUCUCCCUCAGAAGCUGUAAUACUAUCCUCAAGUGCUCCUAAUGCUCAACAUCACUCUAGGAGUAUAUCAAAAUAUCAUCAAUGAAUACAACAACGAAUCUAUCCAAGUACGGCUUGAACACUCUAUUCAUCAAAUCCAUAAAUGCGGCAGGGGCAUUCGUCAAUCCAAAAGGCAUCACAGUGAACUCAUAAUACAAAAAGUCGUCUUGAAAACAUCUUCGGCCCUCACCCUCAACUGGUGAUGACCUGACUGGAGAUCAAUCUUCGAAAAGAUACAAGAUCCUUGCAGCUGAUCAAACAGAUCAUCAAUACGCGGCAAAGGAUACUUAUUCUUGAUAGUCACUUUAUUCAGCUCCCGAUAAUCCACACAUAAUCUAAGUGAACCAUCCUUCUUCUUCACGAAUAAUACCGGCACUCUCCAAGGCUAUACACUGGGUCUCACAUACAUAUCCCUUAUCUAUCAGAUCCUGAAGCUGCGCCUUCAGCUCUCUCAGCUCUGUCGGUGCCAUUCAGUAGGGUGCCUUCGAGAUUGGCGCAAUUCUAGGAACUACGUCAAUCACAAACUCGAUCUCUCUAUCCGGCGGUAAAGUCGUCAACUCCGAGGAGAAAACAUCCGAAAACUCACGAACUAUAGGGAUACCCUCGAGUCCUAGCGCCGCCGUAGGCACCUCUACAACCAUCGCCAGAAAAGCAGUGCAUCCUCUACUCAUCAACUGUCGAGCCCUCGCCGAUGAAAUCCAAGUGGCAAACAACAUACUCCUGCAGCCUCUGUACGUGAACUCCUCAUGGCCUGGCUCGCGGAACGUCACUAUCCUCAUUCCACAGUCGAUCGUAGCAUAGUAUCGCACCAGUAAAUCCAUGCCAAGCACAACAUCAAAGUACUACAGCUGCUCUAAGACCAACAAGUCUGCGGGCAUAAUCCAGGAGCCCAACUGCACCAGACACGACCAACAACACUCUGCUACCUGCAAAAUAUGGUCGAAAAUCUGCACCUCUCGUGCAUGCAAAAACGACCCUACCUCUAGACCAUGCAAUGAUGUAAAUGCUCGGCUAACAAAAGAAUAUGAUAUGCCGGUAUCAAAUAAGGUACGAGCUCUAAUACCAGAAAUCAAAAUGAUACCUGCCACCACCUGGCCGGCUGCUGUAGAGUCCAUCAUUCUCCUCCACCAAGAAUGCGCAUCGCGAGCCAAACAAUGCACUCCCAGAUGUACUUGCUCCCGCUCCGGUAUAAACAAAUUCUCAAAUAAUUUCUCCAUCACGCUCACCCAGCCCUCUACAACCCAGAGCUCCGUACAGCUGCCGUCAAAGCACAGCGGAUCAAACCGACGAAAACAAGUAAGCCUCUCAAUCAUUCGCUCCUGCUCAGCCUCAGACAUUUGCGACGCCUCUCCAAAGAAUGCAACUGGCGCCGAAGGAACUGUCACUUGUGGGGGUACAGCUGUGGCUGGUGCGGCCAUGGGAAUAGUCAGUGCUGCUGCUGACUGCUCUAGUGCUCUAAGCGCUGCGCUUGGCGGUGGAGUAAAUGUCUCACACAUCCUCUAUAACAGUGCCCCCUACUACCUCGUUGCCUCAGUCAAGGCAGCCAACUGUCUCUCAGAUCAGGGGGUACACUCAGCCCUGCCUACUCAGGCACCUCUGAUGGUGUGGCACGAUCCCGCGUCGGCGGUCGGCCUCGGCGUCGAUACAUGGCUACCUGAAAUCAAAACAAAGGUCAGAUACAAAACACAAUCAACUCUCGACCCAAUCAAGCGAAAGUCUAGAAGGCCGCCCCUGUUUCUCUUCAAAAUUAUGUCGUCUGCAGCCGACAUAAUUUCCUUGGCCGAAACAGACACUCCUUAAGUGACUCACUCCACUUUAGGAUAAGUUAAAACAAUUCAAUCGCUGACUUUCGUGAUAAAUCACGCCUCUCGCGUCUUGCCUUCCUAUGGUUUGCCAAGCAUAAAGUUUUCUAGGUCCCAACGACCUAAUACUAAACUCUGAUACUAACUUAAUCUGUCACGCCCUGGAUUACCACGUUUUUCCAGGCACGCCAACAGACCCACCGUAUAUAAAAGAAUUUCCUCUGUAUACGAAGUAAUAGCUGUACCUGUAUCUGUAAUCAUACAAAACUACAAUUAGUAGUAUAGAGCUACUAAACUGAACUGUAUAUAAAUAAACAUCAGAUUCACCAUACAUACAAAGUCUCCCUGAUACAACAUCUCUCGCUCCAGCGAGUAACAGCAUAAAUACGUACAUGAGCUACUAAACUGAACUGUAUAUAAAUAAACAUCAGAUUCACCAUACGUACAAAGUCUCCCUGAUACAACAUCUCUCGCUCCAGCGAGUAACAGCAUAAAUAUGUACAUGAACCAGAGAAGGGAUCUAGCUCGCAACUGGUACUCCUCUAGUACUGCAACCAGGGAAGAGAUCUAGCUCGCAACUUCCUUUCCACGAUCAGUAUCGGCGACAGCAGCAGCCACAGAAGAAGGCUCUGCAAAAAGGGGUCAACAACUGAGUGUGAGAACUACUGCAAGAAGAAGUAGUCCUCAGUGGAUACCGCUACCGACCUUAACGGCUCACCAACUAAGUCUACAGCAAGUAUGUAGAAGGAUAGUAAAGGAAGCUGGUAAAACUCUACAACUAUAUGCCACUAUACUAUCACUAACCAACUCUAAUUAUCUGUAAAUAUGCAUCCCCUGCAACAACGGCUAUGCUGUCAAAGGACUGCCAACAGGCCCAUCCCACCUGUGUCCGAGCUAUACCGCACACCACCACUGAGGUGGCCGGUCCUAAAGCACCGUCCGAACAGUACUGUUGUGACAACAAAACAAAAGUGUAAAGCCAGACUCCGGAGUCGCACUCGUGGGCGCUACCCAACCGAGUUUACAAGCGUGUCUCUACUGAGCUCAAUCAGGCUCUCACAGGCUAUAAUCAAAGCAAAUGGGUCUAACAACCAAAACUCACGUGCUCUUGGCACAAUCUGAUGCAAAUACAGAAAUCUGGGUCCACUGUCAACCGCGACGACACCCGACAGUCCGAAACAGUUUACACACUACUGUAAAAUAAAUUCGGUAUCCCAGCAUGAGCGUAAACCCCUCCUACACUAAUCUGAGCAUCUACCGCAUACAAACUGCGACAAUACAAACAAAGCACAGCACCUAACGCUAAAUCUGAUAGUUUUCAGAAAAUGACAGUGUAGAAUUUGCAGUUUUCUCCUAAGUCAAUUCUAAGUUCAACAUGUAAAAGUAUACUACUACUAUUUAACUCCAAAUUCAUAUUUUAAACCUAAUCCAUGAAUUCGAGUACUAGCAAGAAAAUAAACACAUGAUACAUAUUGACAAUAUAAAAACUUAGGAGAUAUUCCAGCAAUUUCGGUAAACUUCAACCCGCCUCGAAAAACUAGUCCAACAACGGCGAGAAGUCGAAAGAAGUGAAAACACGCGCUUGCCCGGGCUCCAACGGCACAACCACGACGUCCACGCGCUCGAACGGCUCCCCAGCGCAACGUCGACGUCGAUCCGAGCUCAAGCGUAGCCUCCACCAAGCACACAAUUAAAACUAGAGAAAUGAACAUGAGAUAAUUAAUCUCUCUCAGGUGAAGGAGUAGGUGGCGUAGAUAACCACCACCACAAAUGACCACCAUAUCCCACUACCAACUCAAAAGACAGCUGAAGUACCGAUACCCGAUUUGGUUACCGGUACUCGGCCUUUCAGCCCAUAAGCUCACACGUAGGGUACCGGUACCAGCCCGAUACCGUUUCGAUACUCAAUAAUGAAAUCCUACACUUUGCGGAUUUCAGCGUCAAAACUUCACUCUCAUCUCGCGUCGAGUCCGUUUUGCAUCUAUUUCGGCCCAAAACGACUCCGACUGGUUCCGACACUCUUUAGAUGUGUCGACAAACCUCAGAUGCUAAAAUCACAUAGGCUGCAGAAUAUUAGGGAUACUACACUAUCUCUCAAAAAAACCUAUGUGCUCAGCAUGCUUUAUAGAACAGCAAAUGUACGUACAUGCUAGCUGUGAAAAAGUAGAUACAGAGAGAUAAGAUUACUUAAAGAAUAUAGAAUAGUUUAAGUUGUUUCUCAUUGCAUUAAAGUCUAAUUAUUUUAUUCCUCUUGGAGAUGUGACUCUAGCAAACAGGGAAAUGUACUUAGCAGCUUCAAUUAUUAAGAAGCUAUAAAUAGGCCAGAUUAGCCUAUUUAAUUAUGGGGUUAAUUUAUUCAAUACCCUCCAACUGAAAGAUUGCAAUUUAAAAAAAAAAAUCUUUCAAAUUGUGAAAUAUCAUUUGAAGUAAUAAAUAUUUUUAUUUUUUUACUGACCUUUCCUAGAGUGACACUACAACAAAAACGGGCUAUAGCGACACUUUUAAAUAUAGGUACAGGUCAAAAAAAGUGCUGUUGGCUAAAUUACCGACACUUUUAAAAAGUGUUGCUAUAUGUGGGGUCGCUAGGUAUAUAGUGACAGUUAAAGAGUGUCGCUAUAAUCUAAAAAAGUGCUUCUAAUUUACCAAUAUUUAUUUAAUCAUUUAACAGCCGUCAGAACUCUACUUCGUUGGCUGCGGUAGCGGAGGAGGACGAGAGGAAGGGAUUUUCGUCUUGGAUUUCAGUCGAUUAAGUGAGGGGAGAAGGGGAAAUGGUAAUCGAUUUUUCUUUUCUUUUUCUUUUUUGUUUGUAAUCGGACCGAAUGGGCUGGGUGCGGUGGGUUGAGUAGAGUAACCUUUUAUUUUUGGUUAGAUUGGACUUUAUAUUUAAGCAUUAGUAGAUUUUUUUUUUAAGUUUUGGCAUAAAUUAGACACUUACACAUAAGUGUCCCAAACAUGUGUCCCUAUAAUCUAAUUCCGUUGUAGUGGAGUGGCAAAGGCUUGGUGGUUAGUACUUGAGGUUUCAAGUUCGAAUCCUACUUGAUUCACAUUUCUAGCUAAAUUUAUUUUCUAAAUGAAAUAAACAAAGCGGGUAGCGUGCUACCUAUAUCUCUCAAACAAAAAUUAUUUUUAUUUUUGAAAUAAACUAGUAUUAUAGAUACAGAGUAACGAAAAAAAAAUUGUGUUUUGGUUUAAUAUUUUUUUAUUCCCUAGAAUAAGCAAAAAUUUUUUUUUAGUAAUUUUAUUAAGAAUAAUGAAGAAUUGUACAAAAAAUAUAUAAAUUUUUAAAAUAUUAAGAUUGCGGUUAUUAUUAUCUAGAUUUGUUUCUGGUCAUAUAGUAGACUAUUUACUGGAUAUAUAUCAUAUAUUAUCUAAAUACUUCAAUAUUUUGAUUGAACAUACUUCAUGAAUAAUAUAUAAAAAAUAUUUCAGAAGGAUAAGUAUUUUAGGAUAGACAUAUAAUAUAUAAGAUAAAUUUAUAAAAGGAAUAAAGUAUAUAUAAUACCAGCUACUGAGUAGUGUGUUGUAUACUACGUAAACGUACUACAUACUGAAGAGAUAGGUAUAGAUGGAAGAUAAUAAAUAUUAUUGAUUAUUAUGUAUUUUAUUAGUUAUAAGAUAUUUAUAUAUAUAAAAUAAUAUAUAUAAUUAUAUAUAAUAUAUAUAUAUAUAUAUAUAUAUAUAUAUAUAUAUAGUAUAUAUAUAUAUAUAAUAUAUAUAUAGUCACUUAGGUGCUUGUAAAAGCACGCAAGGACUUGUGCUUGUAAGUUUUUUACACGUUAGAGUCUAUUUCUCGAUCAUUUUCAUACCAACCACUACUCAACCACUAGGGGGGCCCACAUCUCAUAACCGCAUAUCUCUUUUAUGGCUAAAACCUACAACAUCCAAUAACUUGGUACUUUUAAAAGCAUAGAGCUCAAUUAUAUAUAUAUAUAUAUAUAUAUAGUACCACUACUAUUAUACCAUAUAUAUAGUAUAUAACCCCAUAUUGUAUAUUACGUUUUAGGGUGCGUUUGGUGUCAAGUUAUUUCCGGCAGAGGAUUACAGUAAUUCUAUCAGGAUACGUGUUUGUUCAUCCGCUAUAAUAAUACUAAUCGUUAAUAAGCAGCAUUACAAUAUGAGUAGCUCAUUACACGAAAAUUAUACAACACGAGCGGGGUCGUCUAGUAUUUGCAUUAACUGAAAACCGAUAAAAUCAUACUUAUUAAUGUAAAAUGAUCAAUUUUAACGCUCUAACUCUCGAACCAACUUUCACUACACGAUUUUUUAAUUUUUAAUUAAAUUAAUUUAAAAUUUGAGAUGUCAACUUUUAAUUUAUUAAUUUUUAAUUUUCAAUUUAAUUUUAAAUUUUAAAUUUAAAUUUUUAAAUUAUUUAAUUUUAAUUUUUAAACUUCAAAUUAUAAUUAAUUUAAAUUUUAAAUUUCAAAUUUCAAAUUUGAAGUUGAAAUUUUGAAUUUUAAAAUUUUAAAUUUAAAAUACAAAUUUGUUUUUAAAUUUGAAUUUAAUUUAUAUUUUAAUUUUUUAUUUUAUAUAUAUUUAUAUUUACAUUUUAGAUUCUAAAUUUAGAAAUUUCAUAUUUAUAUUUUAAAUUAAAAUAUUAAAUUUAUAUGUUUGUUAAAAUUUAAAAUUUAAAAAUUAAAUUAUUUAAAAUAAAAUUUGGUAAAAAAAUAUUAUUUGUAAACAAUAAAAAAAAAAGUUUACGAAAUAUAACUAAGGGCUAUUUUGGAAUAGACUAUACUUUAUUGUCUAAAUUACUAAAUUUUAUAGACAAAACCAAAUAUAGUAACGCUAUAAACACAGCAAUCCGGUAUUACAUUAUUGUAUUAAACCAAACAUACUAAUGGUAAUCUCAUUUAGAAAUUUUAUAUCGAAAUACUCUAUAAUAUAAUAUAACUCGAACCAAACGUGCCCUUGUUAUCUUUAAUAAGCUAAGUUGUUCUUGGAAUAUUUAGAAAUUAUCUAAAUAAUCUGGUUUAACUGAAAUAAUUAUUCUUUUUUUUUGUAUAUUGUUUAGCAGAAUAGCUGGGAUAACUUUUGUUCACCCAGGUUUAUUCCUAAAUCAAAUGGAGCCUAAAAAGUUUUGGAUUUAGGCUUUGGGUUUGGGGUUAGAGGGGUAUUUGGGACAGCUUUAUAUGUCUAGAGGAGUACCAGUGAUAGAUUUACAAAUUUAGAGAGAGUAUGAAUGAUAUUUUAGAUUUUGAAGGAACCUAUAUGAUAUUUUUAAGUUUUAGGGGGUUAUAUUUGAAAUUGCCCCUUAAUUAUAUGUUGGUACUCUCGUUUUUCUGGAAAGGCCCAUUUAGAGUGGAGGAGAAGAGUCGCUGCAGCAGCCCAACAAGAGCCCAAAUUCUAACAUUACGUUCCAAACCCCAAACUAGAGCUAAAAACUAAAUUAAAAAUAAUAAUAAUGUAUCUUAUUUUGAAAUGUAUCUACAGUUAUAUAGUUAGUGAUUCUAAAAAAUUUGAUUCAAUUGAAAAUGCAUGUUUUUUUUUAAUGAAGAACAUACUGUUGAAACUCGAAUUUCUAUAUAUCACGAAUGCGACAACUUCUGGAGUAGACCUAACAGAGUAUCUGUUUGGCCCGACUUUUGCUGGGCCUAAACAGGCUUUCCCUACUUUGGGGGUGUUAGGUGGAUUUAUAUUUUUCUCAAGUCUCCACAUAUAUUUAUAUUAUAGUUUAAAAUCAACAAAUAGCAGCACGUGCGACUUAAGAAAGACAAUAUCGGUCUAAUCGCAAAAAGGCUCCAAAUUUCAAUCAAAACAUACUUGAACAUUAAUAUUUUCACAUGGAACAUGGGAAUCGGCUCUGAUACCAAUAUUAGAAUUACCGGUAUAAAAGAAAAACGCAACAGAAAAUAAUAUUAUAUUUUUUAAAUUUUUCGAAAAUCAAAACUCAUAUCACAUAAACAUCACGUUCCAUCUGAAUUACUUUAAAAUAUAUAUAUAUAUAUAUAUAUAUAUAUAUAUAGGCUAGUAUACUUAUGNNNNACAAGAUCAAUAACUUUGAUCUAAAAUUUUAAUAUCAUAUCAUCACAUUUUGUAAGAUUUUUAUUUUCAGCCGUUGAUUUUGAGACACUUCGAUCACUACGCAAAUGAUAUCGAAAAAUCGCAAAAUUUAUUUUCUAGAUACUUCCAAUACUCUAGAUCAAGUCUAAUAGAGCCGAUCAUCGAUUCGAAAGUCCAAACAUCGAAAACAAAGUGGAAGCACGGAGCGCUUCGUUCUUCCAUAAGCAUACCAGACGCACUCUAUAUAUAUAUAUAAUUGAGCUAUAAUACUUUUAAAAUUAUUACCCCAUUGAUGCUUUUAGAUUUCUGGCCCUUGAAUCUACUCCUUUAUUACUAAUAGCCCUUGGAUCAAACACUAUUCCAUCUACCACCACCUACCACCANCCCAUUGAUGCUUUUAGAUUUCUGGCCCUUGAAUCUACUCCUUUAUUACUAAUAGCCCUUGGAUCAAACACUAUUCCAUCUACCACCACCUACCACCACCUACUAUCAUCAUCACAACCUUACAUUCCUCCAUCCAAUGAUUAAAAACUCAAAAGCACCACCUCAUUGGUGCUUUUGAAUGUAUUCUAGGUCAUCUCUCUCUCUCUCUCUCUCUCUCUCUCUCUCUCUCUAUAUAUAUAUAUAGGGUCCGGCUACUAUACUAUUAUGAGUACAAUCACCCUCGUACUUAUAAGUUGUUUUUGAUGAUAGAGCUUCCGAAUCGACGAUCCACACCGUUAAACGUUAUUUACAGCAUUUAAAACUUCUAUAAAUCAAAUUUUAUAACUUUUCGACAACAUUUACCUUACGAUCAAGAGGUCACAAAUUUGAUAAUUUUUAACGGCCGGUAUGAGAUACUUGCUAGUUUAACGGUGUAAAAUAAUCAGAAUUUGUUAAAUUUUUUAUAGAAAAUUCUAUUCACUACAUAGAUAAAGAUCGAUAACUCUGAUCUUGAAUUGAAGGAUCCGAUUAUUCCUUUUUAGGACGUCGUUCAAUUUUGACCUUUCAUUUUUUGCCCACUUGAUGAACUUUACUAUGAUUUUGAAAAUUUACGAAAUUUAUUUUCUAAAAGUUUCAAAUACUCUAGAUCAUAUUUAACGGAAUGGAUCGCCAACUCCGAAGCUCCAUUAUUGAAAACAACUUAUGAGUACAAGGGCUCCAAUACUCAUAAUAGUACAGUAGUCAUGGCCUAUAUAUAUAUAUAGAGUCCGGCUACUAUACUCUUGUGAGUACGAUCGCCUUCAUACUCAUAAGUUGUUUUCGAUGAUAAAGCUUCCGAAUUGACGAUCCAUACCGUUAAACAUUUUCUAGAGCAUUUAAAACUUCUACAAAUCAAAUUUUAUAAUUUUUUGAUAUCAUUUACCUUACGAUCAAAAGGUCACAAAAUUGAUAAUUUUUUACGGCCGAUAUAGAAUACUUACUAGUUUAACGGUGCAAAAAAAUCAGAAUAGGCUGAAUUUUUGAUAGAAAAUUCUAUUCACUGUCUAGAUAAAGAUCAAUAACUCCGAUCUUAGCUUGAAGAAUCCGAUCAUUCAUUUUUAGUACGUCGUUCGAUUUUGACCAUUCAUUUUAUGCCCGCUUGAUGGCCUUUAUUAUGAUUUCAAAAAAUUACAAAAUUUAUUUUCUAGAAGUUUCAAAUACUCUAUAUCAUAUUUAACGGAGUGGAUCGUCGAUUCGAAAGCUCCAUCAUCAAAAACAACUUAUGAGUACGAAAAGUCCAAUACUCUUAAGAGUAUAGUAGCCCUACUCUAAUAUAUAAAUAAAUAUAUAUAUAUAUAUAUAUAUAUAUAUAUAUAUAUAUUAUUUUUUAAAAUUAUUUUACGUGCACUAAUGUACACUUUGCUAGUAUAUAUAGAUAUAUCAGAUUGUUUCAUUACACAUUCCGAUCGAUCUACAUGAAAGAUCUCGGCACACUUAUGAUGCCGCACGAAUCUUCACACGGCACGCUAAUGAAGCCGCACGAUGACGUGUAGGAUAAGAAAAUAAAUAAAUAGACUUAUCCAUAAUAUUUUAUGAUGAAUAUUUAAGUAUUUUAUCUUUACCUCUCUCUAAUGAAUUUUGAUUGGAACCUAUCUUUUAUAUUAUAAUUAAAUAUUUAUAUUUAAAUCUAAUUUAGUUAAAAUAUUAUUUCAUAAUAAUUUAUGAAUAUUUAAUUACUUUUUAAUUUAACUAAAAAUUAAAAGAUUUAUAAAUAAUUUUCAAAUUAGUACAAUUCCUUGUUGCUUUUACUAAACUGUUUAAUAUACUAGACUCAUCCUUUCAUUUGGAAUGCACACUAUUCGGCAGCGGAAUCCAAUACCAAAAUCUUUACUAUUGCAUUAGAAAGCUUCUAAUAGAAAAAUAAAAUAAUUUGAUUUAAAUUAUUUUUUAUUUUUCUCCUUGUCCACGAGUGACACCUUUCAAUAUAUCGUAGUCAUCCAAAAUGGCAAUGAAGAAUUGACACUUCCGCUUACAAUUAUCGUGUGAUUAAUUUUUUUCAUUAUACACUGUCCCGAUUGAAUCAAAGUUAUGGUUACUCGCCGAACUUUAUUAUUUGAUUAGAUGACUAGAAUUUUUAAAAUCGACUCAACAUGUUAAUACAGCGUGAAACUCUUUUCACGCAUCACGUACUUUGGCAAGUAGGGGUGGAAACAAGCCGAGCUCGAGCGAGCUUACAUCGGCUCAAAUUCAACUUGAAAUUAAUUUUUAAUUUCAAGCCUAAAUUUAGGCUCAAGCUCGGCUUGAAAUUAAUUCGAGCUGAGCUUGAGCGAGCCUAAUUUUGAGUCGAGCGAGCUUGAGCUCUAAACGAGCCGCUUGAAAUUCUCAACAUCGAUCGAUCAAUAGUUUAAUUUGUAUAAAACAUUAUUUACAAUUUGAUACAAAAAUAUAUCUAAUAGUUCAAAAUACAAAAUAAUUAUAUAAAAUACGGUAUUAUAAUAUGAAGAAAAAUAAUUUAUGAGUUGAAUAUCUAAUCUUUUCAGUCUCGUAUGUUUUCUCUUCCGCCUCUAAUCUCCAUAUUAUUCCUUUUCAUUUAUACGGUUAAAAAAUGAAUAAAUUCUAUAGGCAAAUAUUGGAUUUAACUAUCCAAUCAUAUAUAACUAAAAUCAAAAUUUUGUAUAAACAAUAAUUUUUUACCUUAAAAAUAUUCUGUAUAUUUUUUCAAGCACACAACUAAUGAUAAGGUAGGCAACGGCGGGCGCGCGCUGUUACUUGGUAACUUGGGGGCCUUCAUGUUAAAACUUUAUUAGAAAUUAAUAUCGUACCUUCUGCCAUGAUUUCGAUUUCUAUAUCCGGAUUGCAGACGAUGAUUCUUGCUUGUGGUUCGUCCUCGUUCACAAUCUGCAAAAGAGCAGAACGUUUCGAGUCUAAUUCCCUUAUCCUCAGAAAUGGAGCCGUCAUAAGAAUUAAAAUUAGAGUUAGAUCCUAUAUAUUACAUAUUUAUAUAUAACUUGAUGUAAGGACAUUAAAUCACGCACAUCCAUCAAGGACAUGUCCAGAUGCAUCCUAACCGUUAGAUCUACCAUAUCUUUAUACAUCGACUUGAAUAGACCGAUUGUAUCUUUAUAGAUCGCCUUGAAUAAAUUACAUGAGCCACAUCAAAUAAAUCUUCUUCAGGCCAAACCAAGGAAUCAGUUAGAUAUGAUGCAAAAUGAAAGGCUUGGCCACUUAGGGUGAGAGACAGACAGACAGAGAAAAGAGAGAGAGAAAGAGAGUAAGGAUUUAGAGAUAUAUGAAAGAAAGAGAGAGGGAGAGUGUAAAUUUAGUAGAAUUUUGCAUUUUUAUUUGUCUAUUGGGUUUGUUUUGUGGGCCAGCAACAUUAGCCCAUUUUUAUCUAAACUCAAAUUACUCAUUCAACCUACAUAUAAUUAAAAUAUAUUAUAUUUAUAUAUUAUUUUAAUAUAUAUAUAUAUAGAGAGAGAGAGAGAGAGAGUUAGGCUGGUAUACUAUACAUAGCACGGAGGCUUCCGUGCUACCAAGUUGUUUUCAAUGAUGCGGCUUCCAAAUCGACGAUCGGCUCCAUUAGACUUGAUAUACACUAUUAAAAGUAUUGGUAAAUUAAAUUUCAUAAUUUUUUAACAUCAUUUGGGUAGUUAUCAAAAGGUCUCAAAAUUGACAAUUUUAAUAGCAGAUGUGACGCGUUUGUGAAUUUAACAGUGUAAAACAAUCCAAAUAUGAUGAAAUUUUUAUAGAAAAUUUUUUUCACUACUUAGAGUAAGAUCAUUACCUCUAAUCUUAAAGUCAAAUCUUUUAUCAUAAUUUUUUAUGAGAUUUUUAUUUUCAAUCGUUCAUAUAUUUUUAGACUACUAGUUUGAUAGGUACAUAAUGCCGAAAAAUUAUGAAAUUUAGUUUCAAAUACUUUCAAUAAUAUAGAUCAAGUCUAACGGCGCCGAUCGUUGAUUUGGAAGCCGCAUCAUUGAAAACAACUUGGUAGUACGGAGGCCUCUGUGCUACCGAUAGUAUACCAGCCUAGCGCUCUCUCUCUCUCUCUCUCUCUCUCUCUCUCUCUCUCUCUCUCUCUCUCUCUCUCUCUCUCUCUCUCUAUAUAUAUAUAUAUAUAUAUAUAUUCAAGCUUUUCGAGCCUAAUUCGAGCGAGCCAAGUAAUACUCAAGCUUGGCUUGAAAUAAAUUUCGAGUUGAGCUAGAGUGAGCUGAAUAUCGAGCCGAACGCGAGCCGACUCACUCAUUUGCCAGCCUACUAGCAAGGAAUUUUUCGGUAUCAAGUCUGAUAGUCUACAUAAGACCUUCUCUCUCAAUAUUGAAAGUGUUGUAUUCCUUAUUUUACACUCACAUGCCUUAUCGUAUAAACUACUAUAGUCAAUUAAUACUAGACAUAAACUAAUGAUUAAAGGCUAAGUAUUAUUAAAAUCAAACGGUAGCAAUUUAUAUGUGAAUCAACCAUAAUGUCUCAGGUCCUUCACAACACUAUAGCAAAGACUAGCCAGUAGUAAGUAUUGAACCAUAUGACUGUUUAGCCAGUAGUAAGUAAUCAAACGGUAGCAAUCUAUAUGUGAAUCAACCAUAAUGUCUCAGGUCCAAAGAGUACUUCACAACACUAUAGCAAAGAACUAGUCAGUAGUAAGUAUCGAACCAUAUGACUGUUCAACUAAAUGGUCGCGUUCAAUUUACUUCUUCGAUCGCUAACAAGCACUUGUUGGCUAUUUAUUAUUAGGUUAAAAUUAGUUCAACUUUCUGCCCCAUGAUAAUCGACCCAGGAAACUAAUAAGUUGAGUUAGGUGAGCCUAAUAAGUUGAGUGGGACUGCGGUCCACAAAUAACUUAACGGCAAAAGACCCUACAAUAUACCUAACGUUCAAGUGGGUUGAGUCAGGUCGAAACCCGUGAGCGUUGAAGUUAAGCGUUUAAGUGCGAUGGGUGUGCCCUUCCUAUCAACACAUGCUUUUGGGAUAGUUGGUUAAUGCUUACGAUCCACAGCACUUGUAUGCUUGUUUCGGUGUACACUAGUGACUCAAAAUUUUUCAUCUCAACUUAGAAACAUAACAUAUAAUGGCCUAUCCAGAAUUUCACCGUCCUUAUGAUAUUUCUGUGGUAAUUAAGAAGCGUUUAAGAAUCUUAUACAAAGAAAUAUAUAUCUCAAUUUUUUUAUUUUUAGAAAUAUAUUUUCUCAAUAAAUAUUCAACUGAUGAUUUCAUCUAAAUAUAUUGUACUGCUAAUAAUAAAUAUGAAUAAACUUACAAUUUAUUAAUUAAUAAAAGAAUAUGUUCACAAGUCUACGUUGCAAAUUAACUUUAGAAUAUAUCACCAACAGAUGCAACUCACAAUAAGUUGAAUAGUAUGUAUAUAAACACUUCAAUUUGAGCAGCAUAUAUACAUUUAGUAGUCUCUUGAAGAGAGUUUUGUCGUUAAAUUCUCUAAAUUGUAUGCCUAAAUUUUUCAUUGCCUCUGUGAUUUUCCAAAUAUAUAUGUUAGUCAGAGAGAUAAAAAAAAAAGUAGGUCCAGAUAACAAGGAUGAAUUUUCCCGUCGAAGUGUGUAAGCAUACAAGAAAAUUAAAAAAAAAAAGAAAAAAGAAAAAAAAUCUUACAUCAAUAAUUAAAUUACCCUUAUGAGAUAUAGAUAGAAAAGACGACACUAGGUAAAAAGGGAAAGAACUUGAGUGGGGAGGUCCCUUACGACGCCUCAUUAGGGAGCUCAAAUUCAUCACCAUAUGUGUUACUUUUAUUUCUAAUCAAGGGUUAUAAUCUUUUUUUUUUAGGUUUGUAAACUCUUUUCAAGUUUAAUAUUAAAAAAUUUUCAAUGAACCAUUGGAUAGAGGCAAAAUUAAUACGUAACAGGAAACCAAGGGCUUCCCAACAAAGUAUCGUUGGAAAACUUCUCAGUAAAGUUUUAUCCGGUGAGAAUGGUAGGAGAGCUAAUGCACUAAAACUAUAUUAUUGGACUCUUAGCAGGAAACUAGGUUCUUUAACCUAAUCUUUAGGAAGUACUUUUAUUUUUCUUUGGUAGUUUCGUUCCCAAAGAAAUGCAAUAAGUCUUCUUGAUAUCAUGCACUGCAACUCCUUUGCUUUCUGCACUACAACAAAAUGCUUAUUAGUGCGACUUUUGUUGGCGACAAGUAACUGUCGCCACAAGUAUAAAUAUGGUGGCCGACAUUUACUUGUCCGCCAACAUUCAAGAGAAAUGGCGGGCGACAUGUAAGAGUCGCCACCUAUAUGCGACUCUUCUGUGCGGCGACAUAUAGGAGUCGCCACUGAUGCUAAAUCUUCUGCGGCACCAUAUAAGGUCGCCACUUGAUACUGGAAAUUGGCGGCGACAUAUAAAGAGUCGCCGCCGGAAAAAAUGAGUAUUAGUGCGAUAUUUGUACGCCACGAUGAUUCCUAUUUACCGGCACAAAUUCCCUCCUUUUUUUCGGCACUCCCACCCUCACUCUAUGCAAAAGACCAUUACCCCCACUUACUCUAUAUACCAUUGUAUUAAUUGUGGGGGCUUAUGUCUUUUUCAUUUAAAAAUAGUAAAAAAAUGUUAACCUGACUCUAACCCAUCCUCAAAUCCCAUGGUGUUAGCAUGGUCCGAUCACCUUUUCUCUCUCUCGCUCUAUCUUUUCGCCUAGCUCUUCGUCCCUCCGCCGCUCAUUCCACUGCGGCUCAGGGCAAGCAAGCCCCGCGCCUCCCUAAGCCCCACGCCUCCGCCAAGUCGUCGCCGCCUCUGGCCAAGCCCUGCGCCACCUCUGUUUACAUCGAAAGCGACCCCGGUCCUCCGCCCCUGCCGCUCUACAGCACCCCGCGACGGGGCUUUCGCUGCGGGCCACCGCAGCACCUCACGGCGGGCUUCGCCUGGCAUGGCCAGCCGCACCUGCGCGUCACCUUUCGUCGAGCCGCACCUGCGCGUCGCCUCGUCGAGCUCAGGUUCAAACUGCAUCACUUCGCUGGCAUGCGGCCGCCAGGUUCAAGCCGUCACCUGGCGUCGCCAUCGUCGAGCCGCAGGCUCAUCUAACAGAUCCACCCAACUCUCCACCAUGUAACCUCCUUCCUCCCUCACGCUCUCUCACCUCCUCCUCUCCUGUGCCUAAUUUUCUAUCUAUUUCCCUUUUUUUUCUUUUUUUUUCUCUUUAAAAUUAACUGGGGAUUCAUCCCACUAUCAGAUCUAGUGAGGUGUCAAUCGUCGUGGUGGAAAUCGUUGAGAAAUCGCUGAAGAAUCGUAGUGCUGAAUUGGGGUAUAAAAAUUACUAAAUCACUCUACUGCUGCUUUAAUAUUUUGCCUUCAGUUUUUAUUUUUUUUCUAAAUAUUUAAAGCGUUAAUAAAUGUAGGUCGGGUGUGGCACGAAAGGGGCUUUUUGCCAGCAACGUGAAGAAUUCAAUUACUCGUUUAUUUAUUCUAUUUUAUUUUUUUCUGGGUUUCAUAAUUGCUGAUAGCAAGGCUUUUACUAACUAGUAGAAAUAUAUGGCUAAUAAUAAAUAAUAUUCGACCAUCAAAUUCAAAUUUGUAUAUAUAUAGACUGCUUGAUCAAUUUCACACAUGAAUUCUGAUAGGAGUUAAUAGCUUAUUUUGCAAUCCCAUUUGUUUGCUUAGGUAUUGAGAAACCACCCUCCGAGGUUGACCUGACACCUGGAAACGGGGACCGCCGCUAGGCCCAGCAGCGCACGCUCCUAAAGAAGGCAUAUAUAUUAUAUAUAUAUAUAUAAUAUAUAUAUAUAUAUAUAGCUAAAGUUUUAUUUUAGGUUAUUACACUUCUAUGUGUGCAGAAACAAGUCCUUAACUUUUUGCUAUGUGUUCUUAACUUAGUCCAUUUUUAUCUACUAUUCCUUCUCUAUCAUAAUGAGAUGCAUCAUAAAGUUCAAUUUGUAGCAAAAUUUAUGAGAAUAUAUAUAUAUUUUUUGAAGUAAUAUGAGAAACAGUUUUGAAAUAACAUAAAAGACCCAUGUUUGUCUAAGUGUUGUCUAAGGUUCCAUGCCUCGACCCCGAAAAAAGGAUGCCAAGUAAAAGGGAUAUAUGAGGCUUAGCUUUCACACUAGGAAACAUUUUUAUCCUUCUAAAAGGAGAUACAUGAGGCAUAAAGAUGCAUCUAGAUUACAACCGCUAGGCUGGAACAAAGUAUAUUUGUCUUGAUUUGUUUACUUUUCUUUUNNNNNNNNNNNNNNNNNNNNNNNNNNNNNNNNNNNNNNNNNNNNNNNNNNNNNNNNNNNNNNNNNNNNNNNNNNNNNNNNNNNNNNNNNNNNNNNNNNNNGAUAGAAAAAUACUUCGUUUAUAACGUUCUGCAUAUCGCGAUAAAUCGAUUAUAAUAUAUUUUCUACAAUUUCAACGGAGAACACAGAAACAUAUCCUUAUAUACUUUUAUUUAUUUAUUUUUUUAUCUAAUAGCAUCAAUAUCUCUCAAUACCAAAUUAAGCUCUAAGCACGGUUCUCGGCCGUAGAUGCUCACUUUUUUUUUGUUUGGGUCAUAAUAAUAAUUUUAUUUUUGGCCACAAUUCAAAAUUUUUAAAAUACCGUAAUUGACUUAUGCUCAUUUCAGACUCAAGUCAAUUACGUCUAAAAAUGACCAAAAAAAAAAAAAAAUUGUCCCUCAUCACUUUCUAAACAAAUAGUAAAUUUUCUUUUUUUUUUGGUAUGAAACUAUUGUGGUAUUACAUGGUGCCUCUCAUCGUUUAGACUCUGACGUUCUCGUUAGGUCCAAACUCAGAUUACAGACAUAUAAAUCGGAACUAAUUAUCAACACUGUGGUGCGUGGUUUAGACCUUGACCCUUUUGUUAGGUGGAAAUCUGAAUUACAGACAUAUAAACUAGAAUCAUUUACCAACAGUGUGGUGUAGCCAAACUAUAUAUUAAAUUUACCUAAACUAUAUACUAUUUAAAGCUUGCUAUUUAACUUUUAAAGAAUUUAAAUUUUACUAUUAAUUCAAUCUUUUAAUAAUUUUUAUUUUAAAUAUUUGAUAACUCUUCUGCUAUAAAAUUUUGGUGACUUGUUUAUAUUAAUUGGAAAAUCGUCAUUCGAAUUUUAUAAAAUAUUAUGAUCACGUUCAUUCGAAUUUUAUAAAAUAUUAUAAUCACGUCUGAUAAACUAAAUCGUACACUCAAAUGCUAAAGUGGAAGAACCAUUAGAUAAUUCACAUCAAAUGAACAUAAGAAUUUGUCAGAAAAAUCAAAAAUUUUCAAGGUUAAUUAGAAUGUCGGAUCAAAAUACACAAUAGUUCAUGUAGGAAUAAUAUAUUUUGAGUUUUCAAUAUUUUUUUUAAGGAAAAAGGAAUCUGGUUCAUGGUCUUCUAUAACACUAUUCAGAGUCUCCUCACUUUUCACUUAAAAUAAAAUAACUUCUAAGCCAACCAAGUACCUUACAACCAAUAUAUUAUUGGUGCUUAUUUGAUUCACGAAAUUUUUAAAGAUUAUUUAUUUUUAUCAGAUUUAUUGCUUAAUAAUUAUUGAUUAGACAUAAGAGAUAAGUUUAUAUUUUAUUCAAUUAUUGCUAUUAGAAUUUUUUGAUUUAUGUCUAUAUAUAGACUUUUGUAAAUGUGUGAAAAUUCAUUCACCAUACAAAAUUCGUCCAAAAAUAAUUAAUAAAAUUUUUAGUUUAAUUUGGCGCAAAAUUUCUCUCCUUCCAACAUUAAAUAGGCUUAAGUUUAUGGAUUGGGCUUAAGUUCUUAAAGGCAAUAAAAUUUAGACAAACUAUAAUCUAUGAUCCUCUUCAAAUAAUUAUUAUUAUUAUUUUUUUUUUAUCACAUUGUAAAGAGCUAUUGUUUUUGCUUUUUGAGUAAUGGUACCAAUCAUAAAUAUUAUAAAAUCUAUUGUAUAAGACAAAUUAACUUUAAAGAGCGUCGAUAAAAGUACAUAAUAAUGUACAAAGAGACAUUAUUUGGUUUACAUAUAAUUCUCAAUAUAUAUAUAAUCUUAUGAAUGAUAUAAAAUAUUUUUAAUUAAUUAAAUUCUCGUAGAAUAAUAAUCCAAAUUUAAUUUAAAACUUAGUUAGAGAUUGAGCUUAUCCAAAUUAUAUAUUGAUUAUAUUUAAAAAUUUAUGUAAUUAAUUAGAAUAGGAUUAAUAAUUAUUCAAAAUAAAAGUUGGAUUUGUUAUGAUCAUAAUUAGUUAAUUCAUAUUCGGCAAAAAUUCGGUACGAAUAUAAUGCGCAUAAAAUUCGUAUAUUAAUUUUUAAAUUUGUUGAAAAAUACGGCUUAUAAAAUAGAUUUACCAAUUAUUCAGAUACGCGACUUAUACGAAAAUUAUACGUUCACCAAUUAAAAAUUCGGAAUAAAAAUUUUGGCUAUUAAACUAGGCUUUUUUCUCUAAAUUUAUGCUAUCAGCAUGCAUAGUUAUAAAUUCUUAGGAAUAUAAAAAUGAAGAGCUACAAAAUAAUAUUGAUUAAGGAAAAAAGGUAAUAGAAAAGUUUAUAAAAUUUUUCAAUAAUUUGUGAAUAAUUUGGCAAUAAUUUGUGAAUAAUUUUGAAAGAAAUUUUAUUCCAAAAUUUGCAUAUUUUUUUGACCAAAUAGUUUGGCAUACUCGAAUUAUUCGCAGAUAAUAAAUCUAACCAAAAAAUUGGCAUUUUAUUCUGAUUUUCGGAAAAAAAUCGCAUAUAGAUUGUUUUAUUCGGAUUUUCAAUAAUUCAUGAAUAAUUUUAAUUAACUAAUUAUGAUUAUGAAUUUAUAGCUAUAUAUACAGCUAGGAGUGAGUUUGACAGAUGAAUUAUCCACAGUAGAUACGGUUGCAUAAGGUUGAUGAUGUAGUAUAUGGUGUAAUUAGAUGUCUUUAUUAAUAAAAUAUUAGGCUUCGUUUGGAAUUGUGGGGAGAUUGCGUUACGUGUUGUGAAAAAGUAUAAUGACAAAAUACCAUGUUUGUUUCCAUACAUAAUACUGCGUUCCGCAUAUGAAGGAUAGUCGGUUACGAUAUAUUUUCUGCGGUCCCACUAGGAAAUGCAGAAGCAUAUCCCUCUAUGUUUUUGCCCCAACUUCAUUUUAUUUAAUAGCGUUAGAUAGGCCUCAAUACCAAACUAAGCCUUAGUUUAAUAAUCUUCUUCCUCCAAUAUCUUUUCUCCAUAUUAUUUUAUUUUAUUUUAAAAUUUAAAUUAUAUUAUCGAUAUUGGCACAAAUACUGAUUCCAAUAAAUAAAUUCAAAUAGUAAGUCUCCAAAGUAGAACAAGUAUAUAUAUUGUGCACCAAGUGCCCCUGAUAAUUUUNACUGUUUCUUCUUUUGUUGCACUGUUUAUUCUCUUGUUGCACCAUUUCUGUGUAAAUAAGAGGAGAAAUAGUGCAACAAGAGGAGAAACAGUGCAACAAGAGGAGAAACUGCACUGUUUUAAGAGAUAUAUAUACUGUUUCUCCUNUUGUUGCACCAUUUCUGUGUAAACAAGAGGAGAAAUAGUGCAACAAGAGGAGAAACUGCACUGUUUUAAGAGAUAUAUCUACUGUUUCUUCUCUUGUUGCACUGUUUCUCCUCCUGUUGUACCAUUUCUGUGUAAACAAUAGGAGAAAUAGUACAACAAGAGGAGAAACAAUGCAAUAAGAGGAGAAACUGCACCCUUUUAAGAGAUAUUUAUACUGUUUCUCCUCUUGUUGCAUCAUUUCUGUGUAAACAAGAGGAGAAAUAGUGCAACAAGAGAAGAAACAGUACAACAAGAGGAGAAACAAUAUAAAUAUCACUUAAAAGGAUGCAGUUUAAGAUAAAAAAUAGUAUAAUUUUAGUUCAAAGAGUAUAAUUUUUAUCUUAAAGUGGCAGUUUACAUCUUAAAUAGUGCAACUUAUAAUUUUUUUUGUAAUUAACAAUACAAUUUCAUCUCCAUCCUUCUUUUUAUAUAAUUCUUUAUCUAUUUUUUUUUUCUGUUUUUUCUAUAAUUUUUUUUGUCACCUUCUUUGCCAACAGCUACGGCGUCGGUGACGACGCCGCUAAGGACCCCCCGCUCCGAGGCUGUAGCGCCGCAGUGACCUCUACGGUGUUGACAUCUGCGUCAGCGAAGAUAAAUCGUCGUCGGAGGCGGCAGAAAAUAAGGGAGAGAGAGAGAUGAGAAGGGCGGGGAAGGGCGAGAGGCGUCGUCGUCGGAGACGGUGGAGAAGAGUCAGAGAAGAAAAGAAAAGAAAAAAGCAAAAAAAAAAAGUCGCGGCGCGGCCUUGGCGGGGUCGGAGGCGAGGAAGGUGGGGGGUGCAUGGACGAGGGCAAGGGCGAGGGCGAGAGCAUGAGGGUGAGAGGCUUGACGGACCGUUUCUGUCUCCGCUCUGCCGGCGAGAAAAAAAAAAGAACGAGAGAAACGAAGAAGAGAGAGAAAGAGGAAAGAGAAAAAGUAAUAAGGGUAUUUUGGUCAGUUUGCUGAAAAAGCGGACCGAAUCUGCAAAAACGAAAAAGGUGGCCCAGUUUUUUAAAAGUCGAAAAUAAGUGAAUUUUUUAUGCAAAUUGGCCAAAAAACUUUUUCAUAAUUAAGCUUAUUUUUCUUAGGGAAAACUUCAAAUACCCCCUUGUGGUUUCAUUUUUUCUCACUUUAGUACCCUGUGGUUUAAAGUGUAUAAAGUUAGUACCCUGUGGUUUGCACUUUGUCACUUUAGUACCUUGUGGUUUAAAGUGUAUCAAGUUAGUACACUGUGGUUUCACACUUUCUCACUUUAGUAUCCUGUGGUUUCGCACUUUCUCACUUUAGUACCCUGUGGUUUACAAAACCACAGGGUACUAACUUGACAGAAAAAUAAAACCAUAAGAUACUAACUUGAUACAAAAAUAAAAUCAUAGGGUACUAACUUGAUACACUUUAAACCACAGGAUACUAAAGUGAGAAAGUGCGAAACCACAGGGUACUAACUUGAUACACUUUAAACCACAUAAUACUAAAGUGAGAAUGUGCGAAAUCACAGGGUACUAACUUGAUACACUUUAAACCACAGGAUACUAAAGUGAGAAUGUGCGAAAUCACAGGGUACUANUUGCUUUUUCCAAAGGAAACUUUAGACUUUAGUUCUCUCUAGUGGGAGAAAUUAGGGUGUCGUUGAACGACUAUUUUAAGGGCGCGUUUGAUUCGUGUAAAUAUUCUACAGAUUAGUAAGUAACGGUGGUUAGAGCCUGUUUUGUUUCUCAUAAAAGGAUGCAUUUUUUUUUUUUUUUGAAUAUAUAGUUUUUUUAUGACAUACUUUUUUUCUUUUCAAUUUUCUAUCCGUUUGGUUUGAAGGAGAACCAGUAUUUUGGAAAUAUUUUUUUCAUAUUUAAUGGAAAAAAAAUAGCAUUUUUGUUUUUCUGAAUUUCUUUAGGGAAAAAAACUAGUUUUUCAUAAAAUUUGUAUAAAAAAGUUUUUCAUAAGCUUAUUUUUCUUAGGAAAAACUUUAAAUAACCCUCUUGUGGUUUCACUUUUUUUCACUUUCGUACCCUGUGGUUUAAAGUGUAUAAAGUUAGUACCCGUUUGCACUUUUUCACUUUAGUACCUUGUGGUUUAAAGUGUAUCAAUUUAGUACCAUGUGGUUUCACACUUUCUCACUUUAGUAUCCCGUGGUUUCGCACUUUCUCACUUUAGUACCCUGUGGUUUACAAAACCACAGAGUACUAACUUGAUACAAAAAUAAAACCAUAAGAUACUAACUUGAUACAAAAAUAAAAUCACAGGGUACUAACUUGAUACACUUUAAACCACAGGAUACUAAAGUGAGAAAGUGCGAAACUACAGGAUACUAACUUGAUACACUUUAAACCACAUAAUACUAAAGUGAGAAUGUGCGAAAUCACAGGAUACUAACUUGAUACACCUUAAACCACAGAAUACUAAAGCGAGAAUGUGCGAAAUUACAGGAUACUAACUUGAUACACUUUAAACCAUAGGGUACUAAAAUAAAAAAGUACGAAACCACAUGAGGUUUAAAGUUUUUCCUUUUUCUUAUAAACAGGGGAAAACUAAAAGAUCAUUUUUUACGAAUAAAUUUUUUCUUAAAAUUUUCCUUUCACAUUUUUCCAAGGAAUCAGAUAGCCCCUUUAGUAAUCUGGUAUAAAAUUUUUGAUCGGAAAGGAAUAGAAUUCCGUCCAAAAGAAAGAAUUCGAUUAACGACGUACUCAUAAAUUUGAAUUUCCAUACUACCUUCGAUAUAAAUUUACAUCUAAAUUUAUUUUAAAAUUUAAAUUUCAAAUUAAAUUUUAUACUUUACAUUUAAAAUUGUAAUUGAUUUAAAAUUCAAAUUUUAAUUUUGGAUUCAAAUUUUGAUUUAAAUUUUACUUUUGAGUUCAUAUUUAAAUUAAAUUAUAUGUUUUAGUUUAAAAAUAAAUUUAAAAUCUAAAUUUAAUUUCAAAUUUCAAAUCUAAAUGUAAAUUUGAAAUCAAAUUGUGAAUUCAAAUUCAAAUUCAAAUUUUUAUUUUAAAUAGUAAAUUAUAAACUUUAAAUUUAAAAUAUAAAAUUUAGAUUUAAAUCCAAAUUUUAAAUUCAAAAUGGUAAAUAUGUAGGCAAAUAAAAUUCUUAAGGAUAGACGUGGUAAUCGCGAAAAAUCUUAUAAAUUAUGCAGAAUCUGUAUUACUAAAAUAUUAUUGUUAAACCAAAUGUGGUAAUUGUACGAAAUAAAUACAAUAAUUAUACAGUUUUCACAUUUUCAGCUAAGUUAUUUCUAAAUAAAAUAAAAGAAACGGGUAGCAUGCUACCUUUUUCUCAAAAAAAUAAUUAUACUAUUUUUAAUAAUUUGAUUAUUGCGAAAAUUUUUUUUGUUAAUCUUUUAAUACGUAAAAAUUUUAGAUAACGUGAUUCAAACGACUCAUAAAAGUUUAUUAAGUGUUGAAAAAUCUCCGUCGAAUCGUCCAAAUCGGCUGCUUAAACGUAAAGAAAUAAACCAUUUGAGUCUUUAUGGAACGCACCAGUUGAAUUUUUUUUAUUUUUUUAUUUUUUUAGUUGCUUUUAAUUCUGAGAUUUUUUUAACUAAUGGAGUUGAAUGUAAGUAGUCAAAUAAAAUUACCUUUCUAAUUUUCUAUAAAGAUUUAAUUUAUGUUAUCAUCUUAUUGAUUUUGCAUGAUUAACAUUUUGCAAAAAAAUAAUUUAUGACUAUCAAAAAAGUAUUGGUGCACCUCAAAAAGGAAAUGUAAAUUUUAGAGAUAAUUUUCUAUUUACCACUCAAAAAUUUUGAAAUAUUUGAUAUAAUUUUUGUUUCAAAUAUACCUCUCGUAUAUUUUUUUGUUAUUUAAAAAUACCUCUAUUUUUAAUACCUGUUAAGUCAUUUUGGAUUAAACCCGAGUUAAAUUUCCACCAAAGUUUAAAGAAAACAAAAUUAAAAUGCCUCUUUUGCUGCUGACUUAAGAGCAAAUAAAAAAAAGUUGGUAACAGUAGAAUGGUUUAUUUGAAUGGGAAGAAGUCAAAAUAUUUCAUUUUGUCCCUAAUUUAAGGAAAAAUAAAAAAGAGUUGGCGGCGAUAGAAAAAUAUAUAUUUGAAAGGAUAAAAAUAGUAAUUUUAUAGAGAUAAUAAUUGUUUCUAAUAGUUCACUUAACAGAAUUUAACUUUAGGGCUAUACUUGAAAAACUUGAAACGUUAAAAGAGUAUUUUUUUAAAUAGAGCCACGCUAUAUGUACACUCCAAAAUGAGUGUACAUCUUACACUCACUCCAUUCCAAAAUCAUUAAUACUGAUCUACUUGUCACAUCAAUUUUUUAUUAUUUUUACUUAAAUAAUCUAGAUUUUUAUCAAUGUUAGACUUUGAAGUGUAAGAUCUACACCCCAUUUUAGAUGUACAGGAAGUAUCUGCCAAUCUUAUAUCCUAUUCAUCCAACGCCUAGCUCUUUGUCUUAUCAGUUCUUUUUUCUUUUUUUACAAAUAUUAAAAUCUUAAAAAAUUUUGCGAAUUUUUGGAUGGAGGGAUGUAAGUUAUGUAUGUCUUUUAAGAUAUACAUAUUACCUUUUCCUUGGAAAUAUUAUUAAAUUAUCAUCUAUGGUUAUUAUUUUUAUAAAUACGACCCUCUUUAUAUUUAUAAGUCGUUUUCAACAAUAUAGGCCCUAAUCAAUGAUCCUUACAUUUAAUUAUAGCAUUAAAUGAGCCAGAUCCCUUGUUACCUAGGAGGCUAUUUUAAGCCAUACAAAAAUUUGGGGUGGUUAUCAUGAUGGUGUGCUUUUUGGAUAGAGGAGACUAUUUCAAACCACACAAAAAUUUGGAUUAACUCCAUAUAUAUAUAUAUAUAUAUAUAUAUAUAUAGAGUGAGGCUGCUAUGCUAUCAGAAGUACGGAGCUUUCCGUGCUUCCAGCUCAUUUUCGAUGUUGCGACUUUCAAAUCGUCGAUCGGCUCCGUUAAACUUGAUUUAGAGUAUUUAAAGUACCUAGAAAAUAAAUUUUAUGAUUUUACGAUAUCAUUUGCCUAGUGAACGAAGGGGCUCAAAAUUAACGGCUGAAAAUAAAAAUCUUACAAAAUAUAAUAAUAUGACAUUAAAAUUUUAAAUCAAAGAUAUUGAUCUUGUUUUAUAUAGUAUAAAAAAUUUUCUAUCAAAAUUUCACGUGAUUUGGAUAUUUCUACACCGUUAAACUUGCAAACGGCUCACUACGGCCAUUGAAAUUUGUUAAUUUUGAGCCCAUUCGAUUACUAGGCAAAUGAUAUCGAAAAGUAAUAAAAUUUAUUUUCUAGGUACUCCAAAUACUCUAGAUCAAGUUUAACGGCGAUAACGAUUCGAAAGUCGCAACAUCGAAAACGAGUUGGAAGCACGGAAGACUCCGUGCUUUCGAUAGCAUAUAGUCUCUCUCCUCUCUCUCUCUCUCUCUCUCUCUCUCUCUCUCUAUAUAUAUAAUUAUAAUAUAUAUAUAUAUAUAUAUAUAUAUAUAUAAUAUAAUAAACCCUUCAAUGGUUAAUUACAUAGAAAUCACUCCAAAAUGUCAAUAUAAAAAAUAUUCUUCUAAUUUAGAAAAAUUAUUAUAAUAUUCAAAUUGAAAACAAUACUGGUAAAAAUUUAAUAUAAAUUCAUUUUGUGCAUCACCUAUUAUCUAUAACUUUUUAAUAAACUUAAUGAUAUUUUGCUUGAAAAUGUUAUGGAUACAAUUAAAUGUACGCUAGAUAUAUAUAUAUCUAUACUAUAUAUAAAAGCACGUAUAUUCAAAUUUGGGUCUGUCGACAGAUCCAUUUUUCGGCGGAAAAAUUAGCGCCCAUUUUUCUCUUUCCGUACGAAAAAUUUUAAACAUAAGAAUAAAAAUAGAAAUAGAACAGCAAUGAAUACAUAAGUUAUCUAUAACAGAUUACUGUUGUGAAAAUCCUAAAUAUAAAUUUUUCUAUUUAAUUCAAAAGUAAGUUUUCUAUAACAGAUUACGGUGUGAAAAUCCUAUAAAAGAUAUUUCCAAUUUUAUUUAAAAUAUCUUUUUUAGAUAUUAUCUAUUUAAUUUCAAAAUAUAUUUUCUUUUUAAGAUAACGGAUUUUAUUUUUCUAUUUAAUUUCAAAAAUUUAUUUCCUAACAGAUUUUAUUUUUCUAUUUAAUUUCAAAAGUAAUUUUUGCAUUAGAGAUUAUUGUUAAUUAUUUAUCAUUAAAGCAUAUCUUUCUUAAUUGCGUGAUUUAUUAUUUUAAAUUUUUUAGAUACAUAUUUGGCAAUCAUAUAAAAUAUGGCCUAAAAUUAAAAAUAAUUUAAAAAAAUUAUAACUUUUCUAAUAAUUAUUAUGUGCAUUUGCACGUACAUUUUACUAGUAUAUAUAUAUAUAUAUAUUAUAUAUAUAUAUAUAUAUUAUAAUAUAUAUAUAUAUAUAUAUAUUAUAUAUUAUAUAUAUAAUAAUAUAGAAACUAAUCAAGCAAACAAUUAAAGUAAACUUCUACUAAACAAAAAAAUCAUACGAAAUUAGACAAAGUAGAAAAUCGAUUCACAAAAAUCAUACGAAAUAUAUCUUUAGUUUUAACUAGUUUUUAAUUAAGAUCUUUAUGGGAUCCAUAUACAAUAAUUAGGAAAAAAAAUAAUAGUAAGUGGACCGAAACAUACAUUCAUAAACUACAUAAAAAUAAAUUGAGUUAUUUUUUCGUGAAAAAAAAUUUAUUAGCCCUAUAUAAUAUCACAAAAUAUUUAAAAUUAGGUAUAACUAGGGGCCAAUUAGCCAAAAACCCUUAGCUAUUUAUGAUCUAAUUCAUUAAUUUAUAGUAACAAAAAUAAUAUUGACAAUUUUAAAGAAAUAUACAAAAUAUUUUAUAACUUUGCACAUAUUUGAAAUCGCCCCUAAAAAUUUUUGUAACAAUCAGAUGUGAUCCUACACUCCAUCCAUCCAAAGGUGGCAAAAAAUGCAUGAAGACCCCUGAAUUUUAGCGCUUUUGCAAAUAUGUGCCUAAAACUUAGUUUUGCCAAUUAAAUUUCUUAAACUUUAGCAAAUAGUUUAAUAAGUCCCUCUGAGUUACUCAAUUAUACAAUCAUUUUGAUUGUAUGUCAUGCACAUAAUCUCGUGAGACUUCAAAAUGCUUAUAUUUUUCUCUUUUAAUUCUGAUAAUUAAUCAUGAAAAUCAAAGACACGAUAAACCUAACUGUCGAUUUUUGUUUUUCAUUUUUGGUAUGUUAGAGUAAAAUAUAUAUAAAUAUAUAUUGUAUAUUGAACUGAAUUUUGACUAGAUUAUAAGCAAAACAUUGACCAAUUAAAAUAGCUACAAAAGUUAUAUAUAACUUCAAUUGAAGAAAUGAGCUUAUUGAAUUAUUUGAUAAAAAUUUAAGAUCUCUCUAAUUGUGAAAAUUAAGAGUUCAAAUGCCUGUUCGCUAAAAAGCUAAAAGUUUAAGGAAUCUCUACACAUUUUUUUCCAAAAUAAAUAAGUAAAAAGAAUUUCUCGAAGUGAAAUUUAAUUAAUUAAAUUUUUUUAAUAAGAAAUAAGAAUUUAUUAUAAUGGGCUCUGAACGCUUUUAAUUGGGUCGGGCUAGUCAUAACUCGAUCAUAAGUCCAUUUUGCAUGGAUCCUUGGAGAAGAGAUUGUGCGUACGUAACUUUUGCUCGUAAAUCAUAUACCAUUUUCUUUUUUGUUUAUUUUAUUUGAGGCACAUUUAAAACUAUAUUUUCUAAGUGAAGAGAAAUCAUAAAAAUUAAGUCGCAUUUAUAUAUAUAUAUUUUUUUUGUUUUUCUAGUACCAAGCUUGUACUUAUAUCGAUCCCUAUCAAAUUCAAGCCCUAUAAAUUAAUAGAGAUGUAAAGAAAAUAAAGUUCUUCUCCUCUAAUUAAAGUUGAUCACUCUCUAAUUAGUUGUUAAUUUGGACAACAUCUUGAAUUGGUUUCAUGUUGCCGCAGCAAUUUUGUGUAGAAUUGUUUGGCCUAUGCUGUUGUAAUUUUUACCUAAAUUUAUGGUGCGUUUGGUUCAAAAUAAAGAGCAAAAUAGAAAAUGGGAAUCAAAAUGGACAUGUAUCGAAAACGGAAUUAAUGAUACAACCUCCCAAUUAAUAUAUUUGGUUCAGAAUAACAAUCGAAAUCGGUAUGGUUGAAUCGUGCUCUCAAUAAUUUUAAAAAAUAUUAUAAAAAUAAUUAAAAUUAAAAUACAAAGUAUAAAAAUAAUUCAAAAUUGAGUUUCCACCUCAAAAAAUAAAAUAAAAUUUAUAAUUUAAAUUUAAGCUAAAAGUUAAAUAUUGAAAAUUUACAUCAAUAAAUAUAAUUUUUAAAAAAUUUAAAAUUGAUUGGACAAUUCAAAAUAUAAUAGUAAUUUUUGAUUUGAUUCAAAUUCAAAUUUAUAAUUAAAGUUAAAUCUAAAUUUAUAGAUCACAUUCAAAAUGUUUGAUUGAAUUUCUACUUUAAUUUAAUUUCUAAAUCAAAGUCUAGAAUAAAAUAUUUAAUUUAUAAUUUUAAAUUUAUAUUUUAAUUAAAAAUUAAAGUCAAUAAUUAAAUCUAGUUUAAAUAAAAAAAUAAAACAUAAUUGAGAUAUUUGCGUAGAGUUUAUUUUUUCCGUCAGGAUUCAACUUCCAAUCUAGCCUCCUAUGCCGGAUUCGAAAAAAGGGUGAUUUGAAAACUCUUAUUCAUCCGAAAACCGAAAUCAGAAUGGAACUCCCAUAUAGCAAAUACCCAAAAACGGAUUCAUUUAUUUCGAUUCUGAUUUCUUAGUGAAAAAUCGAUGAACCAAAAACGCCCUUACCGUUUUCUAAAGAGGUUUAAUUGAAGUGGCCACUUAAAAUAGUCAGACAAUGAAUUAAUAAUAUUGUCCAGAUCACAGACUUGAGUUAAACCUAUGAAUUUUGGAAUUCGGAAUACUGCAUAUAAUCAGUCAAAUUAGUGAUUCAUUAAUCGGUUAGUUUUCUCCUGCAGAAUAAAUUUACGUGCUAAAUUAUAAGAAAUCUUAAACUAAUAGAUUAUAAUAGUGUUUUUAUAUUCUUGUAUUUAAAACUCUUCCUCACUUAUGGGUUCGAAACUAUUUGAUGAGCACAUGACGUGAACUUUAAAUUAACAACGAUAUGUUGUUUGAUCUUUAAAGUUUAAACUAGUGGAGAAUGGUCUUUUUUUUUUGCUUUUAUGUUUAAUCAUUGUUUCUCCAAAACAAUUAAGUGAGAGAAGGUUAAUGAUGCUAUGAGCCUGACGAAACUCAAACUCAGGCUGGGUCUUUGACUAUGAUAUCAUGUUAAAUUAUAUAAAAUAAAAAGUUUAAGUUAGCAACGGAAAGGACUGAGUUCUGUGGAGCUAGGUGACAUCCCUAUAUUUUGGGUACUCGAUUUGAUGCUGCAAUUAUUUUUUAAUCUUUUUAUUACUCUUCUCAUACUUUUUUUUUAGACAUUUUUUCUUUUCAUUUUAUCUUCUCUUGAGGCACCUUCUUUCUCACUCUAUAUAGCUAAAUUUAUUGUCUGAAUGAAUGAAAUAGGUAGCGUGCUAUUUUUUUUUUUAAAAAAAAAGUUUAAAUUAGUAGAGAAUAGUACUUCUAUAUUCUUAUAUUUAAGAGUACGUACAUACAUCCUUUAUGUUAAUAUUUAAUAGAAGAGGAAUUGUUAAGCAUAUAUAACUCGAAUCUUCCGUCCUUCAUCCUAUGGUUGAGCCAACCUCUUUAAAUUUUAGUACUAUAUAUAUAUAUAUACUGCUAAUUUUUAGACGACUAAAAUAUAUUAUCAAAAAACACAAAAAAAAUCAGCAGCAGAUCGACAAGCCGACGAUUUACAGAUGAGACGUUGGUGGCGACUAAUAUUUGAUGCCUACCAAGUUGGCAGCCAUCCCAUACCACUCACCCACAAGAAACUGGUGGUCCUCAUAAGUGACGUCAAUAAAGUACACCCAAAUUCAUUAAUCUUAAAACAAUAAUGACCACCACAUGGGUUACGUGAAGUGGAUGAUGAUGAUACACAGAUGCAAUGAGCUUAACUGUGUCUCUCACAUACCCCGCACAGGCACAUGGACGAUGAAUUUAUCUAUCAAUAUCAAUAUCAGCCAGUUGUGCAGAAAGCUAUCCGUCCCCAAAUCAUGGCAUGGAAUCCCCAGCCAACCUCAACUGCCGCCUGCUGCCUGCUGCCUGCUGCCUGCUGCCGACAUCUUUCUUUCGUCCUGACAUACAAUAAUUAGGUAAGACUUGCGUGGAGAUCCCUCACUAAUUCUAUCUCCAGAAAUACAUACUUAAAACACUUUAUUAUUAUUAUUAUUAUUUUCACCGACUAUUAGCUAGGAAUGUCAAUGGGUACCAAUAUCCGAAUCUGAACGCAAUGGGUGUAGUUUCAGAUACAUACAAAUAUAAAUAACAAAAAUCCGACGAAUUUAGAUUCGGGUAUGAAUUUUGUUUGUGCCUGACCUGAAUCCGAAAGCUGAAUUUGUAUUUUAAAAAUUUAGAUUUAACUAAUAUGUUUUGAAAUAUGAUAAAGAUAAAUAAUCAUUUCGAGUUCGGAUUCGAAUUUCAGAUAUGAAUUUUUUAAAUUUGUCGGAUUCGGGUUUAGAUUUCAGAAUUUGGUGAUCGGGUUCAGAUUCAAAUUUUUAAAAAUCAGCUCUGAAUUCGAUCCAUUGACACUCUUUUUGACUAUCGCUCAACUUUUGUACGUUAUAACUGUGAGUUUUUUGAAUAGCCGAAAAGUUGUUAGAGCUGUGAAGUUUACAAUUUAUACUAGUUAAUGAUGCAACCAAUUUAGCAUUAAAGUUUUUUGAAAAAUAUGAUUCAACCAAGCUGGUAUAAAAAUUUGUGAGUUCAAUACAUUUUACAUUCGUCAUGAAAAAUUUUUAAACGGUCAUAAUUUUUCGCUCGAGAUCUCAGAAGUUGAACCCAAAUUCAACUAUUUAUGCCUUUGUUUUUACAUUUUUAGAUUAUUAUUGGAAAGAUUCUGUAUUUUUUUAUUUUCAGUCCGGUUAUUUGAUUAUUUCUAAUUUAUUUAGAUUCAAAUAUAUAUUAAAAUUUUGUACCUUCAAUUAGAGCAUGUUUGGUUCACCUACUUUAAACUAUGGAAUCGGAAUGAAAUUCAUUGAUUCCGAUAGUUGCCGUUUGUUUUAUAGGAAUCAGAUUCCGAUUCCCAUUCCACUCCGGAGUGGAAAUGAUCAAAUCCAUUUAUGAUCCAAUCCGACUUUGAAUUCCAGAUUCGCUCAUUCCAAAAUAAACUAUUCAAAAUCCUUUUUUAUCAACACCUACCUCCUCCCCUUUCAUCACUUUUCUCUCUUUUAAUCAAAACACUUUCUAAAUUUUCAUUCCGAUUUUCAUUCCAAUAAUGAACCAAAUAUAUUUGGAUGAUUCGUCAUUUCAUUUUCCAUUUCAAAACAAUCCAAUUUCAUUUUCCAUUCCUAUUCCAAUCAUGAAACAAACAUGCCCUUAUAGUAGGAAUGAAAUAUAUAUCGUUUAUAUAUAUACAUAUAUUUGUCGUUCAGUUAAUGUAAUUAGUUUCUAGAGUUCGAUUAAUAAAUUUUUAAUUUCUCUUGUCAAACAAUUGAGUUCUUCGCGCAUCCGGCUCUCGCGUCCUUGUGCUUCUUCAUUUUAUCAUGCGGCUUUUAAGUACAUGUGAAGGUUAGCAAAUGUGAAAUAUCUAUAAAUAAAGAGAAAAUCCAAAAUAGAAUGUUAAUUAAACUUAUCUAGUUAUGUUUUGGCCUACUAUUAAUUGUUAUUAUGUCUCCUUAUAUAAAUUGUUUACUUAACUGAUUAUCUGGAUGUGGAAAGUUGUACAUACAUUUGUGAGAUUUUUUUUUUUUUUUUUUCAAUCUCUAUGUGUAUGGCAGAUCUGUCGGCAGAUCCCGUCUAAGAUUCCGGGAGGGGAAAGCGACAUUUAGCUUCUAGGAUUAUUCUUUCAAAAAGAACCUUUUUUGAAACGACCUAUAGUUGAGGGGGUUUCUCAUAAUCUUACCAACCAACAAUAAUUAUAUAUAUAUAUGAUGAGAUAGAGACUAGUGUGGUCCCCUAAUUAGUUAAUUAUUAUUUUUUUUUUCAUGCUCCUACCCCCUAUUUUAGUACCUAUAAGAUUUAGGGAACACAUCAACACACGUAGUCCCAUGUAGUUUUUUUUAUUUUUUAUUUUUAUUUUUUUUAAAAUAGUCUAUAACUAGGGACUGUUGAGAAUUAUAUCCCUACUUUGUUAUUUAUGUCUUUGUUAGAGCUUUAAUUAAGUACCUUCCAUGAUGAAACUCUGUGGAUUAUAUCAUUAGUGCAAAGAUAUGGGACUAAAAUUGAGAUCUUAAUUGAUAGAUAUGAAUUGGUGCAUGUUCUUGCGUGAUUAUGUACGUCUCGUGCGUCUUUUUUUUCUUUUUUUUUUUUCUACACAUGUCGGCAAAAUUUUGAACACAUAUCUUAAAAAAAGAACUUUUUAGAACCAUAAAAGUUUAAGAAAAAAAGUUAUCUAUCAUCAAAGUUUUAAAACGUUAAAAAUUGUCUGUAUCCUACAAAAAAUUUAUUUUCCAUUGGAACGCACGAAAGAACAAACUCGUCAUUUCACUCGAAAUAUGGCUCACAUGUCAUGAAUCACAUGAUUUUAAUGCUUAGAUAAUGAGUUCGAAUAUAUUUUAGGUGGUUCUGAGAUUUUUCUUUUUUCCAAAUUAAUUUGUUUGUUCAAAAAGAUCGAAAUACUGAUUAGUUCGACAAAGGUGUACAUCUUUGGUAUAUGAAGGUGGGCGGCCGAAUUGACCAUGGCGCUGAUAUUUGAAAAAGACAAUGAAAUUUUAUUUUAGUAGUUCCAUGUGUUUCCUUUAUCUUACGUAAAUAGUGUAAAUGUUUGUGUACGGCGUGAACUCGACGUUUUAUACAAAAAAUUAAUGAAUGAUGUCGAAAUUUGCUGUACAGACUCUCUAAAAAGUUGAUGGAUAUCGUGACUUGUGCGUAACGAACACGCCUUGAUUUUAUUUUGUAACUUAAAUAAAAAGCAUCUAAUUUCUCCUCGCGCACAACUACUAACAAAAGCUUCUUAUAGAAUUUUUGUUCAACGUUUUGGGUCGUCGAAGUUUAGGAAUCUCAAAAUACAAAAGAUUUCAAAAUUUUCAAAACAUUAUUUUUUUCUUAUUAAUAUUUAAUUAGUUGACCUUGCAAUAUUUAAUUCCCGGAGACUUUUUACCUACUAAUUUGUUCCUAGAAUCCAAAUUCUAUGAAUACCAAUCAAGCAAAUGCGAGCAAUUUAUUGAUGUGAUUGCAAAGCGACUCUUCCGAUUUUGAGAACUACUUUAUUCCUCAAAUAUUUUCCUCAAAUAUUUUUUAUUAGAAAUUUAAUGUUAUAUAAAGGUCAAAGUAUUUUAUGUAUAUUCUUAUUUUCAUUACUAUUAAAGAAAAAAAUAAUAAUUGUCUACAUCGGAUAAAGUUUUCAUCAGCUUCAUAAUAUAUUAAAAUUUCUUAUUUAUUUAGAGAUUAAAUGAAUAAUUAAAAGUAUGAAAUGGACGAACAACCCUAAAUUGGUGUUCAACGAAUGUACGAAUACAUUAACUUUAGUUGACAAAAUUUUAUGGUACAUAAUUAGUACCAAAAACGCAUUCAAUUUUUAAUAUUUUCAAAUACAUCAUUUAAAAGUUCAAGGAUAAAAAUAAUCUUGAGUAUAGGUUUAAAGAGUAGAUCUAUAAUAAUUUACUGCGGAGUAAAAUAUAGAAAAUUCUCACAUAGAUUUCACCUAUUUUUUUUUUUUUUUUAUAAUAAACACUUCACACUUUCUAUACUAAAAUUGUAGGCAUAAAAUUCUCCUCGAUCUUUGAAUAAAUAUUAAAUCUUAAUAUUUAGAAUGAAUGUUGAAUUUAGAGGCAAAACUUUAUAAACCUUGUAGACGAUAGUGAUAAUGCUUAGUGGAGUUUAAUCACAUAAACUAAAUAUAUUUUCCUCAUAAGUUGCCAACUUUUUUUUAUAGCUUUAGCAAAGAAAAAAAAAAAAGAAAAACUCAAUUCAACCCUCUAUCUCAGUUGUGAAUUCUAAUCGAGACACAGAUAAAAGGCACCUAUGCGCAAUUAAAAUCGAUAUAUAUUUUUACACGACUGGAUAAAUAAGAUAUGGGUUAGAUGAACUGCAAGCAGUGUCGCAAUAUAGAAACUUCAAAUAAUAAAUCAAAAUAAGUUAAAAUUUAAGAACCAAAGUAUAGCGUUAUUCACAGUUUGAGAGCCAAAAGUGUAAUUUAUCCUUACUUAAAACACGUUUUAUAAUUCUUAAUAAGUUUAAGGGAAGCAAUAAUAUUAGUACAUUUUCAAGUGAGAUGUACACUAGGCAUUAUGGACACUGACACGCGAUACGAGACACAACGCAAUUUGGACACGACCACUCGGCAAUUUUCAAAAUAUUAGGUAGUACAUUUCAAAGUGAGAUGUACACUAGGCAUUAUGGACAUUGACACGCGAUACGAGACACAACGCAAUUUGGACACGGCAACUCGGUAGUUUUCAAAACAUUAGGACACGGACACGACAUAAAUGCUGCUUAUAAAAUAUAAUAUUAUUAAUAUAAUAAUAUAUAUUUAUUAUAGAUAAAAUAUUAAUUUUGUAAAAUAUUGUUAUAUUUCUCGUGCGAAUGAAAGUUAGUAAAAUUUUUAUUAAUAAUUUAUAUAUUUUAAAAAAAUUUUCUGCACCAUACAUAAUUUAUUUAUAUUGUUAAAAAAAAUUACAUAUAUUCAUCAAGAAGUUAAAAUAUUUAUUAUCUUAUAUUUAUAAUACAUAAAAAAGUAAAAUAAAAUAAAAUAUAUAUAUAUAUAUAUAUAUAUAUAUAUAUAUAUAUAUAUUUUAAUUAUUUACGUUGUGAAUUGACAUUAAAUGGGCAUUUGAGAAAUAUCCACAUUAGAUAUGUGUUCGGCGCGAUGUCCGUACGUACUACAUAAAAUGGAUAUUUUAAGCUCACUAUAUUUAAAAAUUAUUAAUUUUUUACUUGCCACUGCAAUUCUUAUGGAAUGUACGAGUAAAAUUUCUCUUAAACAAAAGAGAAAAAAACAAAAGAGAGGAAAAUAGACAUAAGCUGGAUCCAGUGAUCCCUCAUACCUAUUUAUUACCAGAAAAAGGCACCAAUGCUCUUUUUCUUUUUUCCAUACCUACUAUAAAAGGAGUGCACAAAUCCAUUGUCAUGUCCCCACACUCACCCCCCCCCUCUAUUAACCCUUCCCGCCAUUAUCUUUCUCUCUGACUCAAACACAGAAGAGAGAGAGAGAGAGAGAGAGAGAUAAAGAGAGAUGAAGCGAAACCGCGCAGAGCCCGCGCCACCCCAAACACCCGCCAAAACCGCGCGCCGCUACGCGGCCCCGAACGCGCACCAGAAACUCCCCCAGAAGCCGCAGGUCCGCGCCGCCGCCGAGGAGAAGCCGCCGGCGCCGGCGCCGGCGCCGUCGCCGGCGGCGGAGGUGGUGGAGCAGGAGAUCGAGUGGGCCCCGCAGCUGGCGGGGUGGGACCCGGCGGGGGAGGUGGCGGGAGCGUGGAGCUCGUGGGGCGUGGCGGAGGAGACGCUCCUGGGGUGGUUCCCCUUCGCCGACGAGCACUUCCACGGCGCGGCGGCGGCGGCGGCGGGGGCGGCGCCGUUCUUGGAGGAGGAGAGCUUCUGCUGCUCCUACUGCUAUUAUUACCACGACGACAUUUGGCAUCUGCAGCACAUCCACGACGUUCCCAAGCAUUAAAUUUAAAUGUGGCCUCCUCACAGGAUCGAGAGUACAAAUUAAUUAAAGAGAGAGACAGAUGAUAGAGAUGAUUAGAUACAGAGCAGAUCUUUAAUUGUAGCUUUUUCUUUUUCUUUUCUUUUUUUUUUUUUUUUUUUNAUUAAGUCUAGUUGAUGUAUAGCUUGUUAUAUUUAGCAAGCAUAUAUGUUUAAUAUUGUAAGAUUAAUUACCAACUUAAUUAUCAUGUACAACAUAAAAUGAGAGUGUGUUGGGUGUAAUAUAGAAUGAUAUGCAUUACGAUAAAGUUUGCAAACUAUGGUGUGUAUUGUAUACGUCAAUUUCAUAUUAACUUAUCUCCCCUUGUUUUGAUGAUAUGUUGUUGCUCUUUUUUUUUUUUUUUUUUUUUUUUUUUUUUUUUUUUUUCUGAACUUGCCUUGAUUUAUUUUUUAUAUAAAAAUUAUUGAGAAGAAUCAGAAAGUAAAGAUAGGAUAAUCGAUAUAUACUUCAGAUUUGGUUACUGUUUGAUCCUCCACUCUUGAUGUUUCAAAUUAGUAUUUGUUUGAUUAAUUUUUGUUUCUAUUUUAAGAAGCCGCUAACACUAAAGAGGAGUUGACUAAAGAGGAGUUGGGCUGGAAUUAAUACUCUUGUAGAUAUUAUUUAAUUUUUAACACUUACAAAAAAAAAAAAAUAGUGGUCACAUUAGGAUUUUAUGAAAAUCAAAAUAGAAAUUUAAUAAUUAAAAAUUAAAUAAUAUUAAGCGUUUGAUACUCUUAAUAAUAUUUUAAAUUAUUUUUUUUUCUUAUGCUAUAUGCAGCAGCAAGACUAAAUAUCCCGUCUUGAAAGAUGAGUGAGUUGGUUUGGGAAAUAUAAAUGCUUUCGUGCCGUGUGGUGAUAAUGAGACGAGAAGGGCCAACUGCCGAAGAGCAGGUUAGAUCAGUACUGUCUGCCUUUUUUUUAAUGGCACCCAGCACCCUUGGCUGUCUCCCGCCGCUGCAAGGCUGUAUUGUAUGUUUCUUUCUUCUUUUGCAUUUAUUUGGUGGCCUCCUGGUGGUUGCAAAGGCUGCGGGCGGAUUGCAAGUUUUAUACGGACCUAACUCAAUUAAGAGUGUGACCCACUACCACGUCCGUUGCGUAUUGAGCUUCUGUUUCGAGUAAUGUGUGAUGUAGAUCUAGUUUGACAAAAAUGCAAUAACUAUAUAUAAAAAAUAUAUAUAUAAUAUAUAUAGUAUAUUAUAAUAUAUGAUAAUUUCAUCAAUACCCCUCUAGAAAUCAUAAUUAUAAACUAUAAAAUAUCAUCAAUACCCUCUAUAAAACUAAAAAUGUCACAAUACCCUUUAGGAAACUUUCUCUCAAGUGUCUAUCCAUAUUAUAAAUACCAAUUACCUCUAGCAACAAUUAAACAUAAUAUUUAAUAUUAAUUAUCUGAUAAUUUUUAACAUGAAUCACAUUUUUAAUUAUAUUUUAAAAAUCAAUUAAUAUAUCUAUAAGUAAACUUAAAUCUAUAUUUUUCGCUUUUAAAUUAUACAAUAUUAUAAUACAAAUUUGUCAUAGUAGAUCAACUAUUAACUAUUUAAAUAAAUAUUAAUUUCGAUUUGUUUUACGAGAUGCAAAACGUCCCCAAGAAACUCAAUAAAAAGAAAAACAUGAUAUUUAAGUAAAAAAUAAAACUUAAAGAGUUAUCAUAAAAUCUAUAGGAAAUUCAUUAUUUUUACGCCCAAUAAUUUAGUAGAAUAUUAUUUUUAAAAUUAGAAGGUAUUUAUGAAAUGGCCCUUAAUUAUUCAUCAAAAUAACACCUAACCCUUUCGGUUAAUUUCAUUUUGUAACUCAACCUUUUAUUUAACAAUUAUUAACCAUGUAUAUAACAGCGUUAGAAGAAGUAUUGUGAAAAUUUUGCAUUGAGCGUAUAAAGAUAUUUCACUUAUGCGGCUAUCUAUGAUAUUACAUAUUAGUAUGUAAAUUCCCCUAAUAAUAUAUAUAUAUAUAGUCCGCGCCAUGGUGUGUACUACAUUAGCCACUAAGGAUUCUAUUAAAUUUCACCUUUAAUUAAUCUCUUGAUUAUUUUUAUCCGACAUUAUACAUCAACCUUAAACCAUUCACUCAACUCCUUUAUCCACACUUCAUCCUAACCAGCCAUUUUACAUCAAGACUAAAAAAUCUACACAAAUAGCUUGUCUCAUUCAUGUAUUCAGCCUUAAUUCAUUAUAUACACGUAAAUAUAAACAACCGAAUAUCUAUUAGCCCUGGUUUCUCAAAAAAGGAUAACCGAAAUUAUCCCGCGACCAAGCUAUUCCGUCAAACGUAUAUUUUAUUCAUCCGGAUUAUUAUUUCUAUCAAUUCAUUUCUACGCUUCCAGAUAUAGCUUGAAUUUACUAUCUAUCAUUUUGAUGAAUGUCUAUUCAAAUUUUAUUCCAAAUUGAUUAAAAUUAAAUUGAAUUAAUAACUAAAUUAUAAUAAAAUAAUAUUUAUAUAUUAAUAUAAUUUUAUUAUAAAAUAUUAAUUACUCUAAUAUAAACAUUUUUUUAUUUAAAUAUAUAAUAAAUUUUAUAAUAUAUAAUUAAUAUUUAAUAAAUUAUUUUAUAAAUUAAUUUAAUAGACAUUUCAAAUAAUUUAAAAAUUAAUUAAUAAUAAAAAAUUUAUAAUUAUUAAAAUUUAUUUUAUCAAUUAUAAAUUUAAUAUAGUAAAUUAUUUUUAUUAAUUGUUCCCACCCCUAUUCUUAUUUUAAAAUUUUAAAAUUUAAAAUUUAUAAUUUAAAUAUUAAAUUUUUAAAAUUUAUAUUUUGUAAUCUCAAAAUGAAAGUUUAUAAUUUUAAAUUCUGAAUUUUGAUAUUUUAAAUUUUUAAAAUUUAAAAUUUGAUAUUUGAUAUUUUUUAAAUUUAAAUUUGAUCCUAAAUUUAAAGUUUGAAAUUUAAAAUUUUAUUUUCAAAUUUUGAAAUUUAAAAGUUAAAAAUUAAAAUUUAAAAAUAUAAUUAUAAAAUUUAAAAAUUCAAAUUCAAAUAUAAUGAGAGGGGUAAUAUCAUUAUUUUUUUAUUUAUAACUAUCCACUAUUCUUCGUAUUCUACCUUAUCUAUCUAAACACUAUUUUUUUAUUCCCGGGAGCAACCAAUUUUCAUACAAACGCAAAAUUAGGCUAAUUCUUGUUUAUACUUGAACUUAUACUAGAAUAGGUUGCUCUUACUUAUAUCCGAACCAAACGAUACCUUAGCAAGCAUUAGGUUGGGAAAUAGAGAGAGGAUAACGGGUUAUAUCCCAUUACCCCCCGACACAAAAAAAACGGAGUGGGAUUGGUAUCCCACCCCUUAACAGGUUAUCCUGGGAUAACCCGUUAAGGGUUGGAAUAGCAAUACCACCCCUUAUGUGGAAUAGGGGCGCUAUUUAAUUUUUUUAAAAAAUUAAUUUAAAUUUUAAAUUUUAAAUUUUAAUUUUUAAAUUUUAAAAAUUUAUAAUUUGUAAUUUUAAAUUUUAAAUUUUAAAUUGAUAUUUUAAAAUUUUAAAAUUUAAAUUUCAUAUUUUAGAUUUUUAAAUUUAGAUUUAAUCUUAAAUUUAAAAUUUAAAAUUUAAAACCUUGAAUUUUAAAAUUUGAGAUUUAAAAAUUUAAAUUUAAAUUUUGAAUUUUUAAAACUUAAACGUUAUAUAUUUAAAUUUAAAAUUUAAAAUUUAAAAUUAAAAAAUUUAAAUUCAAAUAUAAUAGGCCUUUUUGCAUAAAAAAUUCACUUAUUUUGGGCUUUUGCAAAAUCGGAUCACCUUUUUCGUUUUUGCAGAUUUGGUCCGCUUUUUCAGCAAACUGACCAAAAUACUCUUAUUACUUUUUCUCUUUCCUCUUUCUCUCUCCUCUUCGUUUCUGUCGGUUUUUUUUUUCUCGCCGAAAAAAAAAGGCGGACCGGACCGUUGCCUUCUUCUUCACCGUCGCCCCCCUCCUCACCCUCCUUCUUCACCGUCGCCUCCCUCCUCACCCUCCUCUCCACCGCCCGCGACCCCCUCCUCCUCUCCCCCGCCGCCGUCGCCGAGCCCACCCCCACCGUCGUCUCCGUCGCCGUCGUCGAGCCCACAGCCAUGGCGGCGGCGGCGAAGGCGGAGGAGAGCGGGGAGGAGGGGAGGGGGUCGCGCGACUCCAUGGCCACCACCACGCUCUCACGGCACCUCCCUGCCGUCGCCGUCGCCGUCGCUAUUGGCACUGUCGUCGUCGUCGUCUUCCGCCUUCUUCGGCGUCGCGUCGCCGAGUAUGGAGCCCGUGUCGGCGCCGGGGGGCUCAAAGAAGAGGCGGUCGACGUGCGCCGACGACUUAAUGCCGCGUAUCACGCUCUUCGACGACUCGCCGUCGUACUACUCGUCGUCGGACGGCGCCGUCGACAGGCUGGUCAUGUCCCGAUCGCGCCCCUCGUCCGACGAGUUGGUGAAGCGCGACUCCGGCGAGUCCGGCCGGUACACCGAGUUGGCCGUCUUGUACAUGCAGCCCGACGACUGCGAGGCGGAGAAGAAGACGACGGCGAAGAAGAAGGCCUAAACUGGAUGCGGAGGCCGAGGCGGAGAAGAAGACGAUGGCGAAGAAGAAGAAGAGGAGGCCGAGCGGCAGGGCGCAGGAGAGGGAGGCGGAGGCGCAGCCGGCGCCGGCGCCGGCGCCGCGCGUGUUCUUCUCUGUCGGCGCCGCCCCUCCUCCCGCCGCCGCGCAGAAAGUGAAUGGUGUAAUUGUGCAAAUGGUGUAACGGUGUAACGGUGCAAAUAGUAUAAUGGUGUAAUGGUGUAAAAUUGUAAUGGUAUAAUGGUGCAAAUGGUGUAAUGGUGUAAUGGUGCAAAAUGGUGUAAUGGUGUAAUGGUGUAAUGGUGCAAAAUGGUGUAAUGGUGUAAUGGUGUAAUGGUGCAAAUGGUGUAAUGGUGUAAUGGUGCAAAAUUGUAAUGGUGUAAUGGUGUAAUGGUGCAAAUGGUGUAAUGGUGUAAUGGUGUAAUGGUGCAAAAUGGUGCAAAAUGGUGUAAUAGUGUAAUGGUGUAAUGGUCCCCUCUCCUCGCCGGCGCCGGCUGCACCUACGCCUCUCCCUCCUGCGCCCUGCCGCUCGGCCUCCCCUUCUUCUUCUUCGCCGUCGUCUUCUUCUCAGCCUCGGCCUCCGCAUCCAGCACGACCCCGUACGCCGCGGCUGCUGCCGCUGCCGCUGCGGCGACGGGAUCGGGCUGGGGGUCCGCGGCGCCGGCGCCGGCUGUGCUUCCGCCUCCCCCUCCUACGCCUUGCCGCUCGGCCUCCCCUUCUUCUUCUUCGCCGUCGUCUUCUUCUCCGCAUCUAGCCCGACCCCGUUCGUCGCGGCCGCUGCCGCCGCAGCGACGGGAUCGGGCUGGGGGUCCGCGGCGGCGGGGGAGAGGAGGAGGGGGUCGCGGGCGGUGGAGAGGAGGGUGAGGAGGGUGGCGACGGUGAAGAAGAAGGCGACGGUCCGCCUCUUCUUUUUUCGGCGAGAAAAAAAAAAGAACGACAAAAACGAAGAGGAGAGAGAAAGAGGAAAGAGAAAAAGUAAUAAGGGUAUUUUGGUCAGUUUGCUGAAAAAGCGGACCGAAUCUGCAAAAACGAAAAAGGUGACCCGAUUUUGCAAAAGCCCAAAAUAAGUGAAUUUUUUAUGCAAAAAGGCCAAUAUAAUAUAAGGAAAAAUAUCAUUAUUUUUUAUUUAUAAUUAUUCACUAUUCUUAUUUCAUCAUAUCUAUCCUAACGCUAUUUUUUUUAUUUCUGGAAAUAACACAAUUUUCAUUCAAACGCAAAAUUGGCCUAUUUCAUGCUUAUACCUGAACUUAUACCCAUCCCUGUAAUAAACAGUUAUUGCUUACAUCCGAACCAAAUUUAAAUAUUUUUAUAUUUAACACCCCCCUCGCGUGUGGGUUUGAGACUUUUUAUAGACCCCAUGAUGUAUAUUUAAAUUAAAUUAGAGAAAAUAUAAUGUUAGGAGCUUGGAGUAACUCGAACCUUAAAUAUACAAAACAACCGUUAUACUCUAAACACUUAAAAUUGUAGAGAACAGUGUUUAUAUAUAUUUUUAUAUUUAACAGCCCCCCUCAAGUCUGCGUUCGAGACUUCUUGCAAAGCCCAUGACAUGGACUUGAAUUAAUUAAAUAGGAGAAAAUUAGUAAUGCUAGAAGCUUGGUGUGACUCGAACUCAGAACCUUCUACUCUCACACCAUGCGAAACAAUCUUUGUACUCUAAAAGAUUAAGCUGAUAGAUAACGGUGUUUAAAUAUUUUUAUAUUUAAUAAUAUAUAUUUGGUUUUAAUAUGCUAGUGGCGCCAAAGAUAGAAGUACUUCAAGAGCAUGUUUGGUUUGCACUAUCGGUAUACUGGGGCAUCUCGUCGCAAAGCAAUUUGAUCAUUAUGAUUGGAAAUCCAACCGGUUGGAUUUUUCGGGUUUAUGAUUCUUGUAGAACAACUUGAUCGGUUGGAGUGCCAAUCCGAUCAGUUCGAUUAGGUAGAAAUAUUGAAAAUUAAUUUCCGAUCGAUUGCACCUCUCUGAUCGGUCGGUUUUGGAGGUCUGAUUUGUCUGAUUUAAUAGUUUGAGUCUGGUUUGAAUCUGAGGUUUCGAGACUACAUAUAUGACCUCAUGUGUAGCUUAUUUGAUGGACUUUUUGGAGAGCACUACUGAGAAAAAUUAAAAUUUUGGAGAGCCACCAAAAGAGGAAAAAAAAAAAGAAGAGAAAAAAAGAAAGGUUUAGAGAGUGUUUCAAUCAACAGGAGAAGAUUGGAGAACGUAGAUUGGAGGGGUUCGCUCAACCGGGUGUUAAAGUUGUUCUAGCAAAGGUAAAGGUGUCCAAAAUAUCCGAAAUCCCAUACCCGACCCGGACUCUAUCCGGACCCGAACCAGAUCCGAACCGGACCCGAUAAAAAAUGAAUAGUAUACGGAUAAAAAAAAUUACCCAUUAAAGUUUCGGGUAUGGGUCCGGAUAUUUUAUACCCAUACCCGAUUUGGACCCGACCCGAACCUAACUUUUAAAUGGGUAGGGUCUGGAAUAGUUUUCAAAUCCAGACCCAGACCCGGACCCGAUAAAAUAUCCGAUAGUAAAUAAAAAAAAAAAUAAACUUUUGAAGUUGAAGGAUCAAUUUUAAUAUGACUUAUAGAUGAUGAGUCACUACGUAUUUUCAUCCUAAUGAAACCCUAGCCGUCUCUUUUACUCAUUACUUUUUUCUAAUUUUUUUACUCUUUAUUUUCUACUCAUUUUUUUUCAUUUCAUUUCCGCCAACAAUAUUUCAUUGUCAUCAUCAUCAUCAGUGUCAUCAUUAUCAUCAUCAGCGACAAUAUUUCUUUUGAAUGAAUUUUAUUAGACGGUGCAACUUAUUAGAAUGCGAGUUUUUUUAUGAUGGACUUUAUAGUUUGUCUAUUAACUAUUUAACAAAGUUUAUAAAAAAAUAUAUAUUUAUACAGAUAUCCGUAUCCGAUCUAGAUCCGAUCCAUAUCCGGUCUUGAACGGGUAGUAUACGGGUAGUCACUACCCAGACCUGCUCAAAUAGACCCGAUAGGUAUAUUAGUAACUUUAGUACCCAGAUCCGGAUCCGACCCGAAGUUAAAUGGGUAGGGUAUAUAUAUUUUUUUGUAACCAUUUCUUUUUAGGGUAUGGGUACAGUAUAUUAAUUACCCAGACCCGACCCAGUCCACGGACAUCUUUAAGCAAAGGUUCUUUUGUUAGUGAGAUUAUUUCAAUCUUGAGUUCUUUCUUCCCUUAUUGAAAGCGGCAUUUUCGGCAUGGUGUUGAAGAAGAUGUUGUAUUCUUAACUGUUUUAUAGUGAAGCACCUUUUUGCUCUUAUUUGAAUAGACAUAGACUUCAGGUGAACUACGUAAAUAUUCAUAUUCUUGGUUGCGUGAUUUAUGUGUUUUCUAUGUACUUUGUUGUCGUCAUCAAGUGUUGAAGUAAACACUAGCGCAUAGAGGAUUAAUCUUCAACGGAUCUCACGAUUAAAUAAACUUACAUCUACAAAUUACUCGAUUUGGAAGCCUUACAUAGAAUUUUUAUAAUCCAAUCAAAGGAGUUGUUGCUAUGAUUAAGAAGAUGUGAGACGGAGAAUGAGAUAAAUUAAAUCGCAAAACCAUUGGACUCAUUCGACAGUGGAUUGAUGAUAGCGUCUUCCACUAUGUUUCAAUGGAGGUUAAUGCCUAUAGCCCUAGUUGAAAUUGAAAAGUUUAUAUGAAAGAAACAUUGAAUAAGGCAUUCUUGAUCUGUAAAUUGGUAUAUACAAAAUACAAAGAGGGGGUUUCUGUGGCGGAGCAUGCAAUUAAUUUUCAAAAUAUGGUAAACCAGCUAGCCACGAUGAUGAUGACGUUAGAUGCGGAGCGUUAAGCCCUACUAUUGUUAAGUUCAUUGCUUGAUAGUUGGGAAACCCCUGUAAAAGGAGCUGCGAGUUUUGAGUCAUAAUAAGGCCCUCGUAAUUAAAAGAGAAAAAAAUAGCAAGUAUAGAGACAUCGUGAGAGAGGUCCAAGCGCAAAAGUGGUCGGCGUUACAACUAUGACAAAUGGGGCUAGUGUUAAACAACCGUUAUACUCUGUUAUCGAAAUUUUUUUAUAAGGCCCAUGAUGUGGACUUAAAUUAAAUGAAGGAAAUUAAUAAUACUAGGAAUCUGACGUGACUCGAAUUCAGAAUCUCCUAUUUUGAUACCAUGUGAAAUAAUUAUUAUAUUUUAAAAGCUUAUGCUGUUAGAGAACGGUGUUUAUGUAUUUUUAUAUUUAACAGCUAGUUCAAAAAGAUUGUCGAAUCCUGAAGAAGAGAAGGUGAAGAACAAGUGAUCAGAUGAUGACUCCAACUUGGACAAUGAGACGGCAUCCAUUUUUACAGGAGAGGAGGUGAUCAUUCUCCAUGACAUAGUGGACGAUGGUCUAGUAGGCACUACAAGCCAAGACUCCACUUGGGUGAUUGACUCCUCCCCUUCGUAUCAAUGUUAUUGUGAGGUGAAACUUAUUCUCAUCUUAUCAUUAUGGAGAGUUUCGGAUAGUGAAAAUGGGAACUGACGAAGAAUCAAAGAUUGCCUGCAUCGGAGACAUUGUGACGACGCAAGUUUGGGUAGAGGUUGGUGUUGAAAAUGUUUGAUAUGUACUAGACAUUCACUUAAACCUGUUGUUGAUAGGGGUUCUAGAUGAGGAGGGCUACUACAGUGUGUUUGGCGAUCAUCAGUGGUUGUUGACUAGCAAAUCACUAGUAGCAGCUAGAGGUACCAAGCAAGAUAAUCUCUACUUAAUACAGGCUAAACUCGAAAACGGGGAGGUGGAUAUAGCGAGGAAUCUACUAUCUUAGAGUUAUAGCAUCCGUGUAUGGGACACAUGAGCUAGAAAAGUAUGUCAAUUUUAGCUAAAAAUAGUGCUAAAUUGAAAAUGUGCAAAGAGCUGCUUGAUGGAAAUUUAAACUUGACUCUCUCAAAGAAAAUUUUUGCUGCAUUAGAUCUUGCUCACAGUGACAUUUGUUCUAUGGCUGAUAAAACUCUUAGUGGUUGCUCUUAUUUUGUAACUUUCAUUGAUGAACACUCAUAAAAGGUUAGGGCAUAUGCUUCGAAAUCGAAGGAUCUGGUGCUCGAUGUAUUCAAGUAAUUUCACAUCUUUUUUAAAGAGGGAAAGAAACUAGGUGAAAAUUUGAGUGCAUUUAGGCGUGUAAAGGAGAUGGAUAUAAGGAUUUUCGAGAAGUAAUGUUAACAUGGCAUCAAACAUGAAAAGAUAGUUUCUAAUAAAAGUCGCAGCAGAGUGCGGUUGCUAAGAGAAUAAAUGGAACGGCGCCCAGUGAGAAAAUCAGGAGUAUGCUCUCUCAUGCUAAACUACCAAAGGCGUCCUAGGGCAAAUAAUCGAUGAUUGCGAACUACCUUAUUAAUCUUUCUUUUAAUUUCCUAUUCUCUUGAGGUUGAUACACCACAAAAAAUAUAGUUAGUUUGAAAGUGUUUGGAUAUAAGGCGUUCGUGCAUAUUCCUAGGAAUGAGAGGUCUAAGCUAGAUGCUAAGGCGAAAUAUAGUACACAUGGAAAUGAUAGUACACAUGAAGGUCACAAGGGUGAGAAAAGUGUAGGUGAUAUUCUGAUUGAACUAUAUAAUGAGCUACCUGCACAAACGGUUCGAAGAUGUGAAAGCGGGAAAUGUGAAUCAAGUGGGAUUCGAACUUGGAACCUCGGGUAACAACCAUAAAGUCUUUUGCCACUUGCUCUGAAGACAGUCGGUACCAUAUGGUUGUUUGUUAUUGAUGAAUACAGGAGUGUUUGAGUCCUACUUUGAAGUUACAAAGUAUUUUUUUUUUUUUUUUUGGAGAAAGGCAAUGAAGGAGGAAAUGAAUUCCUUCUAGGAAAAUAAUAGUUGCAUGCUUGUGAAGAAAGCCAAGGGAAAUUGAGUAAUAAAAACUUUACUCAAAUUGAGUACCCAAGUGUUCACGUCGAGCCAUAGGAGAAAUAAUAGUUGACAACUAAGAUAUAAGGCAAGAUUGGUUGGACCUACUCAGGUAUAUGCAAUAGAUCUGCCGAAUGGGUAAGGUCCUCCUUUUUCGCACGAAGUAGAAAUAUAAUCAAUCUGUAAAACUCAUACAUGAUAUGGGUACACAAAGCAUCAAAGUGGAUUUUUCUAAAUUUAAAACCAUUAAGAAAAUCUUUUUUUUUUUCUUUUUGCAUUUUUCUCUAACGUUGUACAUUUCAAAGAGUGGGUAAAGGUUGGAAUGUCGGCAGCAGGACCGUUGGACAACGUUCCUUUUACCCACGUCGGGCGCGAGCCUUGCUGUUCCAUUUCGUGCAAGAAACGCAUUCAUGUUCUCCUGGAAAACGAAAUAAAAAAUAACCGAUUUACCCUCCAGCAAGCCGCAACUCGGUAGUUAGUAUUCAAGAUUCGAAGUUCAAAAUCUAGUUACUUUAUAUUUCUAACAAGUUUAUUUUUUAAAAAAUGAAAAAAGCGGGCAUGCUAUCCUUUUCUAAAAAAAUAAAAUAAUAAAUAAUAAAUAAAUAAAUUAAAUUUUGUAAGACACGAAACAAAAUGAAUUUAAGCAACCCCAGUUACAAACUAAGCCGCAGCUUUUAUUUUUGGACAAGGGUACUUAUUCAAUAAUUUAAGGAAUGAUUAAUUUAAGGAAUAAUUUAAGGAAUGAUUAAUUACACAAUUGAACAACUGAAUUCACUGCGUAUUCCUUUUAUUAGGUUAUUAACUUUUAUUUAUUACGAUUGAUUAUUACUUUCGUAUUUUCAACGGAGAAACUGCAGUUAAUUAAAUCUUUAUACUCUUGAGAUGAAGUGGUAGUUAGCUAUACCAUCAAUUAUUAGAGAAACUAGUGUUGAACCGGCGCUUUCGCCGCGGAUAAUUUUAACACUAAUAUUUUGAUGUAAAUUUUAAUAUAUAAUAAUUACGAAAAAUGAGAAAAAGAAUAGAAUUAAAAUAUCAACACAUAUGUAUGUAAGGGUGCGUUUGGUUCGAGUUAUCCUGGCAGGAUUACAGGCAAUCCUGUCACGCCCCGGAUGUCUCGUUCCCCGGGCACGCCGACAAAUCCGCCGUAUACAAAGAAAUUUUUCCUGUAUACUACAAAAAAAUUUUUCCUGUAUACGAAGCGACAGCUGUACCUGUAAACAUACAAUACUACAAACAGUAGUAUAGAGCUGCUCGAGUAAACAAAAGCUAAACAAACUAAGCUUCACAUACAUAGUUCAAAAAUCAAAACACAGAGUUACUCGCACUGGCGAGUUAAGUACUAUGUACAUAAGCUCGAAAUAAAACAACUACCUGCAGUAGGGUGCCUCUAGCUCUGCUCGGCGGGUAGGGCUCUAACUCGCGACGCCCUUGCCUCGAUCCUGAUCCGCGGAAGGCGCAGCAGCCGAAACCUGUGGCUCUGCAAAACAGGGGUAACAAUUGGGCGUGAGAACUACUGUAAAAACAAGUAGUCCUCAGUGGGUACCGCCCAAAACAACAUUGGUCCACCCACUAAGUCUACAGAAUGGAGCAAGAAUAGUCGGAAAAGCAGGAAGUAAACUCUACCGCUAUCAAUCACUACACUAUCAUGCUCUACACUAACCAACUGUAGGAAAUGUCAAAUCUGACCCAAUCCAAUCGGGACUGUAAAUACACCCGUCCCUGCCCAGUUGCGACUAUCCAGCUACCUCCACACUAACUGGUCCGUGGAGAGCAAGUCCAACCGGCAUGAGCGACACCAACGCGAAAGCACAAAGCCCGUCUCCGGAGUGGCACUCGUGGGCGCUACCCAACCGAGUAUGCAGCGUAUCUCUGUCGAGCUCAAUCAGGCUCUGUCAAGCCAAAGUCCAAGUAACCGACUCUAACUGGUCUAACAACAAACAAGUAACGUACCCUCGGCACAAUCUGACGCCAAAGCGGCGAACCGGGCCCACCACCGUCAACCCCAACGGCGCCCAAAAGUCCGAAACAGCCCAAACGGCCCUGUAAAAAUCCACUCGGCGAAUCAGCACGAGCGUAAAUAUAUUCUAAACUACCUGGAGUACUCAUCUCGAGGAUACUGCGACAGUAUAAUUUUAUAACGGCUCCUAGAGCUAAAUCAGGCAGUUUAAAUAAGUGAUAGGUCCAAAUCGCAGGUUUUCUCCUAAUUCAAAUUUCAAGUCCAACAUAUAUAAACUACUCAAUUUAUUAUCACAUACUCCAAAUUCAGAUAUACAAUCAAUCAUAUAAUCCAUGAAUUCGAGUUAGAAUAGAUUAUCCAAAUCGAAAUCUAUACAUGUCGACGAUUAUGAACUUAGGAGUAAAACCGAUGUAAACCCACCUCAAAGCUAAUCCCUGGCAGCGAAGGACUCCCACUGGUGUAGAGCGACCUGCUGGAUCAACCGGAAUCCGCCGAGUCCAGAAUCGAGCUAACUCUACGCUCUACACAACACAAGUCACCAAUUCAGUCUAGAAAUUGCAGCAGUGAGGUACAACAGGGAUUCGACCAAGCUAACCUUCACCAAAUCCAGCAAGUAAGGGCUUCGUGGAUUCCUCUCGCAGUCCUGAAUCCAACGAACUAAGCCUCGCUAAAAUCCGAUGCUCCUACGACAAGUACGAGCUGAAAUACUAACAGUCGACGAUGAAUUUCAGAAAACAACAUCACUCCGAGAUGAAGUAGUAAGAACUUGCCCAAAAACCAUGGAAAUGCUGAAUUACCCACCUCGACAACGCCAAGCACCGGUGCGACAGCAAGAACGGCGAAAACCUACGCUCGCCCCGCCUCCUCGCGCUACCCCGGCGUCAAACACGUGCUCGAACGGCUCCGCGGCGCAACGUCGGCAACGAAUUCUCCAACCGAGCUCUCUUGCCUUCAACCGGAUGAAAGUGAGAGAGAGGUGAAGAAAUGCAGCAAGAGGACCUCUCUCUCUCUCCACACGAAGCUAUAUAGAGAGAGGGAGGGUCGGUGAUACAAAUGAGGGAUAAAAUUACUCAUUUAGCCCUUUACCUACCCCCUUGUACCGGUACACGGGCUCCUAUACCGGUACAAGAGCCAACCCGAGAGCAGCUAAACCAGUGCGCGAUGGUUGUACCGAUACAGCGUGCUAGUUGUACUGGUACAGCAAGCAGAGAAAUCUGCUGUUUUGCAGAAUUCUUCGCGAUAAGCUGCCCUCGCGUCGCACGGAGUCCGUUUUGCGUCUAUUUGACGCCAACGCGACUCGGACUUGUCCCGACACUCUCCAGAGCUGCCGACAAGCCUCCACAACAGAACACCAGGGAUCUCACAAAUCCUUCCAGGAUAACUGUGUUUGGUUAAUCCGCUAUGUAAUCUAGUCGUUAAUGUAGCAUUACAAAUCGAGCAGGAUUACAUCGAAAAUAUUAACGGGAGGGGGUCGUGUAUCUUGCAUUACUGAAACCCGUUAAUACUACAUAUUAUGUAAAAUGACAAUUUUACCCUCCAACAAUCCCAAAUCUAAUUAACAGCAUUAUUUUCAUCUCUCUCGUCUUCCCCCCUCUCUCUCGCACGUCGCUUUCUCCUGCUCUCUCUUUCUCUCUCUCGACGUCUCUCUCUCUCUCUCUCUCUCUCUCUCUCUCUCUCUCUCGCGCGCGCGCGCGCACGAACACCUAUCAUCUUCUAUUGCGUCAUCCUCUCAGGUAAUCAUCAUGAUCUCCUUCCCUCCAUUCGUCAUUUCCGCAAAAAAUAAUAUUCAAAUGACCACAACAAGAGCAAUUUUGAAAAAAACUACACUUUUAUGUCAGGAUUACUAAAUUUUAUAAACUGAACCAAACGUAUUAAUGCUAUAAACACUGUAAUCUAGUAUUACAUUACUGCAUUAAACCAAACGCGCUAAUACAGCAUCAGUAGUAAUCUCACGCCGAAAUCCAAGAUACCUGAAUAUGUUGAGAUACUUUAUAAUAUUACAUAACUCGAACCAAACGGACCCUAAAGGCAAAAGAAUAGAAGCCAAAAAUAAUUUGUCAUGAAAAAAUAAAAUGGAACGAAAACAAAAUAUAUAAUUAUGAACUAUACAAAAUAUAUAUUUAGCUUGAGUGAUUGCUAAUUAUUUUAAUAUAUAUAUAAGUAAUUUGGAUUGACAAUAAAAUAUGUAAUUAUGUAAUAUGCAAAUAUAUAUUUAGUUUGAACAAUUUACUUUUAAAACAAUUCUAAAAGAAAAUAAUUUUUACUUUUGUUUUCGAAAAUUAUAAAGAGAGAUUACGUAGAAAUUAUUACAGAUAAAAGAGGUUUAGAUGAGGCUUGUGAAUCAAGAUGUGAGUAAGCACUAUCCUAGAAGCGAUAUUGCCUCUCCAUGUGUGAGGCUCUAACAAUCACUCCUAGAGAUAUAAUGACCACCAGUUUCCACCCCCUCGGCACGUCUUCAUGGUGGUGCAAUACGUAGCCAAGUAGCUAUCAGAAAUCCAGCAAAAAAUAGAAAAAAAAAUAUAAAGUUUAGUGCACGAGGGAGAAAGGAGGAAGAAGCAAUUAGAAAAAUUCUUCACGAUUCCAACCUCAUGAGUACAUGUUCUUCUAUAUAUACACCCAAAUCAAGAUGAGAAUUUUGUUCCUUCUCGAGAUAAGAAAAUAAGAAAAUUUUUCAAUGUUCCAGCCUCAUGAGUACAUGUACUCCUAUAUACACACGCGAAUCAAGGUGAAAAUUUUGUCACUUCUGAGUACAUGUUCUUCCAUAUACACACGCGAAUCAAGGUGAAGAUUUUGUCCCCUUCUUGAGAUAAGGAAGAUUUGGAUAAAUUUGAUACCUUUUCGAUGUGGAUUUGAAAAUAUUUGGUACCUUCCCAAGGUGUAAUCAUAAAUUCAGAUUUGGUACUUUACCGAAAUAAAGUAAUCAUGAAAUUCAAAAUAAAAAAAAUACUGAAAAAAAAUGGAAGCGCCAAGUGUAUUUAACAAACCACCAAUUUAUAUAUUUGUAUUGAUGAUUGAUAGAUUUGGUACCUUCCCAAAAUUGAUUUGAGAAGAUUUGGUACCUUCACGAGGUACCUUUUUGAGGUAAGAAAGAUUUGGAUAGAUUUGAUACCGUUUCGAUGUCGCGUAAUCAUAAAUCCAGAUUCGAUACUUUACCGAAAUAAAGUAAUUAUGAAAUUCAAAAUAAAAAAUACUGAAAAAAUAUGGAAGCACCACGUGUAUUUAACAAACCGCCAAUUAUAUAUUUGUAUUGAUGAUUGAUAGAUUUGGUACCUUCCCAAGAUUGAUUUGAGAAUAUUUGGUAUCUUUACGAGGUGUAAUUAUAAAUCCAGAUUUGGUACUUUACCGAAAUGAAGUAAUCAUGAAAUUCAAAAUAAAAAAAUACUAAAAAAAACGUGAAAGCGCCACGUGUAUCUAACAAACUGUCAAUUUAUAUAUUUGUAUUGAUUGAUUUGUAUUGAUGAUUGAUAGAUUUGGUACCUUCCCAAGAUGGAUUUGAGAAGAUUUGGUACCUUCGAGGUGUUAUCAUAAAUCCAGAUUUGAUACUUUACAGAAAUAAAGUAAUCAUGAAAUUCAAAGUAAAAAAAUACUGAAAAAACGUGGAAGCGCCACGUGUGUCUAACAAACCGCCAAUUUAUAUAUUUGUAUUGAUAGAUAAUAGAGCUCAUAAGAAUAACCUAAUUGAAGGGAAAAAAGCUAAAAUUACUCAAAUCUAAUACAAAAGAGUUCAAUGACCUAAUUAAGACUGAUAAAUUCAAUUACCAAUUGUAUAAAUUAUUCUUUAAUGGAUGAAAAACUGGUAGAACGGUUCAAAUAACUCAUCCGUGGGAAAUUGAACAAACAAUUCAAACAACAAAGUGUAAAUAUUGAUAUAAAACAUAAAAAAAAUUAUCCAUGGGAGUGCUAGCUAAAACAAUAAUAUUUGCUUAUCUGCAUGCAGGUGCUAGAAAACUACGCAUAUGUAUAUGUUGUUCGACAGACAAUUCAUUCUCAUUAUGAUGCGAACACGAACAAUUAAAGACACAGAAAUGAGAAAGGAACCACUGAACAAGUGCGACCUAAAUGUCGACGUACAAUUUUUUACAGAAACAAAUAAAAUAUUUUUUUUAUUACACUUUCUGACUGCACAUAAGCAUACUCUCUGCAAUCCGAGAUGAAACCUUCGCACAAGGAGGUGAUUGUUAGUGAUAUACCCUAAAGCCAAUCGGUGACACAGGCUUGUGAAUAUAUUAAGUAUUUUUCUUAAUUAAUAAAGGGCAAGUUUUAUUCAUAUUUAUUGUUAGCAGUACAAUACAUAUAUAUGAAUCGUCCAUUGAAUCUUUGUUAAGAAAAUAUAUUCCUAAGAGUUAGGAAUUUGAGAUAUAUAUUUCUUUGUACAAGAUUCUUAAAUGCUCCUAGCCAUAGGAAUAUCAUAAGGACGAUGAUAUUUCCGGAUAGGCCGGUGUAUGCUAUACUUCUAAGUUGAGGUGACGAAUCUCAAGUCAUUAGUGUAAGGACACUAAAGUAAGCAUGCAGGUGCUUGUUAGAGAACAAGUACACUGAGCGUGACCAUUUAGUUGAACAGUCACAUGGUUCCGAAUUCGCCAGUGACUAGUUCUUUGCUACAGUUGUGUGAAGUACUCCUUAGACCUGAGGCAUCAUGGUUGCUUCACAUGUAGAUUGCUACUGUUUAACUGUACUAAUACUUAGACUCUAAUGAUUGGUCUAUGUCUGGUACUGAUUGGCUGUAGUAGUUUAUAUGGGGAGGCAUGUGAAUGCGCAAUAAGGAAUUCAACACUCUCAAUAGUGAGAGAGAACGUCCUAUGUAGACUGUCGAACUUGACUCGGAAAAUCCUUGGCCAGGGUACGUGGUGUGUGGAAAGAGUUUCCACCUGUGUUACCAUAUUGAGUCAGUUUUAGAUAUUCUAGUCAUAUGAUCGAAUAAUAAGAUUUGGCGAGUAACCAUAAUUUUUAGUUCGAUCGGGGCGUUGUAUGUUGGAAGGAAUUAAUCACAUAGUAACUGUUAAUGAAAAGGUUCGUUUUUCAUCAUCAUUCUGGAUUACCGUGAUAUACUGCUAGGUGUCACUCACGGACAGUGAGAAGCUGAAAUAAUUUAAAAUAAAUUAUUUCAUAGAUUAGAAGAGUUCUAAUUCAAUAUUAAAGAGUUUAAUAUUGAAUUCCACUGCCGAAUGAUAAUGAACCUAUGCGGUCACACACAAUAGGAAUUGUGUGCAUCCAAUUUGAUAAGAUGAGUCUAAUUGAUACACUAAAUAGUUUAGUGAAAAUUGUGAGAAUUAUAAUUUGAUUUAAUCUCUAAUUAGAUUAGAGAAUAAUUAAUUAUUCAUAGAUUAUUAUGAGAUAAUAUUCUAAAUAGAUUAUAAUAUGAAUAUUUAAUGGAUAAGAUCCAAUUAAAUUAAAGAGAGAGAGACAAAGAUAAUAUAUCCAUAAAGAUAAGUAUAAAUUUGUUUUACUUAUCUAUGGGAACUAAUUGGAUAUGAUCCAAAUUAGUUAUACCAGAAUGCAUGCAACAAUUUAUGCAACUAAUUGGAUGUGAUCAAAAUUAGUUGCAACAGAAUUUUGAGGAUGCCGAUGGUACGGCUAGGCGUGGCUUAAUCAAUUAUUAAUGCACGGCUACGUGAAUAUAAUAUAUCAUCCUUUUACGAGAGGAAUUUAAUAAUAGCCUCUUGAGAAAUAUUAGAUAAUCCAUCUCUCUCUAAUUUUUCCAAAAAAAGCAGUACAUCUCACAAAAGGCGAACGUGGAUAUCACGAGACUGCUAGCACCGUCUUUGUAAUCCGCGACUCAUCUAUUCCGUGCGACGGAAAGCAUUGGAUCUGGAUCAAUUCCGUGUGGAUACGCGUAGAGGCCGGGCACGUGUGCGGCUGAUCGGAAUUUCAGUUUCAACCGUACAGUAGAUCAAGAGACCUUAACUGGUCCGAGGUAAUGUAACCUGAACUUUAAAUCUGUUUAGGUUAGUUUUUAUUUUACAUUGCAACAUGAGAAUGAUCCACCGGCACUGGAUUGAUUUGUUUUAUUUUGGUUCAUAUGUGAUAUGGAUUUUUAUUUUUCGAAAAUACAUUUUUAAUUUCCGCUGCGAUUUUUGUGCCGGAUAAAUUCUUACAUUGAUAUUCUUUCCCAUUUAAGAAGUCACCUCCCAAACAGAAACGCUUACAUGGAGACUAGGCUCAACUACAUAUUCAGCCCAUAAGUUUUGGCAAUGUAUGGGCUUGGCCAUUUGGACCUCCUACUAUUAUCUGAUAAUCAUCUCAAAGUUCAACAUUAUGUACUAUGGACUACAUUGUCGCUUCACCUUGAAUUGGGAAUAAAAUGUAAUGUUUUGGACACCUCAUAUAACACCUAGAAUUGGGUCUGAAAACGAAUAAAAAUUUUGCGACAUAUCAUCAACACAUACUGACUGUAGUUGAGAGGGCCGUUUCUGCUUCUUUCUUUCUUUCUACUUUUCUUUCUAUUAUUAUGUCUGUGGGCGUUACACUUAACAAAACCCUUGCGCAAAAAUCAUAUUUCUUCUUAGAUCCGAACUGAGAUAGCGGAGCGAGCUUCUGCGGUCAACUUUUGGAACCUAAACUGCUUUACAUCCAUAUUCUUUUGCAUUUGGAUACUGAUCUUCAUAGCUAGAGCUUCGAAAAAAAAAAAGAAAUAAAGAAAAAUUUUUGCUCGGUACAAAUUCUCCUCGGUACAAAUUUUUAGAUUUGUUAUGUCAAGAUAUAUACAUUCCUAGCUACUUAACUCAUUCACCGAAAGGUGAAGCAUUCUUAUGCAUUGUGUCAUGACAAUGCAAAUACGAUCCAAAAUUAUCAUGACAAAUACGAUCCAAGAAGACUAGUAAAAUAAGCAACCCAAUAUGAUUUUCAUUUCUGGAUACAUUAGCUAUUUAUUUUGUAAGUUUUCAUUGCCCUCUAAUUCAUUAAUCUUAUGCUCGUGCCGAGGCAAAAAUCGAAUUUGGUAUUCCAUGGCCUGAAAUUUGAAGCUUGAAUUUGGUAUUUUCUAUAAUUACUAGAAACAGAAUCUGUUGAAAAGAUUUUAAUACAAAGUUUUUCUCCCGAAGUAUCUAUUUAAAUACUAGAGCCUGUAAGAGAACUUAACAUACAUGCAUGCUUGUUUUUCCUUUUAUUUUAUUUUAUUAUUUUAUUUUUUUAGCUGUAGUCAUUCCCAAUUAUAAAGCAUUUCUGGAGCUUGUGCUGUAAUGUAAAGCAGCAAAAAGAAUUUGCUGAAAAAUUUUAAUAUAAAGCUUUCCUAAUAGAUUGAGUGAGUUUCUACUUUUGAUACAUUUUAAUAUCGAAGGGGGAAUAAAAUACAAAAAAAUUAUUUGCAUUUUAGCAUGCAUUAUAAUUCCAAUUCUCAACUGAGUACGUUUGUCAACGAGCUGUGAACACGAGGUGACUCGUUAAAAUAUUGAGCUAAAAAAAUUCAAUUCACAAUCGGCUCGUUUAAUAACGAGCCGAACACGAGUUGGCGAACACGAGUUGGCUCAUGAGCAGCAAACUAGAUUGUCAGCUCUAUUAUUGGGUAAAACAUUAAAAGAAAAUUAGAAUCAUAUUCUAAUAUUUAAAAUUUAUAAAAUAUAGAUCUCUUUAUAUUUGGAUUGGCUUAAAAUUCAAAUAGUAGAAACUGUUAAUAUAUAUAUAUGUAUAGAGAGAGAGAGAGAGAGAGAGAGAGAGAGAGAGGCUAUUGUGCUAUUAGAAGCACUACAGUCUUUAUGCUCCUAAAUUCCUAACCAUCCACCAAUUUUGAUGAAUGGUUAAGGUGAGAGAGAAAAGAAAUUGGAAAGAAAUUGGGUUUCUCAAGUUCUCUUCUUUUUAAAUUUCUUUCGAAUUUCUCUUCUCUCUCUCUCUCAUCGUAACCACUCAUCAAAAUUGAUAAAUUGUUAGAAACUUAGGAGCACAUAGGAUACUGUGCUCCUAAUAGCACAGUUAUCCUGUUCUCUAUCUCUCUCUAUAUACUCUCUCUCUAUACAUAUAGAGAGAUAGACAGAGAGUUCAACUACAGUGCUUCCGAAAGUACUCUUCAUGUGGUGCCUUCAAUUUUUUAACUUUUGCAUCAACUCUUUUGACUAUUUCUAAUCCUUUGAUUAAUAAUAUUCACCCAAGGGAGACCACUAAACCCUAAUGGGGGCCACUAUCAUCCCAACCAUAUAUAUAUAUAUAUAGAGAGAGAGAGAGAGAUAGAGAGAGAGAGAGAGAGAGAGAGAAAACAAUUUUUGUACUUUCAAAAACACCGAGGCCUCCGUACUUAUAAUUUAUUUUUGAUGAUAGAACAUCUGAUUCGACGACCAAUUCCCUUAGACAUUAUUUACGCUAUUAGAACUAUUUAGAAUCCAAGACAUCAUUUACCAAAUGAUCAAAUGCUCUAAAAAAUGACUAUUUUAAUGGCCGAUAUAAUACGUUUAUAAGUUUAAUGGUGUAGAACAAACUACCUUAGAUAAAAUUUUAAUAGAAAAUUCUACCUAUCAUCAAAAGCAAGAUUGAUAUUUUCAAUUUGCAAUUUAAGUCUUUUAUCACUUUUUUAUAGAAUUUUUAUUUUCAAUCGCUCAUUUUAAGUCUAUUCGCUCACUAGAUAAAUAAAGUCAAAAAAUUAUGAAAUUUUGUUUCUAGAUAGUAGUAACAUAAUUGAUUAUGUGUAAUGAAACCGAUCGCCAAAUCAGAUGUUCCAUCAUUAAAAAUUAUAAGCACGUAGGCCUUUGUACUUUCAAAAGUGUAGAAGCCUAACACUCUCUCACUUUCUCUGUGUGUGUGUGUGUGUGUGUGUGUGUGUGUGUAUAUAUAUAUAUAUAUAUAUAUAUAUAUAUAUAUAUAUAGACUGGUAUACUAUCGGCAGCACGGAGGCCUCUGUGCUACCAAGUUGUUUUCAAUGAUGUGGCUUCCAAAUCGACGAUCGGCUCUGUUAAGCUUGAUGGACCAAGUUGUUCUCUCUCUCUCUCUCUCUCUCUCUCUCUCUCUCUCUCUCAUCUCUCCUCUCUCUCGUCCUCUCUCUCUAUAUAUAUAUAUAUAAGGGCUGCCGUGCUCUCAGGAGCACGGAGGCCUCCGUACUCCUGAGCCGUUUUCGAUGAUAGAAUUUUCGAAUUGACGAUCGACUCCGUUAGACUUGAUCUAGGGUAUAUGAAGUUUCUAAAAAAUAAUUUUUGCAAUUUUUUGAUAUUAUUUACCUAGUGAUAGAAAGGAUUCAAAAUCAAUAAUUUUUAAUGGUUGAUAUCUGCCGUUUUCAAGUUUAACGGUGUAGAAGUAUUAAAAUCAGAUGAAAUUUUGAUACAAAAUUCUUUAUACUAUCUACAACAAGAUCAAUAUUUCUGAUCGAAAAUUUGAAUGCUAUAUCACCACUUUUAUAGGAUUUUUAUUUUCAGCCGUUAAAAAUUAUUGAUUUUGAAUCCUUUCGAUUGCUAGGUAAAUGAUAUCAAAAAAUCGCAAAAAAUAUUUUCUAGAAACUUCAAAUACGUUAGAUCAAGUCUGACGGAGCCGAUCGUCGAUUCGAAAAUUUCAUCAUCGAAAACGGCUUAGGAGCACGGAGGUCUCCGUGCUCCUGAGAGCACAGCAGCCCUACUCUAUAUAUAUAUAUCAAAUUUGUUUUUCAAUACUAGGUUUCGUCAUUUUUCUCACCCUCUUUUCUUUAUCUAUGGUAAUGGCGAGACCUAUGGUAGCAACAACGUCGAAGGCAAGGCUUUCGGUCGUGGCAAAAAUGAGGUACGCCACACCUGCCGCGGCACAGAGAGAGAGAGAGAGAGAGAGAGAGAUUUUUUCAAGGACAAAUUUAUAACAAAAUAGUCAUUUUAAGCAACUAGCAUUAAAAAACUAACGGUGAAUCAAAUGACAUCAGAACUUUUAGAGGGAUAUAUUUAUGAAAAAUUUAAUUUAUAACAAAAUAGUCAUUUUAAGCAACUAGCAUUAAAAAACUAACGGUGAAUCAAAUGACAUCAGAACUUUUAGAGGGAUAUAUUUAUGAAAAAUUUAAUUUAUAACAAAAUAGUCAUUUUAAGCAACUAGCAUUAAAAAACUAACGGUGAAUCAAAUGACAUCAGAACUUUUAGAGGGAUAUAUUUAUGAAAAAUUUUUGAAGGGGUAAAAUUGAUCAAUUAUUUGAUACCUUAAUAGCAAUCUGUACCAAAUUAGCUCUUUGCUUUUUAUCUGGUCGUUUUGGAAACACGUAGACAGCAAGUUAGGAGAUAUGGGUUGACUUGUUCAAAUCCUCCAGAAAAUGUUCUCUUAAGUCCCUAUCUUAUCUCUUUAUCUCAAUUGUGAGUUUGUGACAGUGCCAUUGCUUAUGCACGCGUGUGCAUGAGAGAGAGAGAGAGAGAGAGAGAGAGAGAGAGAGACAUUUGGUGCAAGUAAUCAACUUGAUAUUUGGAUUGAAUGGUUCGUGAAAGGCCACUGCUUAGUUACAUAUAUAUAUAUCUAUAUAUAUAUAUAUAGAGAGAGAGAGAGAGAGAGUNAACAGAAUCUGUUGAAAAGAUUUUAAUGCAAAGUUUUUCUCCCGAAGUAUCUAUUUAAAUACUAGAGCCUGUAAGAGAACUUAACAUACAUGCAUGCUUGUUUUUCCUUUUAUUUUAUUUUAUUAUUUUAUUUUUUUAGCUGUAGUCAUUCCCAAUUAUAAAGCAUUUCUGGAGCUUGUGCUGUAAUGUAAAGCAGCAAAAAGAAUUUGCUGAAAAAUUUUAAUAUAAAGCUUUCCUAAUAGAUUGAGUGAGUUUCUACUUUUGAUACAUUUUAAUAUCGAAGGGGGAAUAAAAUACAAAAAAAUUAUUUGCAUUUUAGCAUGCAUUAUAAUUCCAAUUCUCAACUGAGUACGUUUGUCAACGAGCUGUGAACACGAGGUGACUCGUUAAAAUAUUGAGCUAAAAAAAUUCAAUUCACAAUCGGCUCGUUUAAUAACGAGCCGAACACGAGUUGGCGAACACGAGUUGGCUCAUGAGCAGCAAACUAGAUUGUCAGCUCUAUUAUUGGGUAAAACAUUAAAAGAAAAUUAGAAUCAUAUUCUAAUAUUUAAAAUUUAUAAAAUAUAGAUCUCUUUAUAUUUGGAUUGGCUUAAAAUUCAAAUAGUAGAAACUGUUAAUAUAUAUAUAUGUAUAGAGAGAGAGAGAGAGAGAGAGAGAGGCUAUUGUGCUAUUAGAAGCACUACAGUCUUUAUGCUCCUAAAUUCCUAACCAUCCACCAAUUUUGAUGAAUGGUUAAGGUGAGAGAGAAAAGAAAUUGGAAAGAAAUUGGGUUUCUCAAGUUCUCUUCUUUUUAAAUUUCUUUCGAAUUUCUCUUCUCUCUCUCUCUCAUCGUAACCACUCAUCAAAAUUGAUAAAUUGUUAGAAACUUAGGAGCACAUAGGAUACUGUGCUCCUAAUAGCACAGUUAUCCUGUUCUCUAUCUCUCUCUAUAUACUCUCUCUCUAUACAUAUAGAGAGAUAGACAGAGAGUUCAACUACAGUGCUUCCGAAAGUACUCUUCAUGUGGUGCCUUCAAUUUUUUAACUUUUGCAUCAACUCUUUUGACUAUUUCUAAUCCUUUGAUUAAUAAUAUUCACCCAAGGGAGACCACUAAACCCUAAUGGGGGCCACUAUCAUCCCAACCAUAUAUAUAUAUAUAUAUUGAAUUCGGCUACUAUACUUUUAUAAGUAUAGACCGCUUUGUACUCAUAAGUUUUCGGCUACUAUACUUUUUAACUCAUAAUUAUCUAAAUUUUGGUGACAGAAAUAGGAGGGUGGAAACGAGUAAGCUCGCUCAAUCUUUGCUUGAAAUUAAUUUCGAAUCUAAAUUUAGGCUCAAGCUCAACUUAAAAUUAAUUCGAGCCGAGCUCCAGCGAGCCUAAACUUCGAAUCGAGCGAGCUCAAGUACUAAACAAGCUGCUGAAAUUCUUAACAUCGUGCAAUUUAUAGUUCAAUGUUUAUAAAAUAUUAUCUAAAAUUUAAUACAAAAAAUAUUUAAUAGUUCAACAUACAAAAGAAAUACGGUAUUAUAAUAAAAAAAAUUAGAGGAACCGACUUUUCGAGCAAAUGAAAGAGCAAAAGAGUAAUUAAAGUAGGAUUUUACUGGUUUGAUUUUGUGGGUCAGCAAAUAGUCUAAUUCAAACGAGCCCAGUAUGACUCACAUUCGACUUGAGAUAAAUUUUGAGUUUUUAUUCUGUUCAAGCUCGGGCUCAUUUAAUUUUAAAUCGAGCUCGAGCGAUCCGAAUACUGAGUUGAACGCGAGCCGAACACGAACCAACUCACUCAUUUGCCAGCCCUAAGCAGAAAGAUAUAUAUAUUAACAGACUUGAGGACUUUUGGAGGGAUAAAUUUGAUAAUUGAAGUUUUAUAAGAAUAUAUAUUUACUAUGUGAUAGUCUUGAAGGAAACCAUAUGCAAUUAUUCCAAAAAGAUGAAAAAAAAAUCAUAUUAUUCAAAAUUAAAUAAAUAAAAUGGCAUGAGAAGCGUGAGUAAGCUCAAGAGAAAAAUACCUCAAAGUUUCACGCACUCAAUCCGCUUUGUCACAGAUUCGAAAUCUGACCGGACAACUGCUCCAAUCCAACUCUUGAGUCCAAGAAUUGUAAUCUUCUCUUCCAAAGUUUUAAAUUUUAGCGUUAAAAAUAAAAAUAAAAAUUUAGCAUUUCUCUUUCUUAUAAGAAAAAUUAACAGUUUUAUCCUUCCAAAUAUUGAUAAUUGCAAGUAUAUAUAUAUAUAUAUAUAUAUAUAUAUAUAGUUGAGCCGGAAUGCUAUCGAUAGCAAACAGACUUCGUUGCCACCCAUUUGUUUUCAAUGAUGGAGCCUUCAAAUCGACGAUCGGCACCGUUGAACAUGAUCUGUACUACUUGAAGUAUCUAGAAAUUAAAUUUCAUACUUUUUCGAUAUUAUUCUCUUGUUCAUCAAGUGCGUGUAAAAAUGAACGGCCGAAAAUGAAUAUUCUCUAAAAAAGUGAUGAUAGGGAUUUUGUAAUCAAGAUCGAGAGUAUAGAUCUUGUUCUAAAUAGUUUAAAGAAUUUUCUAACAAAAAUUCAAUUGAUUUGGAUAGCUUUACACCGUUAAACAAGAAAACGCCUCAUAUCGACCAUUAAAAUUACAAAUUUUGAAACCCUUUGAUCAUUAGGUCAAUGAUGUCGAAAAGAUUUGAAAUUUGAUUUCUAGAUAGUUCAAGUGAUACAGAUCAUGUUCAACGGUGCCGAUUGUCGAUUUGAGGGCUCCAUCAUCGAAAACAAAUGGGUGGCAACAAAGCCCAUUUGCUACCGAUAGCAUUCCAACUCAACUCUAUAUAUAUAUAUAGAAAGAGUAGAGCUAUUAUACAAUCGGAAGGUAGUUAAAGCGUAGAGCUAUUUAGCAUAAGGUAGUUAUAUAUAUAGAAAGAGUAGAGGUAUUUAGCAUAAGAUAGUUAGUACUUCCGAUUUUUUAGCUCUUGGAUCAACUCUCUUUACCAUUUUAACAAUUGAAUUAAUAUUAUUACCCAAUGGGGACCACUCAACCCUAGGGAAACCACUCAACUCUAAAGGGAACACUAUCAUCCUAACCAUACAAUCUUUAAUCUAAGGGUUAAAAAAUCGAAAGCACAAACUCUCUUAUGCUUCCGAUAGCAUAGUAGCUCUACACUAUAUAUAUAUAUAUAUAUAUAACUAGGCUGGUAUACUAUCAAUAGCACAAAGCUAUUGGUGCUAUUAAUUUUUUAGCCCUUGGAUUGAUAAAUGGGUGGUUAGGAUGAUGUGGGCCCCCUAGGGUUGAGUGAGUGGUUGGUUGAAUAGUAUAAUCUAACAGGUAAAAAUAAUCAAAGGGUUAAAUCUAACGGUGGAAAACUCGAUAGCACCAAAUCCUUGGUGCUAUCGAUAGUACCCCAGCCGGACUAUAUAUAUAUAUAUAUAUAUAUAUAUAUAUAUAUAAAGAGAGAGCGAGAGAGAGAGAGAGAGUGUACAGUUACUAUAUUCUUAUGAGUAUAGAGCCCUUCGUACACAUAAAUUAUUUUUAAUAGUAGAGUUUUCGAAUCGACGAUCCACUUCGUUAAAUAUAAUUUAGAGUAUUUGAAACUUCUAAAAAAUAAAUUUCAUAAUUUUUCGAAAUUAUAAUAAAGCCCAUCAAAUUGGUACAAAAUGAAUAGUCAAAAUCGAACGACAUUCUAAAAAUGGAAGAUCGGAUUCUUCAAUUUAAGAUCGGAGUUAUUGAUCUUUAUCUAGAUAGUGGAUAGAAUUUUCUAUCAAAAUUUCAACCAAUUUCGAUUCUUUUACACUAGUCGUUAAACUAGCAAGUAUUUCAUACUGCCCGUUAAAAAUUGUCAAUUUUGAGAUCUUUUGAUCGUUAAAUAAAUGAUAUAAAAAAAUCAUGAAAUUUGAUUUCUAAAAGUUUUAAAUGCUCUAAAUAACAUUUAACAAUAUAGAUCGUCGAUUCAGAAACUCUAUCAUCGAAUAUGAUUUAUGAGUAUAAAUGCGAUUGUACUCAUAAGAGUUGUCACGCCCCGGAUUAACACGUUUUUCCGGGCACGCCAACAGACCCGCCUUAUAUAUCGAAAUUUUUCGUGUAUACGAAGUAAUAGCUGCAUCUGUAAUCACAACAGCACCACAACCAGUAGUAUAGAGCUGCUAAAUUGAAAAUAAACAUAUAAAUGAAAACCUCGAGUGGUUCUUGUACAUACAAAAGGUCUACAACACAACUCGCUCUAGCGAGUGCCCUGACAAUAUCACAAUAUGUACAAAGAAAAUCCAAAACUACCAGUGAAAGGUACUUAAUUCUCUAGUACGGUAACGAGACGGGUAGGGAUCUAGCUCGCAACUUCCUUCCCACGGUCUGAAUCAGCGACAGCAGCAGCCACAGAAGAAGGCUCUGCAAAAAAGGGGUCAACAACUAGGUGUGAGAACUAUUGCGAAAAGUAGUCCUCAGUAGGUACCGUCACCUACCUCAACUGCUCACUUACUAAAGUUUAUAGAAAAGUGUGCAAGAGAUAGUAAGGAAAGCUGGAAAAACUCUAUAGAUAUAUGUCACUAUACUAUCGGUAACCAACAUUAACUAUCUGUAAAUAAAAAAAAUACGAUCUUUGAUCUAGUCUCACUAGAGAAUAUGAAAACGCCCGUCCAGCCUGUCGAAGCUACACCGAACACCACCCCCGAGGGCUGCCGGUGGAGAGCAAGUCCAAACCAGACAACAACGACAUCAACGCAAAGCAAAAAGCCAAACUUCGGAGCGGCACUCGUGGGCGCGACCCAACCGAGUAUGCAAGCGUGUCUCUACCGAGCUCAAUCAGGCUCUCACAGGCUGUAAUCAAUGCAAAUGGGUCUAACUGGUCUAACCACCAAAGCUCACGUGCCCGUGGCACAAUCUGAUGCAAAAUACAGAAACCUGGGUCCACUGUCAACCGCGACGGCACCCGACAGUCCGAAACAGUAUACACACUACUGUAAAAUAAGCUCGGCGUCCCAGCACGAGCGUAAACUCACCAUACACUAAUCUGGGUAUCCACCGCGUACUAACAGCGGCGAUACAAAAGAACCAUAACUCCUAAAACUAAAUCUUGUAACUUUUCAGAAAAUGACAGUGUAAGAUUAAAUAGUUUUCUCCUAAGUCAAUUUUAAGUCCAACAUGAAUAUAAAUACUAGCUUAACUCCAAAUUCAGAUUUUAUAGUCUAAUCUAUGAAUUCGAGUACUAGCAAGGAAAAUAAACCAAUGAAACCUGUCGACGAUGCUAGAACUUAGGAGGAAUUCCAACGAUUUCGGUAAACAUUAAUCCAUCUCGACAUGCUAGUCCAACUACGAUAGGAAGUCGAAAGGAGAUGAACCACGUGCUCGCCCGGCCUCCCAAUGAUGCAACUACGAUGCCCGCGAGCUCGAAUGGCUCCCCGUCGCAACGUCGAAGUCUACCCGAGCUCGAGCCACGACCCCACCACAAGCAACAUCUCCAAACUAGAGAGAAAAAGGAAGCAGCAACCAAAAGCUCAUUCUCUGUCUCUCUACGCAUAUAUAAAGAGGUAGGAUAAGGUUGAGAUUAACGUCACUUCAAAUGAUGAAAAGGCCCCUCACCAACUUACAAAUACAGCUUGAGUACCGGUACCCAAUUUGGUUACUGGUAUUCGGCCUCUCAGCCCGCAAGCUCGCUCAUAGGGUACCGAUACUAGCCCGAUGCCGUACCGGUACUCAGCAUUAGAUUGGCGCAACCCGAGAGCAUCAGUUAUGCAAUUCCACUGGGGUGCCGGUACUUCUCUACUUGGUACCAGUACUCAACAUUGAAAACUUGCACUUUGCAGAUUCCAAUGUCAAAACUUUACUCUCGCGUCGCAUUGAGUCCGUUUUGCAUCCAUUUCGCGCCAAAACGACUCCGACUUGUCCCGACACUCUCCAGAUGUGUCAACAAGUCUCAGAUGCUGAAACCUACGAGCUGCAGAACACUAGGGACACUACAAAAGUAGUAGCCGGAUUAUAUAUAUAUAUAUAUAUAUAUAUAUAUAUAUAUAUAUAUAUAAUAACUAGAUGUUUUCUUGCCUAAGAUUUGAUGACAAAAAGGCAAAAUUUGGGUUUUAACAACCUAAAAUAAAUAAUCAGGUAAUUAUGAGUAUUCAAACCAGUAUAAUCAAUCACAUUUUCAUGCACUAACUACUUUGGCUUUGAGCAAAAAAAUGAAAAAAAUGUCAUGUGCUCUUUUGUGAUAGUACUUUUCAAAAUUACUUAGAACUUUGAUCUUUGAUCAAUCAUAACAUGCAAUUAUAUCGUUCUCCUUUUGAAAAGAUUUGGGUUUAGCACCAAUUUUAGCAAAUUAGAAGCUUGAUACGAUUCUAUCGUAUCAGUAGGGAUAAUUAGAAGCUUGAUACGAUUCUAUCGUAUCAGUAGGGAUAAACGAUCAUUUCGAGAGGAUCUAACCUCCUAAAAAGAGAGAUAUUAGAGAGAUAGAGAUAGAUAAGAAGGGAAUGAGAGGGAAGAUAGAACAAGACGAUCAAUUUCUUCUUAUUAUUCCAAACCCUAGAAGAUACACAUUUAUAUAACCCUAAUUACACUUUUAUUGGAAAUGACUGAAAUAUUCUAAAAUAACAAUAUAUUAUUUCAUAAUUAGAAAAUCCUAAUAUAGAAAUGUAUCAUUCCACCGCCCUCGAAAGCNCAUUUCGCGCCAAAACGACUCCGACUUGUCCCGACACUCUCCAGAUGUGUCGACAAGCCUCAGAUGUUGAAACCUACGAGCUGCAGAACACUAGGGACACUACAAGAGUAGUAGCCAGAUUAUAUAUAUAUAUAUAUUAAAAUUAAAAUUAAAAGGCCAAUUUGAAUAAAAAAAAUCCACUAGUUUUGCGCAUUUGCAAAAGUGGGUCACCUUUUUCGAUUUUGCAGAUUCGGGCCGGAUUUUCAACAAACUGACCAAAAUACUCUUUACCUUUUUCUCUCUCCUCUUUUUUUCUCUCGUUUUUUUUUCUUUCUCUUCCCAAAGAGCGGCGGAGGCAGAAGCAGAGGCGGAGGCGGCCCGCUUCGGUUUUAUCCGGCGCAUCCUUUCCCUCGCACACGCACCCCACCAACUUCCUUGCCUCCGACCCUACCGAGGCCGCGCUGCGACUUUUUCUUUUUCCCUCUCCGACUCACCUCCACCGCCUCCAACGACGAUGCCUAUUUCACCAUCUCUCGCCCUUCUCACCCUUUUUUCUCCCUCCUCCUUCGCCUCCUCCGCCGCCUCCGACGACUUUUCUCUCAAAUAGUAUAAGUUUUGUUUAAAACAGUGCAACGUUUCUCUGAAAUAGUGUAACUUCAUCAUCUUCUUUUUUUUUAUCUGAUUUUUUAUUUUUCUUGUAAUUUUUUUUCACCCUCUCCGACCCUCAUCAUCUCCUCUGCCGCCUCGAGGCCCUCGGCAAUAGUAACGAGGGCGGCGCCACAUGCUCUUCCUCCAUCUACUCCUCCGCCGGCGCCGGAGGCCCUUGGCGACAGUAACGAGGGCGGUGCUGCCUCCUCCGCCAGCGUCGGAGAAAAAGAAGAACUCAAAACAGCCCGGGAUGAGGGACAGAGGCAAUGAGGUCGUUGUCGAGCAGGUACUCGUCACCCGUGAGGGUGAGGAAAAAAAAAAAAAGGGCCCAUCUCCAAGAAACGAACAAAGAUGCAAAUAGUAGAGAAAAAUUAAGAAUAAAAAGUAAAAAAAAAUAUUUUUUUUAAGAAAACAAUUAUAUAUUAUUUUUUGAUAGCAAUAAUGAUAUAUAAUGGUCCUUCUCAUCCGAAUCCGCUUUCAGUUCUCUUUCUCCUUCUUCGGCGUCGGCGGAGGAAGCGGCACCGCCAUCGUUACCGUCGUCGAGGGCCGCCGGCGCCGGCGGAAGAGAAGAUGGAGGAAGAGGUUGUGACACCACCUUCGUUACUGUUGCCGAGGGUCCUGAGGCGGUGGAGGAGACGAUGAGGGUCGGAGAGGGUGAAAAGAAGUUACAAGAAAAAUAAAAAGUCAGAUAGAAAAGAAGAUGAUGAUGAAAUUACACUAUUUUAGAAGAACGUUGCACUUUUUGGACGAAAAUUAUACUAUUUCUCUUCUUCAUCCUCCUCCUCCUUUCUUGUUUUCGUAUGGAUGAUGAGAAAUAGUGUAAUUUUCACCCAAAAAAUACAAAUUUCAUUCAAAUUAAGAAUGCAACUUUUAUUUAGAAAAAUAUUUUUGUUUAAAACAGUGCAAUGUCCCUCUAAAAUAAUGCAUCUUCAUCUUAUUCUUAUUUUCUUUCUGAUUCUUUAUUUUUAUUGUAGAAAAAAGUAUUUCUUAUAUUUUAUUCUUUAUUCUUUUCAUUUUAUUAUUUUCUAUAUUUGUUUUCUUGGUCCUCUUUCUUUGCCGUCGGUGUCGGUGCAUGCGCCGGCGAAGGCAGAGUAAGAGGACGCGGCGCUAUUUUUAUUACUGUCAUGGAAGAUCGCAGGGGUGGUUGAGGGGGAUCAAAUAGAAAAAAAAAAAAAGAAUGAGCGAAAAAAAUGAAAGGAAGAGAAUGCGGCAUUACGCUCUUUACUGUCGUAAAGAGCCAAGGAAUUAAGCGAUGGAGGAGGGUCGUAGAGGAAAAAAAAAAAAAAAAGAGGGUCGUGGCACGGCCUCGGCGGGAUUAGAGACAAGGAAGGCAGAGGGUACGCGGACGAGGGUGAGAGUGAUCCGGACAGAGGCGAGACAGGCGGUCUCCACCCCCGCCGCCCUCUUGGGAGAGAAAGGAAAAAAAAGAACGAGAGAAAAAAAAGACGGGAGAAAGGGAAUAAAGAUAUUUUGGUCUUUUUUGAAAAUCAGGCUCGAAUGCAAAAUCUAAAAAUACGGCCUACUUUUACAAAAGCUCAAAACUAGUAAAUUUUUUAUGCAAAUUGGCCCUAAUUAAUUAUUUGAUAUUCAUCAGAAAUAUUCAUAUAUAUAAAAGUCGUUGGAAAAUGCAUUAAAACCCCGUUAACUACAGACUAUUAUGAAAGAAGCCUCGCGAAUUUAAAGUCUUUGGUUAACACCUUGAUUUUUUAUAUUUUUGGAAUUGACUAAUUUUUUUCAAUUAAAUUAGAGAUUUUAUCCAACUCAUCAGCAAUUUCAUCAAAUUUGGUAAUUUUAAUUACUUUUUAGCAAAUAAAUUAAAAUAUUUAAUGAUCAAUAGCUGAAAAGGAAUUUGCAUUUAAUAUAAGUCUUAGUCCCUCUGUUAUCAUGAUCCCUACAAUUAGGGCCGGCAAAUGAGCGAGCCGGCUCGCGUUCGACUCGAGACUUGAUAUUUGGCUCACUCGAGCUCGACUCGAAAUUAAAUAAGCCGAACUUGAUCAAAAAAAAAAGGGCUCAAAAUUCAUUUCAAGCCGAGCUUGAGUAUUACUCGGCUUGUUCGAAUUAGGCUCGAAAACCGAGAAUAUAUAUAUAUAUAUAUAGAGAGAGAGAGAGAGAGAGAGCUACUAUGCUAUCGUAAGUAUAGAGAAUCUGGUGCUUCCGAUUUUUUGAUUCUUACAUCAAUCACUUUAAUCAUUUCUUACCUUUAGAUUAAUACUAUUAUUACCAUGUAGGGACCACUCAAUCCUAAGGGUAUUAUUUAAUCCUAGGGAGGACCGCAAUCAUCUCAAUCGUAUAAUUCUUAAUCAAAGGGUCAAAAAUUCGGAAGUAUCAAAUUCUCUAUAUUUUCGAUAGCAUAGUAGUUCUACACUAUAUAUAUAUAUAUAUAUAUAUAUAUAUAUAUAUAUAUAUAUAGAGAGAGAGAGAGAGAGAGAGCUACUAUGCUAUCGUAAGUAUAGAGAAUCUGGUGCUUCCGAUUUUUUGAUUCUUACAUCAAUCACUUUAAUCAUUUCUUACCUUUAGAUUAAUACUAUUAUUACCAUGUAGGGACCACUCAAUCCUAAGGGUAUUAUUUAAUCCUAGGGAGGACCGCAAUCAUCUCAAUCGUAUAAUUCUUAAUCAAAGGGUCAAAAAUUCGGAAGUAUCAAAUUCUCUAUAUUUUCGAUAGCAUAGUAGUUCUACACUAUAUAUAUAUAUAUAUAUAUAUAUAUAUAUAUAUAUAUAUAUAGAGAGAGAGAGAGAGAGAGAGNAAGGCGGAAAAGAAGACAUGUGAGGCUGAAAAGAUUAGAUAUUCAACUCAUAAAUUAUUUUUCUUCAUAUUAUAAUACCAUAUUUCAUAUAAUUAUUUUGUACUUUGAACUAUUAGACAUAUUUUUGUAUCAAAUUAUAGAUAAUGUUCUAUACAAAUUAAACUAUUGAUUGUAUGAUGUUGAGGAUUUCAAGGGGCUCGUUUAAGGCUCGAGCUUGCUCGACUCGAAAUUAGGCUUGCUCGAGCUCGGCUCGAAUUAAUUUCAAACCAAGCUUGAGCUUAAAUUUAGGCUCGAAAUUAAUUUCAAGCCGAAUUUGAGCCGAGGUAAACUCGCUUGAGCUCGGCUCGUUUCCACCCCUACCUACAAUUAAUGGAGUUUAAAUAUUUUAGUUUACACUGAGAACAAUUUAGGGUUAAUUGUAUGUGUGUCCAUACAAAGCAAUAAAAUUGCAUUUUUACCUCUACAAAAUUUUAUAUUAUCUCUAUAAAGUUGUAGUUAGCAAAUAUAUAUUCCACUAAAGUUUCAUAGUUUGCAAAUAUGUCCUUCUCCGUUAGUUAACCGGUUAGCAAAAUUACCAUUUUAUCUAUAAAUAAAUAAAUAAAUAAAUAAAUAUAUAUAUAUAUAUAUAUAUAUAUAUAUAUAUUAUAUUUAAUAGUAUUUAUAAUUUUUAAUAUUUUUAUUCUAACUUACAUUCCAUUCUAUGUGUACCUUAUAUUAUAAAUUUCAAUAACAAUUUUUUAAAAAAUCGCAGUCCGGUGAAAAUUUAACGUCAACUAAUAAUAGUCAACCUGUCGGAAUAAACUUUUAUAUUUUGGAGAUUUCGAGAAAUAUAUUUAAUAAUUAAACUUUUAUAAGGAUGCAAUAAAAUUUUGGAGGAACAAAAAUAUGCAAUUUCAUAGCUUUGUAGGGACACGUAUGCAAUUAUUCCAACAAUUUAAGUUUUAAUAUGCACGGAUAGUAACUUUAUUGCCCCUACGGCAACUUAUUUCCUAUACAUUUUCAAUUUAGGUACGUUAGGCUUAAAAAUUUUAAAUAUAUUACACUUUAACCCUUGAUCAUUAAUAAUAAAAUUUAAUCAUGUUUAAUAUUAUGUUUGACUAUGAUAGUAAUAAUAAUAUUUAAUUAUGUUUUGAAGUACACUUAAAAUAAGGGGAAUCACUUAAAAUAGAAGGACAAAGUGUUUAUUUUGUAAAAAAACUUUUAGCCAUUUUUGAGUAAAAAAUUUUGUAAGAAACUUUUAGCCAUUUUUAAGUAAAAAUUUUGUAAAAAUUCUCGUAAAUUUUUUUUAUUUUUCUCUCAUAAAGUAAGCUUAUUUUCAUAAUUGAAAUACUUUUUCCUUUUGUAGUUGUAUGUUUCUUUAUAAUUAGACCUUCUCGAGUAUUUACUAUCAAAUCUUUUACCAUUUACGUUAGAAACAAUCGGUGAUUAUAGAUAACUGUUUGCAGAAGAAAUGUAUCCUUUAGGUUGGAAAUUAAACAUCUUUGUUUGGCAGUUAACUGCCAUUUUCAAUGAAAGAAAACUGACAAUUAAGUUGAUAAAUAUCAACAUUUACUUUUCUAUGGGUUAUAUAUAUAUAUAGGGGGCCUACAUCAUUCUAACCGCACACCUUUUAAUCCAAGAAUGGAAAACUUAAUAGCACCAAGUCAUUGGUGCUAUUAAUAGUAUUCUAGCCUAGUUUUAUAUAUAUAUAUAGAGAGAGAGAGAGAGUUGGACUGGGCUACUAUUAGUAGCAAAAUCUCAUUGUUGCUACCAGUUUUUUAGCCUUUGGAUCAACUCUUUUCAUUAUUUCUAACCAUUGGAUUAAAUACUAUAACCCAGUGGGGACCACUCAACUCUAUGGGGACCACUCAACUCUAACCGACUAAUAUCAUCCUGACCUUAUAAUUUUUCAUCCAAAGAUUAAAAACUUGAUAACAAAAAGAACGUUUUACUAUUAAUAGUAUUCCAGCCUAAUUCUAUAUAUAUAUAUAUAUAGAUAUCC
rnacentral:lncRNA from 1 species